AUUAUCACCUCGAUCAGUAUGACUCUUUGGUAGCAUUGCACCUGUCUCCAUUCAUUAUAGGGACGAUAACUUGCAUCCUGUAGUAACCCGUUUGGGGGGGUAUAUUAGAUCAACAACAAUGUGCCCUGUAUCUACUGCAUUUUGUACACCAGUAAAUUACUGCCUACCUGCAUAUUGUUCGACAUAUUUGGUUACCAAUGAGCAGUUCAUGAGUUAGCAAAACUCUUGUUUGAUGUCUAAUUCUUUUUUUGUUUCACUUAAUAUGGGGCAGCUCUCGAUGAAUGUUUGUGAACAUGACUUUAUCAUCUUCAUUUAAUUAGUUACAUUAUGUAUAGUCUUAAUUGAAAUCUUAAAUCAUGAAACCUAUCUUUCAUGUUCUUUCUAACUGAAUAUUUGCUAGAUGAAAAUUUCAAAAAGAAACCAUCAACUAAAUAUCGGUAAUCGACACUAACUACAAGAUAUUUACCACUCAUUGUUUGAUUAACUUUUUUCUAAUUCUAUAAGUAUCUGAUUAGGUAACAACUAAUAAUUAUGUUUGGUGAUUGAAUGAGAAGAGAGUUAAGCAAAUCAAAGCAAGCCCCUGUUAUUUGAAAUAUUUUAAAGAUUUUUUUUUUAUUUUGAUGUAUCUACUUGAUCUUUGGCUAGCUAGGUUCAAAAUAUUAGCUCAACUUCUACUUUGAAAGCCAGAUUUCAUAUAUGCAUAAUGGAAGUUUUGGAAGAUUAAUGUUAUUGUACUGGUACAGCUAGCUAGAUUAAGGUAGUAAUUUCAUUCCAAAAGCCCUUGAUCCAAACUACUUCUAAAAGGACUUAUUAGUUUUUAGAGCAAUCUUGAAAGUUCAAGGAAGUGAAGUAGAUCAAGAUAAAUAUAUAGUUUUGGAUUUAAUUAAAUGAAUAAAUUUAAUAAUUGAAUUUAACAUAAAAAGGAGUUUCCAAAGUUUAAGGAAGUUUAAACUUUUGUUUACUUUGCAGUUCCUACUUUUCAACUAUUCUAUGUUACUUAUACUUGUUUGGUUCCUGAAAAAUUUGAGGGAAACUAUGAAGGAAAGAUGAUUGGAGCCAAAAUAUGUGCUUCCAUAGCAUAUGUAUAAUAUGAUUUAUGCAAUAUAAAAAGCUCAAAUCAUCCAACUUAACUCAAAUUGAUGUUAAGACCUAAUUAUGGAUCUAACUGCUAUUUUGAGCCUAAUUUUAGAUUGAAGGAAUGAAAAAAAAAUGAUAAGUGUAGAAGUCAUUAUCAACCAAGGGAGCAAAAGGGGUUAAACAUGCAUAAUUGAGAGACCCGAGACUUGUGAGCCAUGAAGAGUCCAAACAAGAGUGUGAUAAGCAACUUGAAAUACUAGCAAUGAAUGUUAUGAAGUGAGAUAGAGGGCAAACAACCAUAAUGGAGGAGGUUCGAAUAAAAUGCAAUCAAGUUCACAUGGGAAUUUAGAACUCAAAAUUUGGCAACAACACAUACUCUGACUUUGAGAUAAAAUUUAGAGCACUUCUCGAUGUCAAACUAAUAUAUGUGUAGAAUACUUAAAUUACCUUUCAAAUAAAAAUUAGGCUUUGUACAACUUAACAAAAAGAUGUUGGAAACUUAUGAAAAUUUGAUGCAAAAAGUGCUAAAUGUGUGCUUAUAGGCUAUUCACUCAAGCUAAAGUCCAUGGAGUUUUCCUUAAUGAAGGAAGAACAAGCUUCAAGAACAAUGACUAAAUCUUUAAAUGUAAUGAUAAAUGAUGUUUUUAGGAGAUGGUCUUCGUUAUGAAUUAGGAUAAAUUCCAAUUUCCAUCCAAAUCUGGAAUAAGUCUUAACUAUGUUAUCUUAACUAAGGGUAAUAAGUAGAUAGAGCUAAAAUCUAGUUUGGUAGAUGGAGGAAUCUGGUUUGGUAGAAUUGCUCCUUAUAUCUAACUUCUAGCAAUGCAUUUGGCUAGAUGGACCACUAAAUUUUGCUAGCCAACUUCAAUCUUUGAAGAUUCUCCCUAAUUUACUUCAACUCAACUGUCCAUAUGAUUUGUUCUCAAGAUUCCUAGCUCAUGAUUUGUUCUCAAGAUUACUAGCUCAUGGAUGAUAUAAAUAGCAUUUUCAUCUCGUUAAGAGGAGCUUGUGGUAGUCUUUUGUAUUUCUUUUCUAUUUUACGGUUUUUACCUUCUAUACUUUCUUUUUCUUGUAGAAACUCUAAGGUUAUGUUUGUUCCCAAAAUUUUUGAGGGAAAUUGAAGGGGAAAGAAGAUACAAAAGAAAUGUAGAAGGAAAGAAAAAAUGAAAAAAUAAAUAAAAAAAUAAAUUAAAACUCAAUAAAUUAUUUUUAUUUGUUACUUCAAGCUCGUUUUAUUUAUUUUAACUCAUUGACAUAAAGAUUAGAUAAUUUAAAAAUGUAUAAUUUUUUAAUUAAUUUUAAUUAUAUAUAUAUUUUUUUAAUAUUUUUUAUAGGACCACCAAAUAUGAGAAAAUCAUUUUCUAUAGUAUUUUUUUUUUCUUUCCUAAGUAUUUUACAGAAACCAAACAUACCCUAAAAUCAUGCUUGAUUAAUUGAAUAUAACAUGUGAUAGGAUAAGAAAAGAAAUAUUAUAUCUUAUUUUAUAUUUGGUUGGUAUUAGGAUAAGAUAAGUUAUCCUAUCACUUAUUACAUAUUCAAUCAAACAUAGGAUAAGAUAAAUAGUAUAUGAUAUAUUCCACCUUUUUUUUUAUAUAUUCAUUCUACAGAGAAUAUGUUAAUCUUAUGCUAAGAUAUAAGAUAUGCAUAUUUUAUGUAUCUUAAUUAAUUAAUUAUCUUAUAUUACUUAUUUCGCAAAAUAAAACUUUUAUUAUAAAAUUAAAUUUGAGAUUAAAAAAGAAAAAAUAAAAAUAUAUUAUAAAAUAAUAUUAGUAUAUGUAUUAUUUAAUAUAUAUAUAUAUAUAUAUAUAUAUAUAUAUUCAUCUAUGUAUAGAUGUAUGCAUGUAUAUUAUUUCUAUGUAUUGAAUAACACAAUAUAAACGAUUUUUAUUUAUAAAUUUUAAAUAUUUUAAACAUGAAUAUACUUAAACAUAAGAGAAAUUUUAUUUUUAAAAAUAAAGAAUAUUGGAAUGUAAUAUUCUUUUUUAUUUUAAACAUUGAAAAAUAAUACAUAUUCCAUAUAAUUUUUUAUUCAUUUCACAAAUUAAAUAUGAACAUAACAUAACCUAAUAUAUCUCAUUGGACAUGAUACCUUAGGAUGUUAUAUCUAUAGAUAUAAUAUCUCAUUGGAAAUCAUAUCCUAAGACUAAUUCCAAUCUUCUUUUACAUUAGCAAAGGCAUGUAUAAUAAGGGUCUUUUCUUGCUCGUUAGCGCCCCCGUACCCCUAUUAUAUUUUUUUAGUCAUAAAGGAGCUAAAAGAAAUUGGACAACCUUACUAAGGGAAAGAUGCACUCAAGCAUGCGAAGAAAGCACUUUGAGCUUCCCUUCUCUUAUCGAAGGGGUGCUCUAUGAUCAAACUUCAAAUAUCUCAUAAAGUAGGGGCAUCAAAGCUAAAGCUUGUAGUUUAGGGAUGCGCAAGUGCUUAACGCCUCAUACAAGGGGUUAGCGCACAAUGGCUUUCUCUAAGAGGGGCUUACUUCUUCAAGCGGAGCUUGCUACUUUUCAUUUUGAUAGGAGUAGGUUCCUUCUUGUUCAGGGUCAUUAGAUGAGAGAUCUUCCUCCGACUCUAAGAAAUUGGUCAAGCGGGAGGCUACCCUCAACUCAUCUCUCUAUCUAUAAAAAAAAACCCCUCCCCCAAGGAGAGUAGAAGCUCUGGAUGAGUAUGUCCUGGAUUCUUGGAUUCAUUCUCGUCCUAAUCCGUCAUGGAAUUUUCAGAAUCUACCAAAACAUUCUAGGAAAGGGCUUGUAAUGAUUUUCUCAAAGAUCACAAGGUGUUGAAGUGGCAGGAUAGGGGGAAUCUAUAGGUUUUUGUGAAAGAGAUGUUCUUAAUAUACACAUCAUAUCAUAUCCUAUCCUAUCCUGUCAACCAAAUGUAACAUAAAUCUUUGCAAAAACUAAGGAAAUCACCUAUCACCAUAAGUGUCUAGCUUUCUUCAAGGUUGUGUGAUGGAGGAUCUUGUAGGAGAACCUAUUUAGGUGAUAAUUGUAAUGAAUUUUCUUUGAAAUUUAGUGAAUCAAUUCAAGAUUUAAUCAUUUAGUUCUGAUUUUGGGCUUAUGAUUCAUGUUUCUUUUGCUUCAUACUUGGUUGCUGAUUGCUUGUUUUAUUCUCUUAAUAUUUAGGCAACUUAAUUUUGAUAUUUCAAUUACUUAAAUUUUAAUAAUAGAUUUAAUACAAUCAAUAGGUUAUUGGAUGAAAAUUGCUAUCAAAUUUUUGAGCCCUAGAUGUUCCUCAUGUAUAGGAGACUAAAUUAUAUUUGGGUCAUUCUUGUUGAAAAUCUCCCAUAAGCCACACUUAAGUAUUUAGUUUUGUGUGUUUGCUUAAGAAUCAUGAAAAAUCAGAUAAUGGACAGCAGACCAACAAGUGAAUCUAGGCCCUUUGUCAUUUUAUUAGGUUUUGAAUUUCUUAUGUUUUUUUUUGUUGCCAUCUAACCUUAUUUUGCUCUCUUUUUCAACCGAAAUUUUAACCAAUAUCCUAACAAUUUCACAAACAGCAACCGCUUGGUCAUUCUCACACACUCCAAAGUGUUACCUAACCUUCACUCUCUUGGGCAUGACACCCAAUAUUCACUGGAUUAUUACAAUCCGAAGUUGUGCUUAGGGCUUGACAUACUAGUAUGAACAACUUAGUAACACAAGCAACAUGCAGGUCCUUGCUCUUUGAUGUUGGAUAUUCCAAUGUUGACAUGUUGAUUUCCCAUAAAUCAUAUUGAUAGGAGAGAGGAAAGAUAUGUAGGCAUGUUGAUUCACUAAGCCAUGACCUUUGGAUAAAUUCAAAGCCAUAAGUCAUUAUGACUAUGCUUAGUUUCUAGAAAAUCCAAGAAAAAGAAAAUAAAGAGGAAAAGUAGAAGGAAAAUAAAAAAAUGAAUUUAAAGUCGAUACAUUAUUUUUAUAUGGUUCUUCAAAGACUUAUUUUCUUCUAUUAUAUAAAGAUUAAAUAAUUUUAAGAUACUUAAAUUUUCAUCUAAUUUUAAUUAUAUUUUAUUUUCUUUCGUAUUUUUUUUAUAGUAAAACCAAAUAUAAGAAAAUCAUUUUCCUUAAUUUUUUUUUUCUUUUCUUAGUAUUUUUUUGAAACCAAACAUAGUCUAUGUGUUUUACACAUGAUCAUAUGCUUUAUUUUCAUAUGUAAUAUGAAUCCUAUGACAUGUAUGUAUUAUUUCAAGGCAUGUAAUUAUUCUAACACUUACUUGUCAUGACUUGUAGGAAUUUAUUUAAAAUAUUUGGUUAAAAUGGAUGAAAUAAUCUCAAAAUUGUGAAUCUAACUAUUUCCAUGUUUUUUCUCAAAAAGUAACUCAUUUUUUAUAUAAAUACAUUUUAUCAUUUCAAGUAUUUACAUAUAGGUUUUCAAACAAAAUGUUAUUUUUAUAAGAAAAUAACGAGGACAUUUUUGUCAAUAUGAGGCAAAAAAAGGACAAAAUAUUAAAUUUCAAAAAUUGGGCUUUCAUUGACCCUUUUAAUCAAAUAACCUAAUUUAUUUCUAAUGUUUUAAUUAAGUAGCUUGAACCUUAGGUUUAGAGAUGUGUUACAAACCGAUAGGUAAGCAAUAAGUUUGAUAACUAUUUUUUCCAAGUAUGGAUUUUUUAUAUGUUUAAUCCUUGCAUUCUAUAUUUGUCUCUAUGUCAUCAUUACUCAAUUGUAGGAGGGUCAUGUAACUAGUGGUAUUUUUAGUAUUAUUCUUAUGUUAGGCUGGAUUACUUCAAUUAGAUAGUAAAUUUUUGUUAUACCAAAGAUUUGUGCAUUGGUACCCAUUGCUUUGCCUAAUAUACAUGAUGUUAGCUUCUUUGAUUUGGCCCAAUAGAAUUAGGUCGUAAGCCUCAUUAUUAAAUAUCUAAGGGGAAGUAUUAAUCAUCAAUUAUAGUCAAAAUAGGAUGUGUUGAAUGCUAUCUCUACAUUUAUUUUAUAAAUUUUUAUAUUGUUAAAAUGUUUUGAAUCAAUGAUUGAUUAUGUAUGUAAAUGCAUAAGUCUUUUAGGGUAUGUUUUGUAGUAAUUCUAGGAAUCAUUUGUAGUCUAAAAAGUGUUUUUGAAAAAAAAAAUUAGAUAUUUGAAAAAAAAAAUUAAAAUACUUUUAAAAAUCUAUAAAAUCACUUGUAGUGUUGGAAAGUCACUUAUAGUAUUUUUUGAAAAAAUAUUUGGGGCCUAUUUAAUAAUUGUUUUUGAAAACAAUUCUAAAUACUAGUUUUUAUAACAGUUUUUGAAAAUUAUUUUUAAAUUUUUAUAAAACAAAAGUUUGCUUGGAAAUGUAAAAUGUUUUUAAUAUUUUUAAAUAUAUUUUAAAAAUAAUUUUAUAUCUAGGAUUUUAUUUUUAAUCAUUUUACAUAUUUGUAUAAUUAUUUCUUAAAACAACCCUUAGAAAAUAAGUGAAAAUAAUAUAAAAUAACUAAGAAUGAGUUUGAUAAUAAUUUUAGAAAGUGUUUUUACUUUUUAUUAACAUUUCAAAAAUUUUAUAUUUCAAGUAAUAAAAAGACUAAAAACAUUUUCUAAAAUCACUCCUAAACGUACUCUAAAAGAUGUUAUCUAAAAAUACUAUAUUUUAUAUUCUUAAGAUCAGAAAAUAGAAAAAUGAUUUUUAUUCCCAAAUGUGUUUUCUAUAUUUUUUGUUUUGAAAAAUAGAAAACUAUUAUAAAAAACAAUUCCCAAAUAGGUCCUUGAUAUGCAAUUCUCCUAAAAAUACCUUCAAUGACAUUUCUAUUAAAAACACUUUGAAUAAAAGCACUAUUAAAUGCACUCUUAUUUUGAUAACAUUUUCAAAUAAGCAUGGUAUGGAUGUAUUAUUUACUUAAGUCUGCUUGAUCAGUCAUGAAGUAUUCUAACUUUUAGGUUGUAAAAUGUCCAUCAUUAAGAAACUGUAAGAGCCUCUUCAUGUAAAAUAGAACCUAGGGUUUGUGAGAGAAGCAAAGUCUUGUGUGCAUGUAAAUUAUAUUGACUUCAUCUUAUAUUUGGAUUUACAUGAAAACUAAUUAGUUCAUAUUCAAGAUUAAAUAGUGAAGAUUUACUGAAAUGAUUUAAGAUUGAUUGAUUUUGCCUUGGAUUCAAAGUUGCAUUCAUUGAAGAGUAGAUUGUGGUUCAUGGAGUUGCAUACCCAUAGAGUUAAAAUCAAAUAAAUAAAAGGCAGCCAACAAAUACCUUAUAAUUAGACUUCUAAAUAUUAAUUACUAAGCAAGCUUUUUACAAUAUCCAUAACCAAUUAGAAGACAUUAAUAGUGGUGAAGUAAUGAGAUGAUUAAAAGUGUGUUUGAUAGUGAUUUUAGAAAGUGUUUUUAACAUUUUUAACACUUCAAUUUUUUUUUAUUUUUUUAAGCAUUAAAGAUGCUAUUAAUAAUUCCUAGAAUCAAUAUCAAAUACGCUCGAAGAGUCCAUUUGACAGUAAUUUUAAGAAACAUUUUUAAUCUAAAAAGUGUUUUUUUUUUUUUAAAUAGAAGAUGUUUGAAAAAAUUUAGGUAACACUUACAAAAAUUUGAAAAAUCGCUUAUAGUGUUUUAUGGAAAAACAUUUGAUACAUAAUUCUCCUAAAAACACUUUUAGAGAAAACACUUCUACUAAAAACACUUUGAGUACAAAUACUCCUAAACGCACUCUAAAAAAUUAGAAUACUAAUGGAAUUAUGUGAUGCAAACCACUUUCAAGAACUGCCUUAUUCCCAUAUAAGUGAAAUGCCACACCUCAUUAAGAGUGUCUUGGUAGUAAUUAUAGAAAAUGUUUUUAGUUUUUCUAAUACUUGAAAAUUUUUAUCUUUCAAAUGUUAAAAGGAUUAAAAACGCUUCCUAUAAUCACUGACAAACAAACUCUAAAUCCAACAAAAACAAACACAUAAAUACACAUACAUCAUGACCUAAUGCACAUUGAUCUAAUAAAGACAAACACAUCGAAAGAAGCACUUUAUUUUCUAAGUGCUUCUUGCUAAUCAAAUAUGACAUGAACCAUAAGUAGGUAGAGGGGUAGUAAAAACCUUCAAUAUGUUUGGAAGUCCUUUCACAAUCAUCUAGUAUAACCAUUGGUGUACAAGAUGCACUUGAUACAUAGCACAUUGUUGUUGUUCGAAUAUAUUGCAAUUGUUCCUUGGGUGCAAGAUGUUAUCAUCAUCUUCAUUAAAAUGAAUAAAGAGAAAUACCCAGCUACCAAAGAAUUAUGCUGGAAUUGAUCCUUAACUUAUUAGUAUUGAAUAAGAUUGAUUUUUCCUCUAUUGACUCCUUCGAACUAAAAAGGGUUUGAAUGUCAUCAACACCGCAAUUGCCUCAACCACAUUUAGUAUGAAGAAAAUCAUCUAGUCACCUGCAUAUGAAGAAUUGUAAGAAGUUUUCAAUAAAUAGGUGAAAAUUAGCCUUUAAGUUGUUUGACUGUAUUUAUUAAUUUUCUUGGAUCAUUCAAUAGCAACCCUAAACUUACUAUUUUACGAAGAUUUAAUGGCUAUGUUUUGAGAAAUUAUAUAUUACAAACAUAACAUGAUUAAGAGAGCAAAUGAGGGAGGAAAGAUUUAAAUACUGACAAGAGAUUUUAUUUUUUUUAUUUUUUUUAUUAUGUAGCAAAUAACCAUUAAGAGAAGACGAUGGUUUAGCCUAAGCCAUCAAAUGCCGAACCAAUAAAAGAUAUGCCAAAUAUGGUAAUUGAUUCACAUGACAAUUGACAAACUUUCCACCUUCAGAAAAAUUAAUACAACCUAUUGCAUAAAUUAUCAAGAAAAAAGAGGAAUUGAAUGACCAAAGGAGUCCAUUCCUCAUACAAAAAAAUCAACAAUUAUUUUGUGAUUUAUUAAACAAACGGUCAAGAAGAAGAGUUCUUUAAAGAGGAAUCAUCAUUUUGUAAAUUAUAACAAAACAAGAAGAAGAAUGCUAAAGAAGAAGAAGAAAAAUGAUAAAGCUAUAAUUUACAAAAUGAUGAUUAUUGUUCUACAGUAUAUAGGAUUUCCAUUAUCUUGAACCCAACCUAGAACUUAAGAAAAUAGCUUUAUCAUUUUUCAUGGUCUUUCAAAUAAGUAGAAAUGUUGAUGAAUCAAGUUUCAUAUAUUAUUAAACCUUUUCAUAAUACUUUUAAUUUUUUGAUAUUCCAAUGUCGAAUGGCAGGAAUGUGAGGAGUAUAUAUCAACUUGUAUUUAGAGUUUUUCUUUUUAAAGGAUUUGACUAUUACAACUUAUUGGGAAGUAAGGCUGUAAUUUGGAUUGGUUGAUCGAAUUGAUGGUUAAUUAGAAUACAACUCAAAUUAAAAAUUAAUCAAUCUAAACCUAACCCAACCCAAUUUCUAAAUCGAGGCCCUAAUCCAAUUUCAUCUUUGUAUGCUUAGAUUGAGUCCUAGUUGGUUGGAUUAAACUCGAUUGAUCGGAUUGAUCAAGUUGUAUUAGUCAAAAUCUAUUUAUAAUGAUUUUUAAAAACUUAUAUAUAUAAAUUAAAUAAUUAUAUAAUAUAAUUCCAAUUUGAUGUUUUUCUAAACAAUCUGAAAAGCAAUUAAAUAUUAUUAUAUAGGAUAAUAUUUAUAAAAAUGCUAAAUUAGGUUUAGGUUAGGCUUGGGAUAUUCAAACCCGAGUCUCACCCAAAUUGAGCUUGUAUUGAAAAAAGUUAGCCCUAGUCAAACUUUAAGUAUUGAAAAUGAUUGCCUAAACUUAUUCAAACAUUGGGUUAGAUUCGAAUUUGGUAUGAUUAAUCCACUUAAAUUACACCCCUAUUAGGAAGUAGGAUGGUCGUCUAAGAUGUCCUCUAAUAUUUGAUUUGUUGGGGCAUUUGUGAGAUUUAGGAACCGCUUGUUCUUAUUUAUUAUAUUUUCAAACUUUUGUUAUGAGGUAAAUUUUUAAUUGCACAUUAAUCCAACAUCAUUGGAAAUAAAUGAAUCAUUUUUAAUAUUUAUUUUGUAGUUUUUUUGUCUUCAUAUUAAAGAUGUGAAAUUGGAAGGAUAACUUCCCUUAAAAUUUCUAACUUUAUUAUAUGACUAUAAUUUUGAAAAUUUUAUCUUAUUCCUUAGACCUGAAGGUGGUAUGACACUCGUCUAAAACAAGGUCGUUCUAUAUACUCUUGCUUCUAAGAAUCAGGGUCCUAUAAAAGCAACAAAAUCAUACCUGGGAAGAAGGCAGCUCUCUGACGCCCUUGUGCCCAAGAAAAGCUACAAAUACCAGCAUUAUUAAAAAUAACCAAAUGGUACAAUCUUGUAGAAGGAAAAAUAACUUUUAAAUAAAGCAAUUGUUAUUUAAUAAAAUAAAUGGAAUAUAAUUUGGAUAAGAUGAAAUCAAGUGAGACAACAUUUAGGGAAAGUGGCUAAAUAUGACUCCCUAUCUACACUAAAUCAUUGGGAUCAAAGCUUUCAUAGGCCACUAACCCAAUGCAAACCUGCACUAUGAGUAGAACAACAGGAUUCUUGAUACAAGUUAAGGAAGGAGGGAAAGCAAUAAAAAAGAUGUCGAUAUCUAAACCUUUUGUGUUAGGAAAUGAUGGGCAAACAUGACAAGGAAUCAACUAGUGUAGAAGAGUAAGACUAUGCUUGGUUUUCAGAAAAUUUGAGGGAAAAUGUAAGGGAAAGAAAAUAAAGAGUAAAAGUAUAGGGAAAGAAAAAAUGAAGAAAAAUAAAAAAAUUGAAUUAAAGUUGAUAAAUUAUUUUUGUUUGUUACUUUAAACUUAUUUUAUUUAUUUUAACUCAUCAAUAUAAAGAUUAAAUAAUUUAAAAAUGUAUAAGUUUCUAACUAAAUUUAAUUAUAUUUAAUUUUCUUUGGAAUUUUUCCUAAGACAACCAAACAUGAGAAAAUCAUUUUCCUUAGCAUUUUUUCUUUCCUUAGUACUUUCCAAGAAUCAAACAUAACCUAAGUCCAUAAUUUCCUAGAUGGUUCAAUGGCAUCAAAAGUCAAUAUCCUAGGAGUGGAUUGAAAGCAAAUCAAAUAAAUGCUAUAUAAUUCGUAUAGGUGAAUAAAAAUUAGGAUUUUUUUUUCCUUGGAAGACGUUUUAUUUCUUAUGGACACAACUUGUUUUAAAGUAUGUAUCUUGUAUUUAAAAGACACAACCUCUUCCAAAGGAUGUGUUUGGUGUCUUAAGACACAACCCUUCAAAGGAUGUAUCUAGUAUUUUAAAGACACUUCUCUUCUAAAGGUUACCAUCAAAUUUAUAAAUAGGGACCUCCUAUGGCCAUUUCAUUCAUAAUUUUCUCCACUCUUUCUCCUUUAUUGUCAUUCAAGUCCUCUUUAACUUCAAAUCUAGUUAUUUAUCUUUUCUACCAAAUAUUUGGCACACAAAAGAGUACAAAUCACCAAGUGAUUUGUUAUUUCUUAUUAUUUGAAGUGCUCCUAUCAUAAGAAAAUUAUCAUUGUAUCCUAGGAAACAAUUGUCAAUAAACCAUAAGCACUUGAGUGAAACAAAUUUGUUUUAAGGACAUAAAGUCAAACUCUAGCCUUAAUCAACCUUAUUCGUAAGUUCCAAUUUUCUACUUCAUUUUAUUUGUAUAUUUAUUAUACAUACUUAUUAUUCAUAUAUUUUUCAGUGAUGUGGAUAACAAUCUUAAGGCCCCUUUUUAACCAAACUUCAUAAGGCCUUGUCCAAGUCAAGCUCAUUGGAGGGUAUUGACAAGAAGAAAGGAAUAAAAUUAUGGGAUUUAAUGAUAGAUCCUAAAAUUAUGGAUAUAAAUAAGAUUAUAUUUUAUCAGUAAUUAUAUUGAAUCUUCUCAUAUUAGUAGUUCUAUCUCUGCUUUUUUGGAACUCUCUUUCAUCAGCACCUAGGACUGAGUUUUUGUCAUCCUCCUUCUAGAUGUAAAUACAUAAUUAAACCAUGUAAAAUAUUAUUGUUUAUUUAUUUAUUUUUGUGGAUUACUUUUAUUAUCUACAAUAUUGACAAUCAACUUCCCCGACGAUUCAAAAUUCAUAUGCUUCUCGGUCUUUGACAAGGGACAAGGUCUAACUUUUAAGCAUAACAAGGAUCAAAGCAAGAUCUCAAAAUUUUGUUUUCAUUUUAAUAUGGAGUAAGAACAAAGUAUAGCGAUCCUUAAGUUUAGCUCCCAAACUAUACUCCAUAUUUUUGCCUUCCCACAAAGAUGGAGAUGGGAAUGAUAUUUCUGAGUCGUUGGGAAUCUAUGAUGUGCUGGUAUUCUAAUAUUCCAAAAUAAAUAGUGAAAUAAGACUAAAAAAACUUCAGUGCAAGACCCUUUGGAACUCAUUAUUUUGAUUUGAACAGUUCAUAACCCUGAGUAAGAGCUUUUAUGGAUUCCAGGCAUCAUAGUGAAAAUAUAACAGCAAAAUUAAUGAAAUGAAGAGAACACUCACAUUACACCUCCUCCAGCAGGACCUGCUGCUUUGAAAAGAGACAUUGUAGUCAUAGUGAUGCCAUUUGCAGCACCUCUCUGGUGUUGCUCCUGUUGGGGCAAUAUGAGUGACAAGUUAUCAUUUUGAAAAUCAAGUGAAAAUUGGAAUGAUAGAAAUGAACCUGGAGAAGCCCAGAAAAGAGUAUUACCACAGCUCUAUUUUGCAGAAUAAUCAAGCCAGUUCCAAUGGACACCUAAUCACAUUGAAAUUUUUUUACUAGUAGGAGAGACAUUACUAAUGAUCAUUUGAUUUGCCUACCUACAAGAGAAUAUUCAAGUUGUAGAUCAACUUACAGAUAAUACAUUCUUCAUCGCCGAUGCACAAUUCAAUGCCAAAGAGAGGCUGAACCCAGAAAGCAUGGCUAUAAGAGGGUAAAUUGCCAACAGAGGUAUAGACAAAACCUACAUAUUGGGAAUAGCAUUGUAUGCAGAAAAAAUAUAAAUGAAUAUGCAAGAAGAUAUUAAUUAGUUGAAAAUAGAGAAAGAGUUUAUUGAAUGUUCCAAGGUGUGGGAAACAUACACCGGCAAUGCGACAGAUGAUGAUGGGCCCAAGAAGCUUCUCCAAAUAUGGAUAGAGAGAAAGUUGGAAUACCAAAACCCCAAAACCUAAAAAUUGAAUAGAUGCCAGCAACUCAAUGUCUUGAAUACAUAUCAGACAAUACACUGAAUAACACACAAAAAAAAAAAAAAUAUAGGUCUCUCUAGGUGCACCAAUUCAACUAUAAGAUAUUGCCAACAUCUUAAAAGAAAUGGUUAAACUAUAUUUGGUUUCUAGAAAGUACUAAGGAAAGAAAAAAAAAAUUAAGAAAAAUAAUUUUCUCACCUUCGGUUUUACUAUGAAAAAUACAAAAGAAAAACAAAUAAACUUAAAAUUAGUAAGAAACUAAUAUAUUUAUGAAUUACUUUUUCAUAUAGAAGACUUAAAUAGGUCAAAUGAGUUUCAUGUAGGAUAUGAAAAUAAUUUAUUUACAUUAAAUCUAAUUUUGAUUUUCUUUUAUUUUUUCUAUUCUUCCAUUUUUUUCCCUCUAUUUUCUUUCUUUCUGCAUUUUCCCUCAAACUUUCGAUGAACCAAACAUAGCUUUAGAGUAUUGUCUCGCACAUUGCUAUAAGCAUCAUCAAAUGCAUACUUCUACAAGACUUACUUGAGACAAAUUUUCUUCCAAAUUCAACACUGGGUUCCACGAGUACAUAAUGCUUGAAUUGUCUCAAUUUCUAUUUUGGUUUAGUUUUAUAUCAUUGUUAUGUCUCAAUUUCUUUUAUUUUUCUAUCCUUCCAUUUUUUUCUCUCUAUUUUCUUUCUUUCUGUAUUUUCCCUCAAACUUUCAAGGAACUAAACAUAGCUUUAGAGUAUCGUCUCGCACAUUGCUAUAAGCAUCAUCAAAUGCAUACUUCUACAAGACUUACUUGAGACAAAUUUUCUUCCAAAUUCAACAUUGGGUUCCACGAGUACAUAAUGCUUGAAUUGUCUCAAUUUCUAUUUUGGUUUAGUUUUAUAUCAUUGUUAUGUUUCUUCGUAUAGAGAUUCCUGUAAAGAAAACUUCUUUUUGAGUUCUUAUAGGAAACAGAAUUCCUCAUCCAUAACAAACUAAGUUUGGUGACUCAAUUAUAAAACAAGUAGGAACUGCCUUCAAGUGUUUUAAAAAGUCAGUGGAGAUGAGAGAGAGAGAGAGGGAGAGGGAGAGAGGAAAACACCCUUCGGAGCAAGAAACAUGUUUUGCCUCUCUUGCAUAUGUUUACUUUCUUAUUUCGUUUUUGAGACAAAUAAUCUCCUAAUUAUGGAUGCUUUGCUAUCUCAGUCAUGACUUUAUCUCUCCAGCUGAUCAGCCAAUACAAAGGGUGUAAAAGAUUAGGGAAUCAUUUCUGUUUUGCUUUCCCAUUACAAAGGUUGAUUCCUUUUCUGGUAGCUAAAAUGUAGUGGCUUUCAAUUUAAUUGUCAAGCUUCUGAACAUGCAAAGCAUAAUAGAGUUCCUUAUUCAAAUAAAGGCUUAGCUUCUUUAUUACCAUUCUUAUACCUUCUUAUUAAUUCCACAAUUCAUUUUGUGGUACCAUGGUCUAUUACCUUGAGAAGAAAGGCAGGAUGAUGCUGCAAGCAGCAAGAAUCAAAGUUGUAGGCGCUUUCUAGGAGGCAUAAUUAUAAAACCAAGAUUAUAAACUGAUCCAGUUCCUAUCAUUCUAAUCAUUGAUGAUUUGAGUAUUAUUUUGAGCAUAGAUAUUAUUGCGAUUCUUCUUUCAAUAUGACAUCUCAAACUUUGGAAUUCAUCACUUGAUCUCAUCCUAAUAUUGUGCAUACGUAUCCUUUUCCAUAUAGCAAGAGCACUAUCAUACUUUAUGAUUUUAGCAUCAAACUAAAAACAAACAACUCACAUCCCUCUCACUCUUCUUCCUCUUUUAGUUUUUUUUUUCUUCUUUAAUUAAGCAAUCUAGAAUCAGAACCAUUUAGAUAUUCUCUCACGAGGAAAAAAGAAGCCCUUCAAAAUCUAUCUGAUUGAAGUUAUUUGAGCAUGAACAUCAGCAUUUCCAUAGGCAAAGAAGGAACAAGCAAGAAAUUCAGUCCAUGAAUGUGCUUCCCAAGCCUCAUGGUAGGAAUGCUGAAUGAAAUUCUUUCCGGCCAAUUUUGAUACCUUAAGCAUGGAUAACCAGAUAAUAGUAUACCUGAGAUUGCAAGAACUACACCUACAUCAUCCGUUGAAUAGCUCAAACCCCCAUAUUUUCUAGGACUGACAGCCCAUAAUGAGAAUAUCUGCAGAAGAAAAUUUUAGUUUCAUAUUAGAUAUAAGGAAAUUAGAUUAAGAUUCAAUGUCAAUAAGCAGUAGUAAAGUGGGGGCCACAAUUUGAGAUGGCCAAGUCUGUAUUCAUUGUUGGAAUAAUGGUGCCAAUGACAGAAAAACAUGUAGCCAAAGGAGGGGUUCGGUGGCAGAAAUAACAUCAUGGCAGCAUUGGCAGCGAUGAUAUGGUGGUAGACAAUGUGAUGACAAAAGCGGUGAUGAUGGUGGUAGCAAAAAAUCCAAAAUCUGGUAGAGGAUUUAGUCAUACAAAAGAAAUCGAGUUCUCCGCCAUUGAUUGAACAGCAUGAGAUUCUAAGGAAUCAAGCUACCACACUACAAUUGUCAAAGUAGAUAUAAACAUAAACUAUGUACACUGUUCAAUUCAAAUACCUUUCCAGAGUUGGUUAAAAUUUUCACUCAUUUUUUUUAUCAUUAAACAUAUAAAAUUGAAAAGAAUCAAUUAAAAAAAAUUCAUUCCUCUGAGAUAUCAAACAUGGAGAUUAUAAUGAAGCUCUGCAUUUAUGUUCCCUGUUUAUAAAAAGGACCAGAAAGUAACACUGGACAAAGUGUGUAAUAAGAAUGCAUUUAUUUAUAAAUGGAAGAAGGCUGUCUUUGAGGAGAUGAAGGCUUUAGAGAAGAACAACACAUGGGAAAAGGUGAAUUUGCUUGAAGGAAAGACGUCGAUGGGGUGUAAAUGGGUAUUCAUGGUAAAGUUUAAUUCUAAUGGAUCUUUGGAACGACAUAAAGUUAGGUCAGUGGCUAAUGGUUUUACACAAACUUACAUGAUAGAUUAUCAAGAGACCUUUGCUCCAGUUGCCAAGUUGAAUACAAUCCAAGUACUACUUUCUAUAGUUGUAAACUUGGAAUGGUCCCUACACUAGUUAAAUAUUAAGAAUACGUUUUUUAAUGGCAAUUUAAAAGAAGUCUUCAUGGAUGCUCUAGUGGGUUUUUCAGGAAAGCUUUGGAACCAAAGUAUGCAACUUGAGGAAGUCUUUAUAUGGUCUAAAGCAGUCUUCGAGAACAUGGUUCGAAAGAUUUACAAGGUCGGUCAAAAAUCAAGGCUAGAGUCGAGGAUAAAUGGAUCAUACAAUGUUCAUGAAGUAUAUUGGAGGAGGUAAGAUAACCAAUUUGAUCGUGUACGUAGAUGACAUCAUCCUUAUUAGAAGUGAUGAAGCCGAGAUAACAAGAUAGAAGAAACGCCUUGCAACUUAAUUUGAGAUUAAAGGCUUGGGGUCCCUACGAUAUUUUUUGGGAAUAGAUGUCGCAAGAUCAAAAAAGGGAAUCAUAGUCACAAAGAAAGUAUGUUAAUUUAUGUUAGAGAAACCAAGCAACUGAGGGUACAAACCAAGCAACACCCCAACAAAUCCAAACCUCAAGUUUAGAGAAACAAUCGAGAGAAUGGCAGUUGAAAUUGAAGGUACCAAUGACUUGUAGGGAAGUAGAAUUUCCCGCACCUCUUUACUUUGAUAGCUCAUAGGAAGGCGACAAUAGAAGAAAUGUGGGACCGGAAUUUUGGAGGAGGAGGGUGGAAUUUGAGGUUCAUUAAGGAUUUUAACGAUUGAGAAUUGGAUAUGGUAGACAACUUGCUUCAUGAGUUGAAGGGCCACAAUAUUAUACCUGACCUAAUUGUCCUUAAUUUCCCUAUUUUGUUAUGAGCUUAUUAAUUUAUCUAUUUUCUCUAAGACUUUCUUGAGUCCAUGAUUGUGACAAAGUGUCAGCUCAACAUCUUUGAAUUGUUGUCAUUUCUCCCUCAUUAUGUUUUAGAAAAUUUAAAAAAAAAAAAAAAGUGAAAAACAAAAUUAGUAUUUAUAUUUUUCCCAAUAUAUGGUUGUAGGGAAUAAGUUUUUCUUUGUCAUUAAUUGUUGAUAAAUAAGAAUUUUAUCCCCUUCCUAACCAGAAAUAAAUCUAUAAUAUUAAUCAUAUUUCCUUUUCAAAUCCAUUCACUUGACAAAACCUUACUUUGGGAGAGAAAUUUGGAAAGAUAUAAAGAUUAUAUGAUCAAAGAAUAUAAAGCUAUGUCGACAACUAUUUUCGAAAAUAAUUUUUUGUUUUCUAAAAAUAAAUAAAAAUACAUGUUUGACAAACAAAAAACUAUUUUUUAUUUUUUAUUCUUAAGAAUAGAAAAUAGUGUUUUUAGAUGACAUAUUUAAGGUCUGUUUGGUAAUUGUUUUGGAAAACGAUUCUAAAAAUAAUAAUUUUUAAAAACAAUUAUAUAACUUUUGUAGAACAAAAGUCUGUUCGGAAACCUAAAAUAUUUGAAAUAUAUUUUAAAAAUAAUUUUUAUAUUUAGUGUUUUAUUUUUAAUUAUUUUAUGUGAGCACAAUUAUUUUUUAAAACAACCUUUAGAAAACAAGUGAAAACAAUAGAAAAAAAAUUUUAAAAGAUGUUAUUUGAAAACACCUUAUUUUCUAUUAUUAAGAAUAGAAAACAAAAAACAAUUUUUGGUUAUCAAACAUAUUUUUUAUUUUUUUGUUCUAGAGAGCAUAUAAGUGUUUUAAAAAAUAGUUCCCAAACAGACCUGUAAUUAUUUUCAGUUGUUUUCACAUAUUCUUUAAGGAAUGUUGUAAAAAAAAAUUAAACAAACAUGUAAACUAAUUUAAAAUAAAGUACUAAAUAUACAUAUUUUUUUAAAACAUAUUUAAAAAUAUUAAAAAGAAGUUAAAAAUAUUUCAAGUUUUCAAACAAAUUUUUAUUUUAUAAAACAUCAAAGAAUAGAUUUCAAAAACUUGUUUUUAACAAUUGUUUCUUAAAAUUAUUUUAAAAAACAAUUAUUGAAUAGAGCCUAAAAUGCAUUGGCUUGAGACUCAAAAAUAUGUGAAGCAAUAAUCAAUUUAGCAUCAAGACACAUGUGCCACUCUUAUGAUAAGAAUGGGCCAACUUUUUUUGUGGGUAUUAAUUCUUUAUGGACACAUCUCUUCCAAAUUUUUAGUCUAUUCCCAAACAUUUUUUAAGUAUUUUUGUUGAAUGUUGAUAGGAAUAAAUCAAUUGGGUUUGGGAAAUUUUGCCCUUUUUGUCUUUGACUUUUUGCAUUUGGGUUGAGGGAAAUAAGUUACCAACUAAGAUUGUGUUUGACAUUGAUUAUGAGAAGUGUUUUUAAUAUUUUUAAUACUUGAAAAAUAAAAAAUCUCAAGUGUUAAAAAGAUUAGAAACGCUUUCUAGAAUCACUAUCAAAUGCAUUCCAAUUUUUCAAUAAAUUUGCGAACAUAAAUUCUGAAAAAAGCAUUCAAAUAAGAGUUGAUUUAUAUUAAAAUAAAUAUUAUUAUUUUAAUUUGGAAGAAAAAUAAUUUUUUAAUUUGAAGAAAUCUAGGGCGCAAUUGUGCGUGUUCCAUGUGGGUUUGACUACUUUUUUGUCCAUGUUCUACUUGGUAGACCCAUGCUUUUGAAUUAAAAGUUCAAUUAAUCAACGAUCACAAGCAUGUCAUACUUAAAAACAAUUUACUUGAUUUUUAAAAUCUUAAAAUAAGUAAAUAUGUAAGAAGGUAUGUAAAAAGUCAGUCUUUGGAUGAUUUUUGAGGGCUAAUGUUUGCCUAGUAUUGGAAGGUUACAAGGACAUUAAGAAGAUUUUCACCAUGGAACUUUGUAGAAAUCAAAAUUUUUAGUAAAAUAAAUUAUUAUUAAAGUUGUUCUUAAAAAAAAUGUGGCUUCCCAAUUUAAUAAAAUUUGGGAUCAACAAGUAAGAGGUCUUACACACACUUGACAAAUAACAUAUAUUAAAAAUGUGACACGUGAUGAAGUUUAGAAGACUACAAAUUUAGUCUUCCAAAUAAAAUUGAAAAUUUCAAUUGUAGUCAAAGGAGAAUUAAAUAAUAAUAAUAAAUAUUCUUUUGUUGAUAAAUUCUUAAAAGAAACAGAUAUUUUAAUUGAAGUCAAAAGAAAAUAAAAAAAUAAGUAAAUAUUCUCUCGUUGACAAAUUUUUUUAAUGAAGAAGAAGGCAAUUUAUUAAAAUCAAGCAAUUAAAUUUUGAGGAAUUCCAAAAUUUAAUUCCCUAAUUUCACCUAUAAAUAGGGGUAAUUUCCUUCAAUGGAGGAACUUCUUCAAUUCAACAAAAUGAUUUUACAUGAGAAAAAAAGGUUUCACAAAGAAGAAAAAGGCUUUAAAUAUCUCCCUACAAGUCUAACAAAUUACGAAAGUGCUAGACACGCGAUCCUUGACUUUCAAUGAGUUCAUUUGAGAAUAAGUCGGGUGUGACCCUCAAUCGAUCUCUAAACUCAAAGAAAUAUUUUCAUCAUCGUCUUCUAAAUUGUGAUCAAGAUGAAAAAAAUCAUAGGGAUAUAUUCUUUUGUAAAAGAAUAUUACCACAAAGAUUGUACCCCAUAAUUUAAUAAUUUUAAUAAAAUUUUUGUUUUACAUAUUUUGCCAUAAUUUUGCUUAUUUUGUAUGAAUUCAUGAAAUUCAUGCAUAAAAACUCAUUUUUAUUAUGUUGCAUUAUUAUAUUUUUGAAGAGUUUUAAAAUGUGAAUCUCAAUAGUGGAAUACACCUAGAGAAGGGGAGGGGAGGGGAGGGGGGAUGAAUAGGUGUUUUGACUAAUUAAAAAAAAAAUCUCAACUCAAAUUAGCAAACCUUAAAACUUUUUGAAUAUUUUUCUUCUCUUCACACAAUAUAAAAAACACAAAUUAUAAAUAACAUGUAUAUAUGAAUGUAACAAAACUCCCCAACAAUAUUAAAAUGCAAUUCACAUGCACAUGAUCCAACACUCCUAAACUCAAAUCAACUUAAACUAAAUCCUGAUAAAAACAAGAUCGAUAUAUCUCAAAAUGUCAAUGAUCAACAUUUAGAAACAACUUCAAAGAUGAUUCAUAGCCAUUUCUCUUCACCAUUCAAUUAAAUAGUACACAAUCAAAAUUAUAAUAAAUUGUUGAAACUGAAAAAUGAUGCUAAGAAGAGAGAGAGACAAUGAGACAUCAUAUUUUAACAUGGAAAACCUCCAAAGAGAUAAAAAACCAUCGGCCUACAAUCGAUCAAAAUCAUCCACUAUGAAGAAUAAAAAUUGAAUACAAGGUUUUACCUAACUCAAGCCAACCAAUCCUUCCCAAACCACUUGACUAGUAUGUUUCACUUUCAGCUUCUCACCUUCUUCUUUCGAAGCACACUUGGAGUCCACACCAAGCUCGAUCUUGGUAUUUUCUUGAACCCACACAAGAAGAAAAUGGGUUUUUGCAUAAAACUAAGAAAAUGAAAGAUGAAUGAUUUAGAAAUCAACCCGUGUUCAUUUCCAAAAAUUCCAUUAAAACAAAAUUUCUUGGAAAACUUGGAUAGGAUUUUCUUGGAGCAAACAACAUCAAAGAGAAAAUAAAAUGAGGAGCACAAGAACGGUUGUUGUAGUAUCUCCUUCCAUAAAUGGGAGAAAAUUGAUUUUAAAUGACAAAGAAACCCUUAAUCCAAGGGCUAAAAAUUGAUCUUAAAAACAUGUUAGUUGGAUCGAUCUGUCCCUAAACCUGGUUUGAUCCAGAAAUAGGGAAACAAAAGUCUUUUAGAAAAAAUAUUUCUCCCAACUUUUUUAACUCUUUUAAAGAUGAAAAAUAUGGUUGAUUUACAUUCAAUCACCACACACUCGGCUACAUACCUCCGCCUCUUAGCAAAGUCUUAAUCUUCAAAGGUCGAGUAGUAUGAAGAGGAAUUGGAAAAUCGAGUUAGAGGACAUUUAAGAAUUUUGUCCGAAAUUGCCAACCUAGCUAAACACUCACAAUCUUCCCUUUUGGAAAUUCUAGGACAAAACCCUUUACAACAUGAAUGAGUACAAGUAAGUAAGCCCCACCUACUUUCAUACAAGACCACUCACUUACCCACUCAAACUCACAACAUAAGUACUACUUAACCUGCAAUUAAAAUCUCACAAACAAAGCAAUUAGUAGAACCUGUGUGAAACAAUUGAAUAUCCAUAAUAUAUCAACAAGUAUAUCCAAAAAAUCCAAUGUAUAUUCAAAUCCAAAUGAGACACAAUCACAUAUCAACAUGUAUCUCAAAAUAUCCAAUAUAAAAAAUAAUCAUCAUGUGGAUAUCCAAUCGCCAAAAUAACAAUUAUAGUGUCUCUUCCACUUUUUGUCCCAAAAAGAGACAAAGGGCCACAAUUUCCCCCUUUAUAUCCAAGAAAAAAAGACAAAGAGAUGACAAUUCAAUAGCUGGAUAUCUAACAUACAAAUAAAAAAAUAUCCACAUUUCAACAAAAUGUCAAAUACCCAAAAAUCAAGUUUCCAUAUCAACAUCCAAAAAAAAUUUAUUAGAUAUAUACAAGAAUAUCCUCCUAAGUCCCAUCAUAAAAUAUAAGAAUCUCUCCAUAAAUCCCAUCACAUGGCUUCAAUUAAAAACUUUCAAAAAAGGCUUUAUCACCAUGAAAGCAUAUUCCAAGCAUGAAAAUGUAUGGAGACCACUCAAAACGAACAACCAAAGCCUAGGAUUAGCAUUCCUAGAAACCAAGAACACUCCAAGGAAAAAUGAAAUCUCAAACUAUUAAAACUACUGUGAGAGGACUCCACAAACAACAAGAAAAAUCCAUAUGAGACUAAUAGAGGAGAGAAGAAUGGGUAAACCAAACAAUAAUGGUUGUCGGAAAGCUUGAUUACAAACCAAGCUUGAGUAACUUGCCAGAAUAGAUGUAAACACUUGGAUGCAUAGAAAUAUGGACUAGAAUGGAUGAGAAGUGCAGAAAGAGGUAUCUGGCAUAAAUGGCCGAAAGAGAAAGUUGGCAACAAUGGUAGAAAUGCACAUAGGAAUUUUCAACAACAAAGAAUUGGAAGGUGUGUGCUGGAACUGAAAACAAGAAAAUAAGCACAGUGUAUUGGUUGUUUAGGUCACGAUUUUCGAUAGCACAUAUUGAAACCAACGUGACUAUAGUAAAGCCUCGCUGAAAAAGAGAAUCCGGUGGGAUUGGCUGGAAGAGAAAGGCUAGUAAUGGUCGAAAAUGAAGCCCGACAACAUUGGAUAGAGAUGAUGCAUAGAGAAGAAAAGUUCUCUUCUUUGGAAGAAAAAGCUUAAGGUUUUUUGAGAGAAAUGGAUGUGAAAGAAGUGCAUUUUUGGGGAUUUUGACUUUUUCAAAUUUUUUUACCUUUAAAUUAUGAAAAUACCCUUCAUCCAUUAAACCAUGAAUAUAACCAGCUGAGGGAAAAAAUGGAAUUUUUCACACAAGUGCAUAAGUGGUAUCAAUCUUGGUGGAUCGAUCUAGCUUUUGAUCGUGAGCUCUCGAUGAUACACAGUCACACAGGUUUGAAUAGGCCAAAUUUGAAAAAAAAAUGUGUGAGAGAUAAGGAAUAAGUGGUAUCAAUCUUGAUGGAUCGAUCUAGGUUUUGUUCAAGGGCUCUCGGUCACAAAACUGUGCACAUUGGAUCAAUCCACAAAUUCAGCAAAUCGAUCGACAUCCUACUGAAAAAUGACUUAGGCAAAAACUUACAAAAAAUCAUAAGAAACACACCAAAAAGCUUUCCAAAAACUGAAAAUUGAUCCGCUAAAGCUGAGAAAUAUUAGGAUGACACACUUAUGUUCCCAUCAAUGAGAUAGUAUUGAAUCAUAUUGAUUAAAAAUGCUAUCAAGAGCUUAACUUUAGACAAAAUUAAUGAACAUAGAGAUUGAGAAACCUUCCAAAAUUUUCAUAUGAAUAGGUAAAAGAACAAAUGAUUAUAAAUAUUCUAACAAAGAAGCUUAAGUUCAAAGAAGACUCGCUCAUGACACCAUAAAACAGUGAGAAUGUUAAUUACUUUCCACUUAUAAACCUAUAUCCACCCAUAAAGCAAAAAAUCAUUUUCAAGACACUAUUCUUUACUAGAGAAAUUCAAGAUAAUGUUCCAAGAAGUCAAUUUGCACAUCUCUUGGUCGGAUUUCUGUUUAACACGACCCAUUUACAUCCCUUUAACAAAGUUCAUACCUCAUUUGCUUUUCACAUUUAAUUUUGAAAUGAUUACAAAGAUAUAGACUUUACCCUUAGGAUCAAUUUUUGACCUGAGGAACACUAAGGAAACCUUUACAACAUAACAACAUAAGGAAUACCUUACCCUUGCAAUGGAAGCUUUUUAACUCUUGAAACAUUGCCAAGGAGCCAUAACCAUUCCGAGAAACUUCAUAUAUAUAUAUAUAUAUAUAUAUAUAUUUUUCUUUUCUAUUUUUCUCAUACUUAAUUUCAAAGAGAGGGCAAACAAUAAAGGAACGAUCUUCUCAACCACUCAAGGAAUUUUUGGGUGAUUUUAAUCACUCUUUAAUGCUCAUUAAAUAGGUAUAAGUCUACAUUUAGACUUUAAAUCACAAGGUUCAACCAUGAACUUUUACUCACUUAAAAGAAAUGAAGCUAACCUUUUUGUGGUUUAUCUAAUCAAAUCAACAUAGCAAGGAUUCAAUAUCAUGUUUAUCAAUCAAGCCAUGGAGAUAAAGACAUCUUGAAACUUUUAAGAUCAUUAUGAGUCAAUCUAAAUUUUAAACAAAACGAAUAAGCAUGUCACUCUCAUGAACUCAGCAAUUGUUGAAAAUUUAUGAAAAUUUGAGAAAAUAUUGAACCAAAACAACAAGAACAUCAACUUGGUGACAUUUAGGAGCUUAGAAAGACAACUAGGACUCAAGGAUACGCAAGAGAAUGUCUUAGACAAGUUCUAGAGAAAGUCAACUGAGUAUGCAUAAACCUGUGGAUUUUCUAAGGGAUUCAAACCUAGACACAUCUAAAGGUUUAGUGAAAAUAUCAGCAAUUUGACCAUCUAUUGGGAAAAACUCUAAUGAAACAACCUUUUCUUCUACCGAGUCUUGAAUGAAAUGAUAUCUAAUGUCCACAUGUUUUGACCUAGAAUGAAGAACUUGGUUAUUUGACCUAUCAAUAACAUUGACACCAUUAAAUUUUCUCCCCCUACUAAUCUUAACUUUUACAAUGGGAUGCUCUUUUUCAUUUUAAAACAACCUAUGUUGCAACAAGUGUUCAACAUAUGCAAUUGUAGGAUUUGCACACCCAAGAGAGGAGGAUGAAAGAGAUUUUUGACUAACAAUAUAGUAAUUAUCACAAGUUCUCAAGCCAAUCAUCACACAUACGUCGUUCAAGUCAAACACCUUGCACAAAUUUUGUGAAAAUUGGACAUUGAACUCACACAUUUGGCUUAUGCUAAUUAAGUUAGCCUUUAAACCUUCAAUGUAUAAGACCUCUUUAAGAUUAGGAAUGUUGGGGACACAAAUGGUACCUUUGUCUUUCACUCUAGCCGCAUUACCGUCUCCAAAUGUCACAUUUCCUCCAUCAAAUUCAAUGAAACUAGUGAAGAAUGAUUUAUUACCCAUCAUAUGGUGUGAAUAACCACUAUCAAGAUACCAUGGGUGUGUCUCACUAGCUUUAAGUGUGGUAUGGACAAUAAGACAUUUUAGCUCAUUUUUUUUCACCUAAUUUUGUUUGACAUUUAAGAUUUUUGUCUUUUAAUUCAAAGUGUUCCUUUUCACUUCACCAUUAUCAAAGAUCUUUGAGCUCUUCUUGGACACUCUCUUAUUCUCAUUUAACAACCUACCCUUCAAACUAUGAAAUUCAUUCAUGAGGUUGGUCAACUUCCUUUGAAAAUUAUCAAACAAUCUUGCAUAACAUCAAUUAAAAGUGUCCCAUUUUUCCACAAUGAUUGUAAUGAAAGUUGAUUUAGGAAUGAGUUUUCUUAGGAAAUUAUUUUUAGCAAUGCUUAACAAAAACUGUUUUACUACUACUUUGAGUAGCAUUUCCACCAAGAAAUCCUAAGCUUCUUUUAUCAAAAGAUUACGCCUUGAAUUAAUCAACUAGAGCUAUGAUGUAACUCUUUUUUUCCUAAUACUUAACUCAUCCUUGAAUAUUUGAUUUCCACUUUUCAACACAUCACAUUUUUUCUUCACUUCCAAAUGUAAAUUUUCAAGAAAUGCAAUUUUAUCAAGCAAAGCCUUCUUUUCUCCAUUUAAAACAACCUCAUUGGUUAAAAUCUUCUUAGAAGCCUUCCACUUGACUUGUUCUUGUUUAAGGCUCAAACACUCCUUAUACAAAGUAUCAUAUGCUAUGUCAAAACUCAUGUUAUCAUCAUUGGAGUCACUUGACUCACUUAACUCACUUGAAGCUUCUUUAAAGAGAGGUUCCUCAUUGACACUUGUAGAAAAGGCAAUGAAGUUAGUGUAUUCCUCACUUCCAUUGGAUUCUUUUUCAAUUAAUUGAUUAGACUCGGAGUCACUCUAAGUAACUUGCAUAGCCUUUUUAUUCUUUUUCUUUGAGGGACAUUCAAAUGCAUAGUGACCCUUUCCCUCACAUUUAAAGCACUCAAUUUUCAACUCAUUUUCACACAUUUUUCCAUCUUUUUCUCUUUUCCAAUUGAGUUCCUCCAUUUUUUUACCAUCAAUUGAUUCUUUCUUGGAUUUUCUGAAUUUCAUGUGCUUCUUGAAUUUUUUUUAGCAAACUUAGUAAGCUCACCUUUUGAUAUUUUCUCAUCAUCCUCACUUUCGGAACUUAGGGACUCUUCUUUAAUACCUUUUAAAGCAAUUCCCUUAGCUUUCCUAGGUGAUGCAAAGGUCACCUCAAAGGUUUGAAGGGAACCUACAUGUUCAUCUAUUUUCAAGGAACCUGCAUCCUUAGACUUUUCAAUGGUGGUGAUCUUAGCUCUAAAUCUUUCCAGGAGAGGUCUUAAAAUUUUUCUAACCACCUUAGAGUUAGAGAUGGGUUCACCUAGAUUGAAACUAGAAUUCAUUAUAUCCAUCAAUUUUGCAUGAAAUUCUCCAAAAGUUUCAUGAUCAUCCAUCCUAAUGGUCUCAAACCUAGAUGUCAACAUUUGAAACUUGGACACUUUCAUGACAUUAGUUCCUUCAUGAGUCACUUGGAGGAUAUCCCAAGCCUCCUUAGCUAAAGUGCAUAUAGCAAUCCUACAAAAUUCAUUCAUACUAAUGGCAUUGAAGAUGGAGUACAUGACUCUAACAUUAUUUUCACUAGUUUCACUUUCACUUCUAUCCCAUUCCAAUUUAGGCUUGACAACAUUUGUUGAUCUACUUUCUCUAUCCAACACCAUAGGUGGAGACCAACCAAAUUCAAUGACAUUCCAAACUUUUUCACUUUGCAUUUUGAGAAAAUAUUGCAUUCUCACUUUCCAAUGAGAAUAAUUUUCAUCGGUUAAAAAAUGAGGUCUCCCAAUUGAAGCACCCUCUUGAUGAGGUUCCAUAUUUGAGAUUCAAGGAUCAAAAAUGAUUUUUGCUUUAAAAACCCACUCUGAUACCAAUUGAAAAGGUGAAUCUUAAUAGUGGAAUACACUUAAAGGUGAAGGGAGAGAAGGGGAGAGGGGGUUGAAUAGGUGUUUUGACCAAUUCAAAAAAUCCUCAACUCAAAUUAGCAAACCUUAAAACUUUUUGAAUGUUUUUAUUCUCUUCACACAAUCUCAAAAACACAAAAUAUAAACUACAUGCAUGUAUAAAAGCAACAACACUCCCCAACAAUAUUAAAAUGAAAUUCACAUGCACAUGAUCCAAUACUCCCAAACUCAAAUCAACUUAAACUAAAUCCUGAUAAAAACAAGAUCAAUAUAUCUCAAAAUGUCAAUGAUCAACAUUCAGAAACAACUUUAAAGAUGAUUCAUAGCCAUUUCUCUUCACCAUUCAAUCAAAUAAUAGACAAUCAAAAUUAUAAUAAAUUGCUGAAACUAAAAACUGAUGCUGAGAAGAGAGAGAGACAAUGAGACACCGAAUUUUAGCCUGGAAAACCUCCGAAAAGAUAAAAAAACUAUGGGCCUACAACCAAUAAAAAACAUCCACUAUGAAGAAUAAAAAUUGAAUACAAGGUUUUACCUAGCUCAAGCCAACCAAUCCUUCCGGGACCACUUGACUAGUACCUUUCACUUUUAGCUUCUCACAUUAUUUUUCUAGAACACACUUGAUGUCCACACCAAGCUUGAUCUUGACCUCUUCUUGAAUCCACACAAGAAGAAAAUUGGUUUUUACAUCAAACCAAUAGAAUGAGAGAUGAAUGUUUCAGAAAUCAACCUAUGUUCAUUUGCAAAAAAAAUCCAUUAAAAACAAAAUUUCUUGGAAAACUUGGAUAGGAUUUUCUUGGAGCAAGCAACCUCAAAGAGAAAAAUGAAUGAGAAGCAUAAGAACGGCUAUUGUAGUCUCUUUUUCCAAAAAUGAGAGAAAUUGAUUUUAAAUGAGAAAGAAACCCAUGAUCCAAUGGCUGAAAAUUGAUCUAAAAAACAUGUUAGUUGGAUCGAUCUGCCCCUGCACCUAGAUCGAUCCAGAAACAAGGGAAUAUAAGCCUUUCAACAAAAAUAUUUCUCUCAACUUUCUUAACUCUUUUAAAGAUGAAAAACAGGGUUGAUUCAUAUUGAAUCACCACACACUCGGCUACAUACCUCAGUCUCUUAGCAAAGUCUUAAUCUUCAAAGGUCAAGUAGUCCGAAGAGGGAACACUAAAGAAUUUUGUUCGAAAUUGCCAACCUAGCUAAACACUCACAAGCUUGUUGUUGAAGAAUCAUUGGAGGGUUUUCUUUUCAUUAUCUAAUGAUUUUUAAGACUAUUUUUUUCCUUUCAAAAAUCUCUCGAUUGGAGAAGGGAUUUUAUCUAGUUACGUUUAAUUAUAACUAAAACAAGGGUGUUUAAUUUGUAAGAAAUUUGACUUCUUGUUUUAAAAAGUUUGUGAUAUGUAAGAAAUUCUUUUAAUUCUCUUCUUCAUUUUAAUUUGAUUUUGUGUAAUGCAAUUGAAGUAUAUUUCAAAUUUAGGACAUGAGUAUUAAUGAAGCCCACCCUCACAUAAGAUAAAAAAUAAAAACUAGAAAUAAAUGCAGUAAAUUCAAUUUUCAAAAUAGAAGUAUAGUUUUUUUUUUAAACAUGGAAUUUAUUAUUAUCUAUUUUUAAAAUAAAAAAAAUGUAUCUAAACAAAUAAUAAUGUAUUGACCAUAGUUCUUUUUCCAAAUCAAUCAACUUAAUUAAAACUUUACUAUCGUAUGGGGUCAGAGGUAGGUUGAUUCGAAGAAUUGUGGUGAUAUCCAUAAUAUUGAGGUAUUCUUUUGAUGCUUGAACCUGACAUCCCUUUUUUUCACUCCUAACACUUUAUGAAAAAGAACUUUUGUUGUUGAGUGCACUAAUGUACUAGUGUAUGUGAUGCACAUUGGAUAGGACCUAUGGUGAAUCAUGAUGUAAGACUAUCGAUUGUCAUGAUUUAUUAAGCUAUUAUAUUGCAUGGACUCUCAACUUUGAGAGGAUAUUAAGUCUAUGCCAAAGUCAAUAGAAGGCUUUGACCUAUGGGUGAAACCCCAAAGUGGUCACAUAUUCCUAUGAAUUUGGUCACUAUUGAUGGAGGUUGGUGGCAACAUGGAUUUUUCAAUAUAGACACCAUGAUAUCUUAUGGAUUGAGACAAUGUGUUCUAUCCAAUGGACAUGUGAUUUAGGAGACUAUGGUCAUAGCAUUUUCCUUAAUGAAAAUUUGACAUAUACUCUUUGGAAUUAGAGUAUGUCAAUUUAUAAUACAAUAAGUGGAAUAUGUAACUGAAGGAUUAGAAAGGUAAUCUUGAUAGGUGAUAUCACUACCUUGUUAGAUUACGGGCAUCAAUUCAUAGGAAGCUUGCAUGUAGUGGAUAGUAAGGCAUGAACCUGAACUUCGUCUCGUUGUUAUUUACAUAGGGUAUUAGAGUGCGGUUGAUUCUUUUUAGUGGAAUGUUGAAUCAACUUUAGAAAUUAAUUUUAAGAGAGGCAAUACUCCUAUAGGUCACCGCUCUUAGCUUAUAUACCAUAAUGACAUGGUUUAUGAGGGUUAGAAUGACUCUAGGUUCACUUUUGUGCAUAAGGAUAUUUUGGUAAUUAUACAAGGUUGAGUAAAGGAUAGUAAACAAGUUCUCUGCAUUGGACUAAUUGAUUAAUUAAAUGGUCCUAUAUGAUUAAUCAAUUAGGAUCAGUUUUGGGUUAAAUUAAGUGAUACAAGUUUUGGUGGGCUCAUGUCAUUUAAGCCCAAUAGGGGAACCUUAUAAAUACCCUUUAGGGGGUGUUUGGUGCAUAGGAAUGAGAAGUGGGAAUAGUAAUUUCAUUCAUUCCCUCCCUCAUUCCCAUGUUUGGAUAAAUUUUAUAAAGGUAAGAAUGUAAUAAAAAAUAAUUCCGGUAGAAAUCAAAUCCCACUUUGAAGUGGGAUUUCAAUUUAUCGUAAGUAGGUGGUAUUCUAACUCAUUUAUCCAAUAAGAAAAUAUAAUAUAAUCUAAAAUUACUAUUUUAUCCUUGAAUGUCAUUCAUCAAGCCUCGAUGCCUUUUCAUCCCAUAAUAAGACUAUUUUUUAGUCUUAUUAUUUAGAAGAAAAAAAAAAAGCUCUCAAUUUUUUUAAUGAAAAAAAAAAAAAAAAUUAUUGUAAAUUAUGUAAGGAUAUUAUAAUCAAUUUAUUUCUUUUUCAUUUUCAUUCCUAUUAUUACCAAACACUAUAAUGGAAACAAAUAAUCUUUCAAUCUUGAAUUCCUAAGUUCAUCCAAACCCUAGAAAUAGAAUCACCAAAUUCAUUUCCAUUCACCAAAAAAUAGGAAUGGAAACAAAAUAUUCAUUUCUAUUCCCUAUUCCUGUGUACCAAACACCUCCUUAGGGGUUAAGGUUUCCAUCACUUUUAGUAUGAGAGUCAUCUUCCACCUUUGAGCAGAGAAAGAGAGAGCUUAGGAUUCUUCCAUUCCAAAACCCAUGCUUUGAAAUAUCAAAAUCAUGAUUCGAGUCAUCGGGCGGAAGAUCUUGGGUGUAUAAGACCCUCAGAUUCUUCCGGCUUCAUCUUAACCAAGUGGAAUUGAUUUGGGAACAUUUAAAUCGAAGGUAAGUUUUUUAAUGUCUUUAAUCUAAAUCCUAAAAUGUUAAAAAAAAAUGUUAUUCUUCACUUUUGUUACAUAAGAUUUAGAGGCCUAGUGUAGUUAGCAUGUUUUUAUUUGAUCUAGGGUAUGAGAACAGAUAAAUCCAAGGUUCCCAGUAACUAACACCCUAACCAUAGAUCUAGCUUUUGAAAAUACUUUUACUUACACAAUCUAUCAAACAAGUUAGCAACGAGUGUAAUUAGGUGUCUAUUCUUACUUGUUACCUUGUUUAAUGCAUAAUAGUCAAUGAAAAUUUGCAGUAACUCAUCUUACUUCUUUUGCAAAAAAAUAGGUGCCCAUAUGGUACCCUUAAAGGUUAUAUCAAGCCUGAUUCUAACAAAUCCUUCAACUACUUACUAUGUUUCACUAGCUUUAAAAGGGGACACUCUAUAUGGAACUUGUAAGGAUACCUGAAUCUCUUAUUUCUCUAUACUCGAAUUGGGUUAAGAGCAUGAAAUUCUUCCUAGGGGCUCCAGAUCCUAGCAACAAAAGCAAAAGAUACAUUUUUAAAAAUAAAAAAAAUCUAGAUUAAUAGUUAUAAAAACCUUUAACUCAGAUUUGAACUUUCCUAAAUUUAUUCCUUUUGAUGUAGAUGGAGAUCGAAGUCAGAGGUCUCAAAUACUAAAAAUCUUCUACCCAAUGACUCUUCCUUGAUCAUGGUACACAAUUAAUGGGGAGGAUUAGAGGGUAGAGACUAUGACUCUCUCUCUCUAGAUGAUGGAAGACAACUCACUUCAAAAGUGAUGAAAACCCUAACCCCUAAGGGGUAUUUAUAAGGUUCCCUAACUAGGCUUAAAUGACUUGAGCUCAUCAAGAGCUUCGGUCAUUUAAUUUAGUCCAAAAUGGAUCCUCAUUGAUUAAUCAACUCAACAAGGCUUAUAUCAACUAACCCAAUCUAUGAACUUUGUUCACUAACCCCUAUACAACCUCGUAUAAUUACCAAAAUGCCCUUAUGCACAAAAGUGAACCUAGAACUAAAGCUUAUCCACAAAAUUCCCUUAUGCCUAAUCUAUCACCCAUUCCUUUCCAUUAUGAAGUUAUGGAAUAGGCUUCCAUCUUGUAUUCCACCAAGUAAUAUGUAACAACCAUUGCUACAUAUAAAUCUCUUAAAUCUUGUCACCUUAACUCAAUUUGAGCCGACCCAUGCUUGAAAGCUAGACAUGAAGUUGAACAACUUGUCUUCCUCAAACAAAUUCUUGGUUUCUAACAUCAAUAUUGAACUAAUUACUUCACAUAAUCCUUGAUAAUGCUUAUAAGCUUUAGUUUCAUAGGGGAUUCAAUUCUUUAGCCAUCCAUGCAUUGUUGGAGGAGAGAAAUUGAUCUUUUAGUUUCUUUUUAGUAGCUAGGUCCUAUCUUGAGACAUGAGGAUGCCUUGUCAUCUGUCGACAUUCUCCACCAUAGUUUGGUAUCACCAGCUAUGUACAUUAUUGUAAUGGAGAGUUAUUAUUUCUUCAAAGUAUGAGCAACUUUGAAAAUCCUCCUCCAUAUCUUAAAAGAAAUUCUCAAGAUCCUUUGCAUUGUUUACACCCUUGAAGUUUUUCAACUUAGGUACACUAACUUUCAUUGGAGCAUCAGAUUCAUCAAGCAUGCUUUGCACCACAACCUUUUUAAGCACGACUAGUUCAUUCUCCACAAACUAUAUUUUGGCAUGAAACCCAUCUAUGACUGUCAUGAAAUUAGUUUUGCAUUCUACAAGAAUUUCCUUUGCAAACUUAUCAUGUUCCUUUAGUAGAUUCUUUUAAACUUCAAAUUCAUAAGAGAACUCAUCCAUCCUAGGUAGUAGUCUAGACUUGGUGUCAACUAAGGCAUUUCUAGGAUACACCUUUAUUGAGCUACAUGUUCUCCCGAUGCUUCCAUAGAAAUUUUACCAUCCAUUAUCUACCAAAAAUCCUUGCUCCAAUACCAAAUCAUCACAAGAAUUCACCACCAUAAAUUUUUUUUCUCAUGAUGGCCUUGAGACUCAAUUUAGCUAGCCCAUCACAUAGCAACACAAGCCACACAAAAGAAGUACAAGGAACGCAUAGGAAAUCACUUCUCAAUUUGAACUAUUCCUGUCACAAUACAAGAAACCAAUGCUUACAAGAAAACAGAGGCUCUCUACAUUUUCCAUGUAUAAUAAACUAUUUAUAGGCAACUAGUGGCCAUUAGUUAUUCGAAGUAAUUGUCCAUAUUUUAGAGACCUUAGCCUAUGUUCUACCAUGUCUUAUCAAUUUCUCUAUGUUCAUAAUUUGUCCUCAGGUGUUGUUAGGUGUCUCACACACUUUAGCCUUCCCUUAGGUAGCAUAAUCCUAUGUUUCCUAAUCAAUAGGAAGUUGCCUUUCCAUGCAUUAGUUGCCCCUGUCUUUGCUGAUGACUAGGUGUAGUAUUUCCAUUGAUCAAAUAUCUUAGUAACUACCUUCACAUGUCAGCCAAAUGCCUAUGCUUUAUGCCUCAACCAUCUAGCCCCACAUGUCUUGCAUGCUCCCAUCCUUAGGCUUGCAUGCCUUAGCUAACUAACUCUAUGUGUCUCGCAUACAUGUACUUACAUGCUUAUUUUUGGCUUACCAAGCCAACCCUUGUUUAGCAUCAUAUCCUUUCAUCAUGUGAUGGGUCUCAUGACCUUGGUUAUACCUAAGGUUCAUGCACAUGGUGUCAUCCACAUGUAACCCAUGCACCAAGUUCAAAACAACUUGCCUUAUCUUGGCCACACUAACCACAUCCACUGUGUCAUGCUCUUUGCUUACGGUUUUGUGUCCACACUCUUAUGCCUCACCUAAGCUAUUGCAUACUUGGGUGUGUGCAAAUUCUCAUGGUGCCUUGCACUUGUUGAUGGAGUCUUGGUGUGUUUCUAGUGUGCUCCUGCCAUGCGCCCAUAAUCUUGGGUUACCUCAAGUAAGACUAACACCCCUCCCUAAAGAGCAUGAUCAAUAGGAGACAUCAAGAGUGCUUCCAUAAGUAUAAUAGAUUUUUUCUAACUAAAAUGAUCUUUUUUUUUUUAAAUACCCUAUCACUAAGAGAAUUCUUGGCCAUCAAGAAUGCUUCCAUAAGUGUAAUGUAUUUUUUUUUAAUUAUAAAAAAUCUAGAAAAAUACCCUAUAACUUAGAAAAUUCCUUUUAAGCCUCCAACAACUUUUGGAACCCAUCAAAGCACCAACACCGAACACUUGUUUCAAGUCCACAUGAGUAUGCCAUCACAUAUUGUAGCAUGUGGUCCCCACAAGUCAUGCAAUGCCUACUAGCAAUAUUGUGUUCACAUACAUACUCUGCAACUCAUGUCACUCAACCCGAUCCCUUAGGUUAUGUUUGAUUCCCAAAAAUGUUAAGAAAAGAAAAAAAAAAUUAAGAAAAAUGGGUUUCUCAUAUUUGGUUCUAUUAUAAAAAGAAAAUAUAAAAGAAAAUUAAAUAUAAUUAAAAUUAAUUUGAAAUUUAUAUAUUUUUGAAUUAUUUAAUCUUGUUAUUGUAGAAAGAAAUAAGUAAAAUGACUUUGAAAAAAUAUAUAAAAAUAAUUUAUCAAAUUUAAAUCUAUUUUUUAUUUUCUUCCACUUUUCUUCUCUAUUUUCUUUCCUUCACAUUUUCCCUCAAAUUUUCUAAACCAAACAUACCCUUAAUAUUGUCUCAAUCGAGUUCCCACCAAGACUUGGUCUUUGGAAAUGACAAGCCAUGCAUAUGUUUUCCAAGCCACAGAAUGUCAUUGGAAUUAAGAAAUGCAGCCACAAAUAUAUCUUAGGCCAUGUGUGAGCUGCCAUACCACAUAGCCGUACAAAUUUAUUAAUUAUUUUCUUGAUUAGAUUCUCCUGAAGGCAUGAUCCCGGGGCUUUAAUUUAGAGGAGAAGGUGCAUUCCAUCAUACCCACCCACACCUCUUUCUCACUCCUUUUCAUGCAUUAAAUGAUAUAAGUAUACUUAAAUUUUAAUUUCUCCAAACAGGUGGGCGCAAGUGAUGUGAGAUGGAGCAAAUAAAAUAGUGGGCACAUUUAACACGAGACAUAGACUUAAUGAAUAAUUAAUUAAAAAGUUAUUUUGAAUGGUCUGUCCUUUUCCUGCAAAGAUUUUUAACCUUAUUUGAAUCUUGGCGGUCCACAUGUGUUUUAAUUUCUUAAAAGACUUCCUUUUAGGGUGAGGGUGGAAAAUUUUGUUUAGUUCUUUAGGCGCCACUCUUGAUCAUGCUUCUAUUUUUAUUUUUAUUUUUAUAUUUUAGGAAUUAAAACAACUGCUACCCUAUUUGAUUAAAAGGAUUUGUAAAAACUCAAUUUUUGAAAUUUAAUUUUCUAUAAUUUUUUUGUCUUAUUUUGAUAAAAAUGUCAUCGUUAUUUUCUUAUAAAAAUAACAUUUUAUUUGAAAACUUAUAUGUAAAUACACAAAAUGAUAAAUGAUAUUUAUGUAAAAAAAAAAUAGAUUAAUUUAAAAAAAUAAAAUAUAAAAAGAGUUAAAUUCAUAAUUCGAGGGUUAUAUCAUUCAUUUUAACUAAAUAUUUCUAAUUAUAUAUAUUCAAGAAAUCAUAUUUUAAUUUGUCACAUCCACUGGACAUAAAGGUUAAUCAUAAAAGUGUAUUUUUUUAGUAUAAAAGUAAAAGAUCAAUUUCAUUCAUUUUUUCUAUGGUUUAGAAAAAAUGAAUGAAAAUAAUAAAUGAAAAAAAUAGAAAGUUGUUUGAUGAAAUUUCAAAUAAAUGAUAGUUAAAUGUAUUAAAUCAAAAUUUCAGAGGAAGUGAAUGAAAUUAACUCAAAAAAUUAUGUAAAUAUAUAAUAAUAUUUUAAAUUUAGAAUCUUGUAAAUUUUUUCUAUUCGUAUGGGGUUGAUAUGAUAAAAUAGGGUAAAAAUAUUUAUAAAUAGAUCUAAUACAUUAUUCUUUCACUUAUAAAUUGGAUUAGGGAAUGUUUGAAUUUUAAAAAGCUUAAUUCAAAAAUGAUAAAUAAAAAAAAAGGAAAAAACCAGGAAAAAAUACUAAAAUUUAUCACUUAUUUCAACAAAAUAUUUUGUGAGGAAAAAAAAAUUGUAACCUAAUACACUUUCUCCAUAAGAAAAAGGGAGACAAAGAUCUUAAGUUCUUGUUUGAUGAUGGUUUUUGAAAACAACUUUUUCUUUUUUAGGAAAAAUAAAACACGCAUAAUACCUAGAAAACAAAAAAAAAAAAAUUCUUAAAAACAAAAAAUGGAUUAUUUUUAAAGAAUAUUUUUAAUUAUAAAAUAAUUAUACAAAUAUUAUAUAUAGCAUUUAUCUUUAAAAUUAUAAAAAAAAUAUGUUAAGAAUAUUUGAGAUUUUCAAACAAAUUUUUAUUAAUACGUACCACAAUUUUGAGAACUUAUUUUUUAAACAGAAAACAAUUUUCACUUUCCAACUAGAGCCAAAAUCUCUAAGCAAUUUUUUUUGCCUUUAAUUAUUUUGUGUUUUUGGUUUUUUUUUUUUUUAGUCUUUUUCAUAAUAUCUAUAUUAAGAUUAUUUUUCCUUUCCAAUAAAUGUUAUGUAAAAAAUAAUUGUUCCUACUAUAUUUGAAUAGUAUAUUCUCUUAUAUUCCACGUCACCCCACACAACACCCUACCAUCCAAACAAGAGCACAUACGGUACCAACUAAACUCAGCCUUCAAAUUCUAUCAUUAACAAACCAAAGAUUGUUUUUUAACCAGCUUUAACCUUUAAACUUCAAUGAUCUCGUCAACUUGUUAGCCAUAAAGAAUUAAGAAUGAGUGGAAGCGCCUGUGGUAAAUGCCAUAAAACCAAAAAUCAAAUACUGAGACGUCUCUUUAUUAUUUACUUUAUAAACUUGCUGGUAUGAUGUGAUGCUCGCUUUCUCAUCUCAACCUGUUCAUUUCUAUCUCUUCUUAUCUCCUUGUUUCCUUUCGUAGGCUUGGGUUAUACGAUCAAAUAAAAUAUUUGGACCGUUUAUACUUAUAGUGUGGCUUUGGUACAUCGGCGGACCCCUUGUGACAAAGACCCAUUUCAAUUUUCAAUUAAUGGCUACGGACUCGUGCCCUUAAAUGCAUUGAUCCUCGCCACAUCCUCCAUCUGUUCAAUCACAACUUUUCCUUAUCACUUUUGUCUUCUCCGGUUCUGUUUCGAAUACGUUUCCAAUUUUUCUGUGUUUUUGUUUGGGUUUUGAAUAAUGGGGUGGGGUGGGGUGGGCGGAGUGACGUAACUGCUUAUGUUACAAGUGAACAGCCAAGACUGUCCUUUUAAGCUCCACCAGAUCCACAGCCUUUUGCAAACACCAAGUCUGCACCACCCUCUUACAUUAUUUGCUUCCUUGUCUGUCUGCAUCUUGUUUCCCCGGGCUCCAAACGGCGCUGGUGCAACUGCAGCAUUGUUUUGGGCGGUCCGGGAGCAAAUGGCGGAAGAGCAGCAGGUGCCGCUGUUGAAGAAGGUUUACUAUCAGAAUUGCUCAGGGUGUAGAGUGGAACAGCUUAAAGAGACCAGACGCGGUUUACCCAUUAGGGAGCUUGUUUCUAUAUGGAGUGUGGUGCUAUGUACUGGUAAGUAGUAUCGUUUUCUUUGAUCUCAAUCGUCUUUGCAUUAUACUAUGCCUUUUUCCGCAGCUAUUUGGUGGCUUGGUGUUGGAAGUUGAAAAGUAGAGAUGGGUGAAGGAGUGUAAGGUUAAGUGAAAAUGGGUACAUUUUGUCAAUCAAGAAAGAGCUUUCUGUGAAGCGUGAAGCUGAAUUUGAUGUCUUCUUAAUAUUUUCCGGAAAAGAUAUUUAAAAUAUUUGGUCAUAUUUUUGUUUUUAAGCUGUAUUUCAUGUACCUGGUGCAGAAAGGAGGAAAGCAGAAUCAUGGGCAGGUACAACUGAGUUGAUUUUCUAAUCGUUGAUUGGAAGAGAAACUACCUCUGGGUAUGCUCUUAGAAGGUGGAACAAAAGCAAUCAAAAGAGGGAGGAAAAUAAAAAAGUUCUUUGACAUAACAUAUUUUAUGGAAUGUUCUUUUUCCUUUUUCAUUUUGGUUACAACUGAGUACAGUUUCCAGUGGUUGAGUGGCUCUGCUUAAGGAUGAUUCGUAGGUCCAAUUUACUGGAUUGGGCUUAGUACCAGAUGUAGGGAAUUAAACCGAAUUCCCAACCCGUGAGAAACAAAAAAAUAGAGAAAACACACGCCAAAGAAAAAACAAUCACACACACAAGACAGUAUUUACGUGGUUCGGCAAUUUGCCUACGUCCACGGAAUUGCAGGGAUAUCACUAUUAUCAAGGAAGAAUAUAGAGUACAACCUAGCGGCUACAAUAUUCUCUAUAUAUAUAUAGCACGGCAACCCCACCAUACUAAAAAACCCUAAUUACAAAAGGUGGUUCCACAAUGGGCUAAACGGGCCCAACAGGCCUCAAUAAAUCUCCCAUUAAAAAGCCAUGCAAUAUUAUUCGGGUCGGGUCGUCAAACCAGAUCAAACAAAACUAGGCUCCACAAAGCCCAACAAAUCUCCCACUUGGAGACUAGUCCAAUCACCAACAUCAAACCGUUAUCCUCCAAGAAACAAUCCCUCAUCCUUACAACUCAUCCUCCUGUCCUCAAGCUAUAAGACCAAUUGAAGCUGCGCACAGCUUCAACUUCUCAAUAGUGACACCCUUAGUCAACAUGUCUGCAGGGUUCUUAGAUCCACAAAUCUUCUCAAGUAUUACCAGUUUAUCCUCAACAAGAUAACGGAUAAAGUGGUAUUUUGUUUGUAUAUGUUUCGACUUUGAAUGAAAAGCCGAAUUUUUGGCAAGAAAAAUUGCACUCUGACUGUCACUGUGUAGAAUGCCCAUCUCCUGCUUCUUACCUAAUUCAUCUAAGAAACCAUGUAGCCAAAUCAUCUCCUUUCCAGCUUCAGUUGCUGCAACAUACUCAGCUUCUGUAGUAGACAAAGUAACAAUCUUCUGUAGAUUUGAAGUCCAUGAUAUAGCUGUACCACCUAGAGUAAAAACAAACCUAGUAGUACUCUUUCUACUAUCAAUAUCACCAGCAAAAUCAGCAUCUACAUAACCCUGCAAUUUCAAACUUGCACCUGUGAAGCAAAGACAUGUAUCUAAUGAACCCUUCAGAUAUCUUAAAAUCCACUUGACUGCCUCCCAAUGCUGCUUUCUAGGCCUACUCAUGAAUCUGCUCACAACUCCCACUACAUGUGCAAUGUCUGGCCUUGUACACACCAUAGCAUACAUCAAGCUGCCAAUAGCUGAGGCAUAGGGCACCUUGCUCAUAUGGUCUCUUUCUUUUUCUGUCUUGGUGACUGUUCUUUGCUUAGUUUGAAAUGACUACCCAAGGGUGUGCUCACUGGUUUAGCUUCAUUCAUGUUGAACCUGCUGAGAACUUUCUUCACAUACUCUGACUGUGAAAGCUUCAAUGUACCAUUAGCCUUGUUUCUAAUGAUUCUCAUACCAAGGAUUUGCUUUGCAGCUCCCAAAUCCUUCAUUGCAAACUGUUUGGACAAUUGCUUCUUCAGAUUAUUAAUCUUCUCAAUGUCAGACCCUACAAUAAGCAUAUCAUCCACAUACAACAGUAAUAUGAUGUAAGAGUUGUCAAAGGACUUAACAUAGCAACAAUGAUCAACUUCACAUCUCUUGAACCCAAUUCUAUGCAUAAAAUUGUCAAACUUCUUGUACCACUGUCUAGGAGCUUGUUUAAGGCCAUACAAGCUCUUUCUCAGUUUGCAGACUAGAUUCUCUUGUCCCUGAACAAUGAACCCUUCUGGCUAAAUCAUGUAAAGGUCUUCCUCCAAGUCACCAUGAAGGAAUGCUGUCUUCACAUCUAACUGCUCAAGAUGUAAGUUUUUUGCAGCCACCAUUCCAAGUACAAGUCUAAUUGUUGACAUCUUCACAACUGGAGAAAAUAUCUCUGUGUAGUCAAUGCCCUCCUUCUGUUGGAACCCUUUAACAACUAAUAUGGCCUUAUAACGUUUGCUACCAUCAUGCUCAUUAUUUAUUCUGUAUCCCCACUUGUUGUGCAAAGCCUUCUUUCCUACUGGCAAUUCAAUCAGUUCCCAUGUCUGAUUCCCCAACAGGGAAUCCAUUUCAUCCUUCAUGGCUAACUCCCACUUGCUUGAAUUCUCAUCUUGCAAGGCUUCAUCAUAACACUCUGGCUCACCACCAUCAGUCAACAGGAGAUAAUUUAAAACAGGUGAAUAACGCUGCGGAGGUCUAAUGUUCCUAGAAGAUCUGCGAACUUCAACUACAGGUGUACUCGAUCUACCUGUGAAUUUACAUUCUCCUUAUCUUCUUCACCCCCUUUUUGGACAGUACUUUCAGUCAAUCCAUCUAAGUUGACAAACUUAGAUUUCUUUUGAUCUAUCUCUGUAACAUCUGACACUGCAGAUGACCUGUCUUUGUACAUAACCUGUUCAUUAAAUAUCACAUUUCUACUUCUGAUGAUUUUCCUGUUUUGUUCAUCCCAAAACCUAUAGCCAAAUUUCUCAUCACCAUAGCCAAUGAAAAAACAUAUUUUUGACUUUGCAUCAAGUUUACUACGAGCAUCAGAAUCAAUAUGAACAUAAGAAAUACAACCAAAAACUUUUAAAUGUGAAAACUUCACCUCUUUACCGCUCCAAACCUCCUCAGGAAGUCUGAACUCCAUGGGAACUGAUGGUCCUCGGUUUAUCAGGUAAGCUGCAGUGCUAACAACAUCAGCCCAAAAAGUUUUUGGUAGUCCAGCAUGCAUCCUCAUACUUCUAGCAUGUUCAUUGAGAGUUCUGUUCAUGCGCUCAGCCACACCAUUCUGCUGUGGUGUCCUAGGAAUGGUCUUCUCCAUCCUAAUUCCCUGUGCAGCACAAUACUCACUGAACCCUCCAUCUAUGUACUCUCCUCCAUUAUCUGACCUCAAACAUUUUACUUUCAAACCUGUUUCUAUCUCAACCAUGGCCUUCCAUUUCUUAAAAGUUUCAAAUACAUCAUAUUUAUUUUUCAGAAAAUAAACCCAUACCUUUCUACUUGAGUCAUCAAUAAAAGUGAUGUAGUACCUUGAACCUCCUAGGGAUGCAACUGGAGAAGGCCCCCACAAAUCAGUAUGUACUAGUUCCAAUUUUUCAGCCUUCGGUGUCCUGCUAGUUUUCAAUAAGCUCACCUUUUUUUGCUUUCCUAAGAUGCAACUUUCACACAUGUCAAAAUUAAUGGACUUCAAUUCUGGUAGUUUUCCUUUUGACAGCAACAUCUUCAUCCCUUUCUCACUCAUGUGACCAAGUUUGCGGUGUCAUAGGCUUGUAUCAGUACUUGCAUCAGCAACUGCAAUUGUGUCUCUUGGACAUGAGGUCAUACACAGAGUGCCAGACUUCUUUCCACGAGCCAAUACCCUAGCUUCCUUUGUAACCUUCCAAGUACCACCAACAAAUAGUAUUGCAUGUCCUUCAUCAUCAAGUUGUCCAACAGAAAUCAGAUUCCUCCUCAGGUCAGGAAUAUGUCGAACCUUCUCCAGUAACCAAACAGACCCAUUGGGCAACGAUAUCCGGACAUCUCCCAAACCCACAACAUCCAAGGCUGAACCAUCAGCCAAAUACACCUUACCAAAAUCACCUGCAACAUAAUUCUGUAUGAUUUCUCGGUGUGGAGUGGUAUGAAACGAAGCUCCUGAAUCCAAAACCCAAUCAUCAAGUGGAUUGUCUAUUGCAAGAAGUAAUGCAUCAUGUACCUCUUCUGUUACAGUAUUAGCAUAAUCAUCUUUCAUCUUCCUUCUAGGGCUUUUGNNNNNNNNNNNNNNNNNNNNNNNNNNNNNNNNNNNNNNNNNNNNNNNNNNNNNNNNNNNNNNNNNNNNNNNNNNNNNNNNNNNNNNNNNNNNNNNNNNNNGCUCCAAACCUCCUCAGGAAGUCUGAACUCCAUGGGAACUGAUGGUCCUCGGUUUAUCAGGUAAGCUGCAGUGCUAACAGCAUCAGCCCAAAAAGUUUUUGGUAGUCCAGCAUGCAACCUCAUACUUCUAGCACGCUCAUUGAGAGUUCUGUUCAUGCGUUCAGCCACACCAUUCUGCUGUGGUGUCCCAGGAAUGGUCUUCUCCAUCCUAAUUCCCUGUGCAGCACAAUACUCACUGAAUCCUGCAUCUAUGUACUCUCCUCCAUUAUCUGACCUCAAACAUUUUACUUUCAAACCUGUUUCUGUCUCAACCAUGACCUUCCACUUCUUAAAAGUUACAAAUACAUCAGAUUUAUUUUUCAGAAAAUAAACCCAUACCUUUCUACUUGAGUCAUCAAUAAAGGUGAUGUAGUACUUUGAACCUCCUAGGGAUGCAACCGGAGAAGGCCCCCACAAAUCAGUGUGUACUAGUUCCAAUUUUUCAGCCUUCGGUGUCCUGCCAGUUUUCAAGAAGCUCACCUUUUUUUGCUUUCCUAAGAUGCAACUUUCACACAUGUCAAAAUCAAUGGACUUCAAUUCUGGUAGUUUUCCUUUUGACAACAACAUCUUCAUCCCUUUCUCACUCAUGUGACCAAGUCUGCGGUGCCAAAGGCUUGUAUCAGUACUUGCAUCAGCAACUGCAAUUGUGUCUCUUGGACAUGAGGUCAUAUACAGAGUGCCAGUCUUCUUUCCACGAGCCAAUACCCUAACUCCCUUUGUAACCUUCCAAGUACCACCAACAAAUAGUAUUGCAUGUCCUUCAUCAUCAAGUUGUCCAACAGAAAUCAGAUUCCUCCUCAGGUCAGGAAUAUGUCGAACCUUCUCCAGUAACCAAACAGACCCAUUGGGCAACGAUAUCCGGACAUCUCCCAAACCCACAACAUCCAAGGCUGAACCAUCAGCCAAAUACACCUUACCAAAAUCACCUGCAACAUAAUUCUGUAUGAUUUCUUGGUGUGGAGUGGUAUGAAACGAAGCUCCUGAAUCCAAAACCCAAUCAUCAAGUGGAUUGUUUAUUGCAAGAAGUAAUGCAUCAUGUACCUCUUCUGUUACAGUAUUAGCAUAAUCAUCUUCAUUCUUCUUCUUAGGGCUUUUGCAUUGCCUUUUAAAGUGACCUGUUUUCCCACAAUUCUAGCAUUGUACUUGUUGGCCUGAUCUAGAUUUGCUUCUGUUCCGAUUAGAAUUUCUGGAAUUUGAUCUACCCUGAUUUGAAUUUCUGUUAUUACCUCUGCCUCUUGUCUCAAGGUUUAGGGCAGAACCAGAUCCUGAGGUUUCACUUGCAUCUCUUCGGCGAAUUUCCUCAGCCAGAAUUAAAUCUCGUAUAUCAUUGUACUUGAGCUUUUCCUUUCCCGUAGAAUUGCUUACUGUCAUCCUCAUUGCCUCCCAACUGUUUGGCAAAGAAGCCAAGACGAUCAGAGCACGAAUCUCAUCAUCAAAAUCAAUUUCUACAGACGACAAUUGAUUUGUGAUUGUAUUAAAUUCAUUCAGAUGUUGUUCUACUGAUGCAUUCUCUACCAUCUUCAAAUUGAACAAUUUCUUCAUCAGAUGCACCUUAUUGUUUGCGGACGGCUUUUCAUACAUACCGGACAAAGCCUUCAUCAGAUCUGCUGUGGUCUUCUCCUUUACAACAUUGUGUGCAACAGACCUAGACAGAGUUAACCUAAUAACUCCUAGAACAUGUCUGUCAAGAAGCGCCCAUUCCUCAGCCUUCAUACUCUCAAGUUUUGUCCCCAAAAGAGGCAGAUGCAAUUUCCUCCCAUAGAGAUAAUCUUCAAUCUGCAUCCUCCAAUACGCAAAGUCUGUGCCAUCAAACUUUUCUAUUCCAGACGCAUUUCCUGCUUCCUCUGCCAUUGCUCCCACUCAAACCUAACCCUAGGCUCUGAUACUAGUUGUUGUGCCAGCGAAAGCUUUGAUGCCAACAAUGUUAGUUCAAGAACACAAAGAUAAAACAAUCACACAUACGGUACACGAGGUUUUAACGUGGUUCGGCCAACCAUGCCUACGUCCACGGAUGAGAGAGAAUAAUUCCACUAUACAAUAAAGAAUAUUACAAAGGAUAGAACCAAAUACAACUAUUGGGUUCCCGAAACAUCCCAUGUUUCCCCACUACGAGCCCUCUCGCUCCACCAGGUACCUCCCGUUCUUCCUCACAUCUUUAUCCACCUCGUAUAGUCUCUAUAGAUCCAUCUCCAUUUCAUAACUUUUUUCCCCUCAUGACCUAGAAUAUUUAUAGAGAUAUUUCCAACAACCUUCCUUAUUUUAUAAGGAAGUCUAAUAUUACAAUAAUAUAUCAACCUAAAAAUAUUCUAUAUAAUAUUCUUUACAAAAAGGAAUCUAUACUAAUUAGGAAUUUGGGACACUUCCUAACAAUCUCCACCUUGGACCAAAUUACAUGAAGUUAAUCUUCAAUCUCUCCAUGACACAAACCUUUUUGUAUCAUAUCACCACGAAAGAGCAAUCGACUCCACCUUCAGUGAAAAUUCCUUUUGUUUUCAUCUUGUGUACUUUGUGAUCUUUUACUCUUCCAGAAAUCUUCAACCCAAGCUCUGAUACCAAUUGUUGUGUCAACGAAAGCUUUGAUGUCAAUAAUGUUAGUUUAAGAACACAAAGAUAAAACAAUUACACACACAGUACACGAGGUUUUAACGUGGUUCGGCCAACCAUGCUUACGUCCACGGAUGAGAGAGAAUAAUUCCACUAUACAAUAAAGAAUAUUACAGAGGAUAGAACUAGAUACAACUAUUGGGUUCUCGAAACAUCCCAUGUUUCCCCACUCCUUGUAUCCAUACCUUACUACGAGUCCUCUCACUCCACCAGGUACCUCCCGUUCUUCCUCACAUCUCUAUCCAUCUCGUAUAGUCUCUAUAGGCCCAUCUCCAUCUCAUAACUUUUUUCCCCUCCUGACCUAGAAUAUUUAUAGAGAUAUUUCCAACAACCUUUCUUAUUUUAUAAGGAAGUCUAAUAUUACAAUAAUAUAUCAACCUAAAAAUAUUCUAUAUAAUAUUCUUUACAAAAAGGAAUUUAUACUAAUUAGGAAUUUGGGACACUUCCUAACACCAGAAUCACAGAGUCAUUUGCAGCUUGGAGAGAAAAUGUGUGAGGCUGCCAAUCUGUUAGCGUGGGAGGCACAUUUAGUCUGAAGUGUUUUUAUUAUGAUUACCAGGCCAUUAAUGAGAUUGAAAAUUCUUCUUUCUGGCCAUUUGUUGAUAAAUAAUGGUCAACUAAUGCUGCCUAAGGACAUAGUUGGCAAGCAAAUUGUUGAUUCAGUCUAUGGAGUUAGCCUCCUUUUCCUCUCUUCAUGGAGAAACUCAUUCAAUUCAGAGAUACUGACUUAUCAUUGGUGGCCAGAUGCAAAGAUAAGUGGACAAAGUUUCCUCUGCCUCAGAGAGCAGAGAGAGUAUGGCAUUUCAUUGGAGAAUGCUCCUGAUUGGAGCCAGAUCAAGCCCAAUUAUCAAUUUGUACCUUUUUUCUCUGGGUCAUGUGGUUAAGAGCUCAUGAAGUUAUGGGUACUAUCAUCAUAUUUAUGUCCAAAAUCUUUAACCAUUUCAAGAUCAUGCUAGUCUUUAAUUUGGGGUUAUUUUUACUUGUUAUUAUACAUUCAAGAGUACCCAUAGUCCACCACUUAAGCCAUACAUUCAUUCUCUAAGAUCUCUUUCUGUUUUUGCCUUUUCAGCAUUGCCGAUAUCAUCUCUCUUUCCAUUCCUUUAUUUCAUGGUGAGUUUAUUUUGGAAUCCAUAAUUGUUAUCUUCCAGCUUGUUCUCAGCAUAAAUUAGGAAGAUGAUAGUUUAAUUCAUCAUUUUAUUUGCUCACAUUAGUCUGAAGGUGUUUAAUUACACUUUAAACCAGCCAAGAAAGCUAACAGUGACAUGAGUCCAGUGGCCUAUUUCAAGAAAUCUACAUCUUUGCUUUGUUUCAAGAGGUCCACAAAAAAAGAAGAAGGACCAGGCUGUCUGAACACUAAAGAAAGCGGCAUAUCAAAAUACAAAGUCAGGGGGGUAAAAGGUACCGUUUGCACAUGAUAGUGACUAGAUGCUGUAAACAGGGUCGAUAUAUCAACUAAAUAUUUUGCAUUAGUAGGUUGAUUUGUGGGAUUCAUAUUAACGUCGAGAUUUUUUCAGUAAUGUAAUAAUGUGAAACCUCAUGUCGAUUUUCAUCUUCGCAUUAGUUAGAAUUCAAGAUACUGAUAAUGUUGAGAUUUUGGAUCAUGCAUGCUAACAGCUCCUCUAUCUUUUUCCUCCUUUCUUUACAUUAAAUAAAUCCUCAAUUCAACAUCCAACUUCUAUAGCCAUUUGGAUUUCAGUACCUUCUUUUUUCCUGAUAAAAUAUACCAAUAAAUCUGUACUGUCUAUUUCUAAAUAAGACUUCCUUGUUUUGUUUUUAAUUCUCUGUCUGCAGAUUAGGGACUUCCAUAUAGCAAAAAGAGAGGAAGACAUUGGUUACUAUGCUGGUUAUGUGGGUGAGCCUGUUAUAUUUUCAUAGCUUCUAUGUUGGAAGUGUAUAUCCAUGGAUAAUCUCAUUUUAGUUCCAAAUAACGUGGUCCUAAUAAUCCCAUAAUAUCAUGAAGGGUCUGCAUUUAUGCUUGGAAGAGCAUUGACAUCUGUUGCCUGGGGAAUGGUGGCUGAUCGAUAUGGCCGAAAACCUGUUAUAAUGAUAGGCACUAUCACAGUGUUAGUACCCAGAAUUACCUAUGAAUCUCAGCUUGAAUUUUUCUGCAAUCAAGUAUUGCUGUUCGUUCAAAAGAUUUUUUCUACCUAGUUUUCUCACAACAAUCUUGUUUAUUUGGUUUCAGGGUUAUUUUCAACACUCUUUUCGGUCUUAGUGUAAACUUCUGGAUGGCCCUCUCUACAAGGUUUCUUCUUGGAAGUCUGAAUGGUGUACUUGGGCCAAUUAAGGUAUUUGUGUCAUCCUGCAUAUGAUUUUUUGAAUGAAUGUUUAGUUGUUCUAAUGCAUUUGAGAUAGUGGGUUUAAUGGUUUAGUUCACUGCGUAUCCCCCAAUGUACAUUUUCAAAUUUCUUCCAUGAUCAGGCAUAUGCAGCUGAAAUUUUCCGUGACGAAUACCAAGCUCUAGGACUGUCAACAGUGAGUUAGUCUUUUUUCUUUUUUUUUUAUCAACAGUUUUUUAAUUGUGUUGUGCCCCACCAUUGGUUCAUAAUGGGGAGUAUUAAUUUUAUUUUAGGUUAGUACAGCAAGGGGCAUAGGAUUGAUCAUUGGACCAGCUUUGGGAGGUUUCCUUGCCCAGGUACUUGUUUUUCCUUUCCUCUUAUGCAGAAAGAAAAUGAUUCCUGCAGAAAUUGCAAUUCAACAAUGUUGAAAAUUAGUAGCAGUUAGAAAUAGUAACCAACAGCAACCAAAAGUGAAAGUCUCAACAUUUUCAAAAUUAGUAUUUACAGAAUGAACUAUUAGUGAAAUGAGAUGAAUUAUACAUUUCAGAAGAGUAUGAAUCGGAUUAUUGAAGUCUCCACGCGUUUUUUGAAGUUUUUAUUUUUUGUUUCUCAAGUACUUUUUACAUUUUGCACACUUCUUUUAUGUCACCAUGUAUGCGAUUGGUUUAUAUCUCUGAAUGAUUUCAUAAUUCAGCCUGCAGAAAAGUAUCCGGAUAUAUUCUCUGAAGAUUCUCUAUUUGGAAGGUAAGCUUGCCUCAUUAUAGUGAUGCCAUUUUGCAUCUCAUUUCAUCAAUUUUCUAUUAUUUUUUUGGAAUUUGGAGUAUUAUGAUGAUCCAAAACAUUUAUCUGUGAUGCAGAUUUCCAUACUUCUUGCCCUGCCUGUUUAUAUCAGUUUAUGCAAUGAUUAUAACCGUUGCUUGUUGUUGGCUUCCGGUACGUUUCUGAAGCAGAUGUUUGGUUCCUUGGUCAUUUCUGUUUAGCCUUUCAGAUGCAUCUUAUUUUCCAUAAGAAAGAUACUUAUUCUUUAUUCAGGUUGAGUCAUCAUUGCUUAAUUUCAACCAUUUGUUUUUGCCUUUUUUUAUGCCACAAACAGAGCUUGAUUAUUAAGUAGUCUCUUUCUCACCGGUCAAGAUUGAUGUGAAUUUUUGUAAUGGAACUAGAGCAUUGUUGGAAUGCAUCAUUGAAAUGAUCUAGAAUUUCUUUUAGAAACUUUUGGCAUAAAGACUGUCUUGUGGACACUGACUGAGAUUCUAAGUGUUGUCUUCAUCGGAAGGGCAGGAGAUAAAUAUGAGGCUGUGAUACUAAUUCAACCAGGAAUUCAUCACUUCUCUUUUAAGCUCAUGCUCUGAUUGAUAUACAUCCAAAUAACAAACGGUUCUAGGUGUCAUUUCUCCGAUUUUAUUUCAAUGUGUCUUCAUGGUUUUUAUUAUCUAUGGUAUGUGACUAAAAAUUAUAUUACUUAGCAGUUGACACUCUCCUUCUCAUAAAAUUUUGUAAGCACAACCACUUUGAAUUCCUUGAUGUGUUAAGUUAUCCUCAGCAGUUUUUGAAAAGUAGCAUUUAAAGCCUUCUCCUUUUCUUCAAUCUGUUCAAGGAAAACUUAUUUUAUCCUCUUGGGCUCGGAAGCUGACCGACUGAGAACAGAAAGCUCAAAACUUUUGCUUAUUAUAGUGUUCAUAUAUGUAACCGCUCAUCAGUGAGAUGUUUCUAUGAUACCAUGGCUUCUUAUUACUGCGAUUCCAUGUCUAACAUCUCAAGAUUAAUGCAGGAAACAUUGCACACACACAAUGAAAACAAAAAAUCAAGAGAAGACUCAUAUGAUGCUUUGGAAGGGGCCAAUGGUGGGUCUAAUGCAAAAGAAAAAGAACAAGAAAUUGAAGGAAGUGAACCAACUUCUAAUGAAAGCCUCUUUAUGAAUUGGCCUUUGAUGUCUUCUAUCAUUAUCUACUGUGUUUUUUCACUACAUGAUAUUGCUUAUAUAGAGGUAUGCCUCAAACCUAAUUCUCAGUUUCUGGAAUAUGUUUUAAUCUUACACUUGUUGAGCCGAAAUCUUCUCCAUUAACAUAUCUUGGUUGAUAAUUGGUGUCAGAAAUAAUCUCUAGUUUGGACCCAUUAGUCCAUUCUAUAUGUUAUCUGGAUGAGCAUAUAAGCAUUAAUGAAUAAAUAAAACAUUCACAGUUGUUUGCUUUUUGUGACUGACCCUUUUGGUUCAUUAGAAAAUGUGAAAAAGAUAAGAUAAUUUUCUUUAUUGCUAUGGAUAUGUUAUAGAACAGAGCCUGUUAGAGACAAAAGCAACCAUGAUGGUGGACAUGUGUCUCUUCAUUCUGGAAACAAAAAUGUUUGAACAACUUCCGGUUAAUAUGUUUUCAAGAAAGAAUAUGCUCAACAUGAUGGGAAUGAACCACAUAAUGGGGAAGAAUGGCCACCAUAAUUUCUGCCACCACCAUUGUCACUGUGACCACCUACACUCCUUUGGCUACAAACAAUUUCUUGCCAUUGGUACCAACAUUACUACAACCAUAUCUUCAGACUUUUGACCGCCACAAUAUAAAAUAAAAAAAAGACACUCCUAGUUCACUUCUGAUCUUUUUGAUGUCAAAUCUACUAUAUCUGGCAACUAAAUUUUCUUUCUGCAGAUAUUCUCCUUAUGGGCUGUGAGUCCUAGAAUACAUGGGGGUUUGAGCUAUUCAACUGAUGAUGUUGGUGUUGUUCUUGCAAUCUCAGGUAUACUAGUAUCUAGUAUCUAGUUAUCCACCUUUUGGUAUCAAAACAUGCUGGAAAAAAAUUCACUCUGCUUUGCUAUCACUGAGGCUUGGGAAACACAUUUGUGAACUGAGAUUCUUUCUUGGUCCUUUUUCUUUCCAUUAUGAGAUAUGUCUAUGCUCCUUUACAAUUAAAUUCCAGUGGAGUUUAGCUUAUUUAUGAUGAUAGGAAGAUUAAGUUGGUUCUGUUUCUAGGCUGCUUAAAUUUAAGAGAGAAAGAAGAAAAACAAGUAAAGAAAAAGAAGUGGAAUGACAGUUGUUAAAUUGCUCUCCCCCUUCAUAAUAUUUCUACACAGUGAUGCUAAAAGUUUAAAAGUAGAAUACUGCCCUUGGUGAAUCAAAGGAUAUAAAUACACAAUUGAAAGGACUUUAUUAGGAACCAGGUAUUGGAGGUCUUACCCUUCUGCCUGUGGGUGUUUUUGCACUUCAAGUUCAUUCCCUUGAGGCACUGGACCUAAUUGAGAUAAUCAAAAAUGUUUUUCACAUUUUCUGGUGACAAUAUCCUUUGUGGUUGAAUUGAUGCAUACACGGUUUGUUUAUUGUGCUUUAUUUCAUGUAUUUCUCUCGAAAUAAUCAGGAUACUGAGUUACUGACUAUGCAUCUUAUAUUUAGGUUUUGGCCUUUUUGUCUCCCAAGUUACUCUAUAUCCACUUGUGGAGAGGUUUCUUGGGCCUGUGAUGAUCUGCCGCAUUGCUGGUGUAUGCUCCCAAUACCUUGUGACAUUCAGUGCAAUCUCUUCUUUCCAACUACUUUCAUGUUCUGUAUUCACUUAUUUUAAAAUUUUUGUAGGUCUUGUCCAUACCUUUGUUGGCGAGUUACCCUUUAAUAGCCAUGCUUUCUGGGUCCACCCUCUCAGUGGUGUUGAAUUGUGCAUCUGUGCUAAAGAAUGUUCUAUCUGUGAGUGAAUUUACAACUUGAAGGUUCUCUUCCCUUGCUAGUAACUGGAUUAUAGAUGUUAAUUGUAAGUCUGUCUGUUAGCAGAAGUAUGCAUCUUGAUAGAUUUCAACACACAUUCUUGAUCCUUCUGCCUCUAAACCUUCUACUUCUUGGCCUAAAAUUAGUAAUUUUGAUCAUCAAGUCAUCAAAUUAAGACUGAGUAACUAGGUCUUGAAGAGUGGGGAUGUGGGUUCUAUAACAGAUUUCUAUUGACAAUCCAUUCUGCUGCCAUGAAGUGGAAUCAAAAGAAAAAAAAAAUGUAAUAUUACAUGUUUGUAUGCAAAAUGAAUAGCACGGUUUAGUACGAUCUUAAUUUUCGUGUAAGAAUAUGAUGAAUGCAUUAAUUGAUCCUGAUAGUAAAUUUCCAACAGCUGUUAUUUCAUUAUCUUUUACUAGUAAACUUCUCAAUGUGAUCAGGUGUCCAUUAUAACUGGCAUGUUCCUUCUGCAAAACAGUGCUGUGGUAAUUUUCUCCUCUUGGUUUCUCCAGUUUCAUUUCUAUUUUUUGCUAAAAUAUGUAGUGCAUUGAUCUAACCUAAUAUUGUAACAACAGGACCAACACCAGAGAGGAACUGCUAAUGGCAUUUCUAUGACUGCAAUGUCUCUUUUCAAAGCAGCUGGUCCUGCUGGAGGAGGUGCACUGUAAGUACCAAUUUAGUGUCUCUUAACAUACAACCACUCACAGUAGGCGUCCACAAAAAUCGGACAACUAAAAUGUAAUGUCUGUUUGAUAUAAAAGAUCUUAUUUAUGAACUAGGUUGUGAACUACAAAAUCCAGAGAAUGUGUUUUAAAAGCGUCUUUCACCGAAAUCUUCAUGGCUACUGAAAAGAUACUCUGGCUGGAAUAUUAGGAUACUGAUACAAUAAGAAUUCCUAAUAUCAGACUGAAGUGAGAUAGCAGAUCAAGGGUUUUUUGUAGGUCUUUUAAGUGUAAAAUGGAAUAAUUUGAUUAGAAGGCAUAUUAAGACCUGCAAGAUAGAACAAACUUACAUAGGUUACAUAAAGGGUACUUCAUUUCAUACUUUGCUUAAUACAUUUGCAUGACAUACAUGGCAAUUGAUCUAUUUUUGGACCUAUGAUUAUUCAUGAUGUUGUUGGUAUUUGCAGCUUUUCUUGGGCACAAAAGCGACAGGAUUCUGCUUUCUUCCCAGGUAUAAUUCUGAAUUCAGGGGAAGUGCCCUUUCAAUUUCAGAUCAUCCACUCUUUGAAAAAAGAACCAUAAAAUGAAUUCCAGUUGAUGAUGCUUCAUCCAUUUCCGAUUCUGGUGUUGUAUGCAUUGUGGUUGUGAGCCUGCAGAUUUACUUACAUGCAGUUAGAAAUUUACCUUCACAGAAAUGUCCAAAGAAUGAUAAAUGACCAAAUGAUUCUGAACUCAGAACUCAGAACUCAGAACUACAAAUCAACAUCCUCCCCUGGCUAGUUGGAACACUGGAUAACUAAAAAUACCAUGCUAAACUGGGUAACUUUAUGGAACUAUGAAGCCUGAUUCCUCAAAAACUUUCUAAAAAACCAUGAUUUAUGUCUCAACAGUACUUCCUCCUUCAUUGGCUUUCUCAAACUUGCUGUGUUUCUCAUAUUUAUGGUCUUAAAACAUAAACAUGCCUUCCUCUUAGUAAGAUAACAAUCAUAGAGGUACAUUGAAUGACCCCAAACAAAUUAAUGAGGUCCAGCAACCAACAGGCCGAUGGCUAAUUUCUUCCUUUGAAAUAUCUUCACAUCUAAGCUCUUCAAAUGCAGGUGACCAGAUGGUUUUCUUAAUCCUGAAUGUGGUCGAGGCAAUCGGACUGCUCAUGACAUUCAAACCAUUUCUAGUUCAAAGGCGUCGAUAGAGGAAAAUCAGUCUGAUUCAACUCCAGGCCGUCAAGAUUAUCACCUCGAUCAGUAUGACUCUUUGGUAGCAUUGCACCUGUCUCCAUUCAUUAUGGGGACGAUAACUUGCAUCCUGUAGUAACCCGUUUGGGGGGUAUAUUAGAUCAACAACAAUGUGCCCUGUAUCUACUGCAUUUUGUACACCAGUAAAUUACUGCCUACCUGCAUAUUGUUCGACAUAUUUGGUUACCAAUGAGCACUUCAUGAGUUAGCAAAACUCUUGUUUGAUGUCUAAUACUUUUUUUGUUUCACUUAAUAUGGGGCAGCUCUUGAUGAAUGUUUGUGAACAUGACUUUAUCAUCUUCAUUUAAUUAGUUACAUUAUGUAUAGUCUUAAUUGAAAUCUAAAAUCAUGAAACCUAUCUUUCAUGUUCUUUCUAACUGAAUAUUUGCUAGAAGAAAAUUUCAAAAAGAAACCAUCAACUAAAUAUCGGUAAUCGGCACUAACUACAAGAUAUUUACCACUCGUUGUUUGAUUAACUUUUUUCUAAUUCUAUAAGUAUCUGAUUAGGUAACAACUAAUAAUUAUGUUUGGUGAUUGAAUGAGAAGAGAGUUAAGCAAAUCAAAGCAAGCCCCUGUUAUUUGAAAUAUUUUUAAAGAUUUUUUAUUUUGAUGUAUCUACUUGAUCUUUGGCAAGUUCAAAAUAUUAGCUCAACUUCUACUUUGGAAGCCAGAUUUCAUAUAUGCAUAAUGGAAGUUUUGGAAGAUUAAUGUUAUUGUACUGGUACAACUAGCUAGAUUAAGGUAGUAAUUUUAUUCCAAAAGCCCUUGAUCCAAACUACUUCUAAAAGGACUUAUUAGUUUUUAGAGCAAUAUUGAAAACUCAAGGAAGUGAAGUAGAUCAAGAUAAAUAUAUAGUUUUGGAUUUGAUUAAAUGAAUAAAUUUAAUAAUUGAAUUUAACAUAAAAAGAAGUUUCCAAAGUUUAAGGAAGUUUAAACUUUUGUUUACUUAGCAGUUCCUACUUUUCAACUAUUCUAUGUUACUUAUACUAUGUUUGGUUCCUGAAAAAUUUGAGGGAAACUAUGAAGGAAAGAUGAUUGGAGCCAAAAUAUGUGCUUCCAUAGCAUAUAUAUAUAUAUAUAUAUAUAUAUAUAUAUAAUAUUAUUUAUGCAAUAUAAAAAGCUCAAAUCAUCCAACUUAACUCAAAUUGAUGUUAAGACCCUAAUUAUGAAUCUAACUACUAUUUUGACCCUAAUUAUGGAUCUAACUACUAUUUUGAGCCUAAUUUUAGAUUUAAGGGAUGAAAAAAAAGUGAUAAGUGCAGAAGUCAUUAUCAACCAAGGAAGUAGAAGGGGUUAAACAUGCCUAAUUGAGAGAUCCGAGACUUGUGAACCAUGAAGAGUCCAAGCAAGGGUGUGAUAAGCAACUUGAAUACUAGUAAUGAAUAUUAUGAAGUGAGAUAGGGGGCAAACAACCAUAAUGGAGGAGGUUCGAAUAAAAUGCGAUCAAGUUCACAUGGGAAUUUAGAACUCAAAAUUUGGUAACAACACAUACUCUUAACUUUGAGAUAAAAUUUAGAGCACUUCUUGAGAUCAAACUAAUAUAAGUGUAGAAUACUUAAAUUACCUUUCAAAUAAAAAUUAGACUUUGCACAACUUAACAAAAAGAUGUUGGAAACUUAUGAAAAUUUGAUGCAAAAAGUGCUAGAUGUGUGCUUAUAGGCUAUUCACUCAAGCUAAAGUCUAUGGAGUUUUCCUUAAUGAAGGAAGAACAAGCUUCAAGAACAAUGACUAAAUCUUUAAAUGUAAUGAUAAAUGAUGUUUUUAGGAGAUAGUCUUUGUUAUGAAUUAAGAUAAAUUCCAAUUUCCAUCAAAAUCUGGAAUAAGUCUUAACCAUAUUAUCUUAACUAAGGGUAAUAAGUAGAUAGAGCUAAAAUCUAGCUUGGUAGAUUGAGGAAUCCGGUUUGGUAGAAUUGCUCCUUAUAUCUAACUUCUAGCAAUGCAUUUGGCUAGAUGGACCACUAAAUUUCGCUAGCCAACUUCAAUCUUUGAAGAUACUCCCUAAUUUGCUUCAACUCAACUGUCCAUAUGAUUUGUUCUCGAGAUUCCUAGCUCAUGAUUUGUUCUCAAGAUUACUAGCUCAUUGAUGAUAUAAAUAGCAUUUUCAUCUCGUUAAGAGGAGCUUUUGGUAGUCUUUUGUAUUUCUAUUCUAUUUUAGGGUUUUUACCUUCUAUAUCUUUUUCUUGUAGAAACUCUAAGGUUAUAUUUGUUCUCAAAAAAUUUGAGGGAAAAUGCAAAGGAAAGAAAAUAUAAAAGAAAAAUAGAAAGAAAGAAAAAAUGAAAAACUAAAAAAAAUAAAGUUCAAUAAAUUAUUUUUAUUUGUUACUUUAAGCUCAUUUUAUUUAUUUUAACUCAUCAAUAUAAAGAUUAGAAAAUUUUAAAAUGUAUAAGUUUUUAACUAAUUUUAAUUAUAUUUUACUUUCUUUAAUAUUUUUUAUAGGACCACCAAAUAUGAGAAAAUCAUUUUCUAUAGUAUUAUUUUUUAUUUCCUAAGUAUUUUACAUAAAUCAAACAUACCCUAAAGUCAUGUUUGAUUGAUUGGAUAUAGCAUGUGAUACGAUAAGAGAAGAAAUAUUAUAUCUUAUUUUAUAUUUGGUUGGUAAUGGAAUAAAAUAAGUUAUCCUAUCAUUUAUCACAUAUUCAAUUAAACAUAGGAUAAGAUAAAAUAGUAUAUGAUAUAUUUCACCUUCUUUUUUAUAUUCAUUCUAUAUAGGAUAUGUUAAUCUUAUGCUAAGAUAUAAAAUAUGCAUAUCUUAUGUAUCUUAAUUUAUUUAUUUAUUUAUUUAUCAAUUAUAUUUUUUAUAUUACUUAUUUUUCAAAAUAAAAACUUUUGCUAUAAAAUUAAAUUUGUGAUUAAAAAAGAAAAAAUAAAAAUAUAUUAUAAAAUAAUAUUAAUAUAUGUAUUAUUUAAUAUAUAUAUAUAUAUAUAUAUAUAUAUAUCUAUAUAUAUAUAUAUAUAUAUAUAUAUAUAUUCAUGUAUGUAAAUAUGUACCAUGUAUAUUAUUUCUAUGUAUUGAAUAACACAAUAUAAAAUAUUUUUAUUUAUAAAGUUUAAAUAUUUUAAAAAUGAAUAUGAAGGCAUGUUUGAAUGAAUUCAUAUAUAUACAUAUUUCAUGUACGUGUGUAUGGUAAUAAUGGAGAAUGAACGUCCAUCAAUUGGUAUGUUCCAUUUUCACCAAAAACAAUCUUUAAAAACAAAAAUGAAAGAUUCAAGGGAAACAACAGAGAAUCUAGGCCAAUAAAAAUAAUAAUAAAAAAGGGACAAUUGCGUUUUGGGCCCAGUUGGGUCCAAAAAUUAACAUUUGGUCCAUAUAACUUACAUAAUUAAUAGAAAGGAUAUAAGAUGUUAAGAGACCAAUAUACCCUUCAAAUUUUUAUAUAUUACCUUUUAAGAAUAUAAAAUCAUGAUGGACUAAAAUACUCAAUGACCUUUCAUAUAAACUUUUUUAAAAUUUGGAUUUUAACAAUUUUCACACCACUAUUCACGCAGCCAUAAUAAUUCUAUUUUAACAAUUUGGAUUUUUCAUUGUUUUCAAUUUUUUUUUUUAUAAAUAAUCGAAAAUCAGCAUUAUUUUCUAUUUUAAAUUAUAAAUAAAGAAAAAUUAUGUUCAAAAACUAUUUUAAAAAAUACUUUCUAAAAAAAUGGUAAUAUGAUUUAUAUUUUUUAUAUUUUCUUUUUGAAAAAACAUUUAAUUAAAAAAUGAAAACUAUGUUUAAAAAUAAAAAUUGAAAACCUUGUUUAGUACUACUUUUUAUAUGAAAAUAAUAAAAAGAAUUAAAUUUUAUUCAUUGAUUAUCCAAUUUUUUUUCCAUUAUUUCUUUUAAUAAAAAAAAAUAUAUAGUAUGUUUACAAUUAAACAAAGGAAUUGGUCAGUUAUGUGUUUUUUGUGUGACUAUCUAUUACAUGAAAAAUAAUUAAAUAACUAAAUUAUAUAUAUUUAUUACUAUUUUUAAUUUUAUUUUCUUUAUUUAUUUUUUGUCUAAUAGAAAAUUUGAAUAUAGCCAUAAUUAACAAAGUAAUAGAUUAAUUGUGCUCAUUUUGAUAUAUUAAAAUAAAUUACUUUCUAAUUUAAAUAAAUAAAAUGAAAUAAUUAAAUAAAUUUGGGGUUGUUUCUAUUUUUUAACAUAUCUUAUAUUAAUAUUUUUUAUGGUUAAAUAAAUUUUUUAUUAUUUUUUCUUUAAUUCCAAAAAUAAAAUGAAAUAAAUAAAUAAUUUUGGUAUUUUUUAACUGAUUUUAUAUUCAUAUUUCUUAUGGUUAAAUACAUUUUUUAUUCUUUUUUCUUUAUUUCCAAAAAUAAAAGGAAAUAAAUAAAUAAACUUGGCUUAAAUAAUAGUUUUUAAGUAAUUUCUUUGUCUUAUUUUUAAUUACAUUUUGCAUUCAUAUAUUCAUAUUUCUUAUGGAAUUUGAGUUACUGUACAAGGUAUUUACACUAAGUAUACAUGAUAAAUAUACUAACUGUACAAGGGUGUACAAGGCUAUUAUUUGUGAAGGAUUUUAAGUGAUUCUGAAAAACUUAUUUGUUUAUUUCCCCUAACCGAGGAUAGAUGACAUUCCUUACCCACAUUGGUUAAGCAUACAUUCAUCUCAUGUACUUUAUCUAACUUGUAUAUGGUCAUUUGAAUAGGUACCUCACUUAUGAUGAUUGUAAAACGAAAUUAUACAACAAUUUUUCUUCUUUUUUAAAACAAAACCAAUACAAACAUGGUUAACCGACUUAUUGUCAAAUAUUUAUGAGAUGAUGUAUGAAAUUUGAGUUAUUGUAUAAGGGUAUUACACUAACUAUAUAAGACAAAUUUACUAAUUGUACAAGGGUGUACAAGACUACUUUUUGUUAAGGAUUUCAAGUGAUUUUGAAAAACUUUCCCAUUUUUUUCACUCAAAGAUUUUUCCGCACUCAACUUCUCUCACUCAAGAAUUGUUUUGAAUUUUAUUUUUAAAUUUCAUCAUAAAAAAUUUGUAAUUGCAUAUUUUGUUUUUAUAGUUUUAGCAAUGUUCUUUCUUUCCACUAUUUUUUUUUUUUUUUUGUGAAAUUUUAUCCAAAUGAAUCUAUAUUUAAAAUUAUAAUCAUAUUUAUCAAUUUUUUCUACUAAAAUUAUCUUUAAUUCUUUUAAUAUAUUUAUACUCAUUUAUUUAAAAAAUGAAUAACUAAUUUUUUUUGUAAACAUGUUCUAUUACCUUUCAAGUAAAAAAUUAGAUAAGUUUGAAAGUCAAUAAAAAAAAUUAAAUAUCACUUUUAACCAUUUUUAGAUAAAAUUUUAUAUUAAUAUUUUAUUUGAAAUUUAAUUUCUAAAGUUUCACUAAAAAAUUGUUUUGACAAUUUUCUUAUUGUGAGUCAAAAUACUUUGCAUUAGUCUAUCUAUAUAAGAAACUUUAUUAACAUAAUAUUAGAACUUCAUAUCUUAGUUAUUUUUUUCAAUAAAUUUAUCUUUUAAAAACUUAAAAAAAACAUUAAAAAUUAAAAAGCUAAAAGGAUAUAUAUAUAAUUUUAGAGAGUGUGUUUGACAAUAAUUUUAGAGAGUGUUUCUAACCUUUGUAACACUUGAAAAUUUUUAGUUUUUAAGCAUUAAAAAUGCUAGAAACAACCCUAGAAUCACUAUCAAAUUCAUUUCAAGAGUCCGUUUGAAAGUGAUUUUAAGAAGCAUUUUUAGUCUAAAAUGAGAUUUAUUUAUUUAUUUAUUUAUUUAUAAAUAGAAGAUGUUUGGUAAAAUUUAGGUAACGCUUAUAAAAAUUUGAAAAAUCAAUUGUUGUGUUUUAUAUGGAAAAACACUUGAUACAUAAUUCUCCUAAAAACACUUUUAAAGAAAACACUUCCACUAAAAACACUUCGAGUAAAAAUACUCCUAAACGCAUUCAACAAAUUAGAAUACUAAUGAAAUUAUGUGAUGCAAACCACCUUUAAGAACUAUCUUAUUCUCAUAUAAGUGAAAUGUCACACCUCAUUAAGAGUGUCUUUGGUAGUGAUUAUAGGAAGUGUUUUUAGUUUUUCUAACACUUGAAAAUUUUUAUCUUUCAAAUGUUAAAAUGAUUAAAAAUGCUUUUUAUAAUCACUGACAAACAAACACACAAAUACACAUACAUCAUGACCUAAUGCACAUUGAUCUAAUAAAGAAACUCAUCGAAAGAAGCACUUUAUUUUCUAAGUGCUUCUUGCUAAUCAAAUAUGACAUGAACCAUAAGUAGGUAGAUGGGUAGUAAAAACCUUCAUAUGCUUGGAAGUCCUUUCACAAUCAUCUAGUAUAACCAUUGGUGUACAACAUGCACUUGAUACAUAGCACAUUGUUGUUGUUUGAAUAUAUUGCAAUUGUUCCUUGGGUGCAAGAUGUUAUCAUCAUCUUCAUUAAAAUGAAUAAAUAGAAAUACCAAGCUACCAAAGAAUUAUGCUGGAAUUGAUCCUUAACUUAUUAGUGUUGAAUAAGAUUGAUUUUCCUCUAUUGACUCCUUCGAACUAAAAAGGGUUUGAAUGUCAUCAACACCGCAAUUGCCUCAACCACAUUCAGUAUGAAGAAAAUCAUCUGGUCACCUGCAUAUGAAGAAUUGUAAGAAGUUUUCAAUAAUUAGCCUUUAAGUUGUUUGACUUUAUUUAUUAAUUUUCUUGGAUCAUUCAAUAUCAACCCUAAACUUACUAUUUUACGAAGAUUUAAUGGUUAUGUUUUGAGAAAUUAUAUAUUACAAACAUAACAUGAUUAAGAGAGCAAAUGAGGGAGGAAAGAUUUAAAUACUGACAAGAGAUUUUAUUUUUUUUAUUUUUUUUAUUAUGUAGCAAAUAACCAUUAAGAGAAGACGUUGGUUUAGCCUAAGCCAUCAAAUGCCAAACCAAUAAAAGAUAUGCCAAAUAUGGUAAUUGAUUCACAUGACAAUUGACAAACUUUCCACCUUCAGAAAAAUUAAUACAACCUAUUGCAUAAAUUAUCAAGAAAAAAGAGGAAUUGAAUGACCAAAGGAGUCCAUUCCUCACACAAAAAAAUCAACAAUUAUUUUGUGAUUUAUUAAACAAACGGUCAAGAAGAAGAGUUCUUUAAAGAGGAAUCAUCAUUUUGUAAAUUAUAACAAAACAAGAAGAAGAAUGCUAAAGAAGAAGAAGAAAAAUGAUAAAGCUAUAAUUUACAAAAUGAUGAUUAUUGUUCUACAGUAUAUAGGAUUUCCAUUAUCUUGAACCCAACCUAGAACUUAAGAAGAUAGCUUUAUCAUUUUCAUGGUCUUUCAAAAAAGAAGUAGAAAUGUUGAUGAAUCAAGUUUCAUAUAUUAUUAAGCCUUUUCAUAGUACUUUUAAUUUUUUGAUAUUCCAAUGUCGAAUGGUAGGAAUGUGAGGAGUAUAUAUCAACUUGUAUUUAGAGUUUUUCUUUUUAAAGGAUUUGACUAUUACAACUUAUUGGGAAGUAAGGCUGUAAUUUGGAUUUGUUGAUCGAAUUGAUGGUUAAUUAGAAUACAACUCAAAUUAAAAAUUAAUCAACCUAAACCUAACCCAACCCAAUUUCUAAAUCGAGGCCCUAAUCCAAUUUCAUCUUUGUAUGCUUAGAUUGAGUCCUAGUUGGUUGGAUUAAACUCGAUUGAUCAAAUUGAUCAAGUUGUAUUAGUCAAAAUCUAUUUAUAAUGAUUUUUAAAAACUUAUAUAUAUAUAUAUAUAUAUAUAUAUAUAUAUAUAUAUAAUUCCAAUUUGAUGUUUUUCUAAACAAUCUGAAAAGCAAUUGAAUAUUAUUUUAUAGGAUAAUAUUUAUAAAAAUGUUAAAUCAGGUUUAGGUUAGGCUUGGGAUAUUCAAAUCCGAGUCUCACCCAAAUUGAGCUUGUAUUGAAAAAAGUUAGCCCUAGUCAAACCUUAAGUAUUGAAAAUGAUUGCCUAAACUUAUUCAAACAUUGGGUUAGAUUUGAAUUUGGUAUGAUCAAUCCACUUAAAUUACACCCCUAUUAGGAAGUAGGAUGGUCGUCUAAGAUGUCCUCUAAUAUUUGAUUUGUUGGGGUAUUUGUGAGAUUUGGGAACCGCUUGUUCUUAUUUAUUAUAUUUUCAAACUUUUGUCAUGAGAUAAAUUUUUAAUUGCACAUUAAUCCAACAUCAUUGGAAAUAAAUGAAUCAUUUUUAAUAUUUAUUUUGUAGUUUUUUUGUCUUCAUAUUAAAGAUGUGAAAUUGGAAGGAUAACUUCCCUUAAAAUUUCUAACUUUAUUAUAUGACUAUAAGUUUGAAAAAUUUAUCUUAUUCCUUAGACCUGAAGGUGGCAUGACACUCGUCUAAAACAAGGUCGUUCUAUAUACUCUUGCUUCUAAGAAUCAGGGUCCUAUAAAAGCAACAAAAUCAUACCUGGGAAGAAGGCAGCUCUCUGACGCCCUUGUGCCCAAGAAAAGCUACAAAUACCAGCAUCAUUAAAAAUAACCAAAUGGUACAAUCUUGUAGAAGGAAAAAUAACUUUUAAAUAAAGCAAUUGUUAUUUAAUAAAAUAAAUGGAAUAUAAUUUGGAUAAGAUGAAAUCAAGUGAGACAACAUUUAGGGAAAGUGGCUAAAUAUGACUCCCUAUCUACACUAAAUCAUUGGGAUCAAAGCUUUCAUAGGCCACUAACCCAAUGCAAACCUGCACUAUGAGUAGAACAACAGGAUUCUUGAUACAAGUUAAGGAAGGAGGGAAAGCAAUAAAAAAGAUGUCGAUAUCUAAACCUUUUGUGUUAGGAAAUGAUGGGCAAACAUGACAAGGAAUCAACUAGUGUAGAAGAGUAAGACUAUGCUUGGUUUUCAAAAAAUUUGAAGGAAAAUGUAAGGGAAAGAAAAUAAAGAGUAAAAGUAGAGGGAAAGAAAAAAUGAAGAAAAAUAAAAAAUUGAAUUAAAGUGAUAAAUUAUUUUUGUUUGUUACUUUAAACUUAUUUUAUUUAUUUUAACUCAUCAAUAUAAAGAUUAAAUAAUUUAAAAAUGUAUAAGUUUCUAACUAAAUUUAAUUAUAUUUAAUUUUCUUUGGAAUUUUUCCUAAGACAACCAAAUAUGAUAAAAUCAUUUUCCUUAGCAUUUUUUCUUUCCUUAGUACUUUCCAAGAAUCAAACAUAACCUAAGAAGUCCAUAAUUUCCUAGAUGGUUCAAUGGCAUCAAAAGUCAAUAUCCUAGGAGUGGAUUGAAAGCAAAUCAAAUAAAUGCUAUAUAAUUCGUAUAGGUGAAUAAAAAUUAGGAUUUUUUUUCCUUGGAAGACGUUUUAUUUCUUAUGGACACAACUUGUUUUAAAGUAUGUAUCUUGUAUUUAAAAGACACAACCUCUUCCAAAGGAUGUGUUUGGUGUCUUAAGACACAACCCUUCAAGGGAUGUAUCUAGUAUUUUAAAGACACUUCUCUUCUAAAGGUUACCAUCAAAUUUAUAAAUAGGGACCUCCUAUGGCCUUUUCAUUCAUUUUCUCCACUCUUUUUCCUUUAUUGUCAUUCAAGUCCUCUUUAACUUCAAAUCUAGUUAUUUAUCUUUUCUACCAAAUAUUUGGCACACAAAAGAGUACAAAUCACCAAGUGAUUUGUUAUUUCUUAUUAUUUGAAGUGCUCCUAUCACAAGAAAAUUAUCAUUGUAUCCUAGGAAACAAUUGUCAAUAAACCAUAAGCACUUGAGUGAAACAAAUUUGUUUUAAGGACAUAAAGUCAAACUCUAGCCUUAAUCAACCUUAUUCGUAAGUUCAUAUUUUCUACUUCAUUUUAUUUGUAUAUUUAUUAUACAUACUUAUUAUUCAUAUAUUUUUCAGUGACGUGGAUAACAAUCUUAAGGCCCCUUUUUAACCAAACUUCAUAAGGCCUUGUCCAAGUCAAGCUCAUUGGAGGGUAUUGACAAGAAGAAAGGAAUAAAAUUAUGGGAUUUAAUGAUAGAUCCUAAAAUUAUGGAUAUAAAUAAGAUUAUAUUUUAUCGGUGAUUAUAUUGAAUCUUCUCAUAUUAGUAGUUCUAUCUCUGCUUUUUUGGAACUCUCUUUCAUCAGCACCUAGGACUGAGUUUUUGUCAUCCUCCUUCUAGAUGUAAAUACAUAAUUAAACCAUGUAAAAUAUUAUUGUUUAUUUAUUUAUUUUUGUGGAUUACUUUUAUUAUCUACAAUAUUGACAAUCAACUUCCCCGACGAUUCAAAAUUCAUAUGCUUCUCGGUCUUUGACAAGGGACAAGGUCUAACUUUUAAGCAUAACAAGGAUCAAAGCAAGAUCUCAAAAUUUUGUUUUCAUUUUAAUAUGGAGUAAGAACAAAGUAUAGCGAUCCUUAAGUUUAGCUCCCAAACUAUACUCCAUAUUUUUGCCUUCCCACAAAGAUGGAGAUGGGAAUGAUAUUUCUGAGUCGUUGGGAAUCUAUGAUGUGCUGGUAUUCUAAUAUUCNNNNNNNNNNNNNNNNNNNNNNNNNNNNNNNNNNNNNNNNNNNNNNNNNNNNNNNNNNNNNNNNNNNNNNNNNNNNNNNNNNNNNNNNNNNNNNNNNNNNAAUCACAUUGAAAUUUUUUUACUAGUAGGAGAGACAUUACUAAUGAUCAUUUGAUUUGCCUACCUACAAGAGAAUAUUCAAGUUGUAGAUCAACUUACAGAUAAUACAUUCUUCAUUGCCGAUGCACAAUUCAAUGCCAAAGAGAGGCUGAACCCAGAAAGCAUGGCUAUAAGAGGGUAAAUUGCCAACAGAGGUAUAGACAAAACCUACAUAUUGGGAAUAGCAUUGUAUGCAGACAAAAUAUAAAUGAAUAUGCAAGAAGAUAUUAAUUAGUUGAAAAUAGAGAAAGAGUUUAUUGAAUGUUCCAAGGUGUGGGAAACAUACACCGGCAAUGCGACAGAUGAUGAUGGGCCCAAGAAGCUUCUCCAAAUAUGGAUAGAGAGAAAGUUGGAAUACCAAAACCCCAAAACCUAAAAAUUGAAUAGAUGCCAGCAACUCAAUGUCUUGAAUACAUAUCAGACAAUACACUGAAUAACACACAAAAAAAAAAAAAUAAAGGUCUCUCUAGGUGCACCAAUUCAACUAUAAGAUAUUGCCAACAUCUUAAAAGAAAUGGUUAAGCUAUAUUUGGUUUCUAGAAAGUACUAAGGAAAGAAAAAAAAAAUUAAGAAAAAUAAUUUUCUCACCUUCGGUUUUACUAUGAAAAAUACAAAAUAAAAACAAAUAAACUUAAAAUUAGUAAGAAACUAAUAUAUUUAUGAAUUACUUCAUUAUAUAAAAGACUUAAAUAAGUCAAAUGAGCUUCAUGUAGGAUAUGAAAAUAAUUUAUUGACAUUAAAUCUAAUUUUGAUUUUCUUUUAUUUUUUUUAUCCUCCCAUUUUUUUCUCUCUAUUUUCUUUCUUUCUGCAUUUUCCCUCAAACUUUCGAGGAACCGAACAUAGCUUUAGAGUAUCGUCUCGCACAUUGCUAUAAGCAUCAUCAAAUGCAUACUUCUACAAGACUUACUUGAGACAAAUUUUCUUCCAAAUUCAACAUUGGGUUCCACGAGUACAUAAUGCUUGAAUUGUCUCAAUUUUUAUUUUGGUUUAGUUUUAUAUCAUUGUUCUGUCUCAAUUUCUUUUACUUUUUCUAUCCUUUCAUUUUUUUCUCUCUAUUUUCUUUCUUUCUGCAUUUUCCCUCAAACUUUCGAGGAACUAAACAUAGCUUUAGAGUAUCGUCUCGCACAUUGCUAUAAGCAUCAUCAAAUGCAUACUUCUACAAGACUUACUUGAGACACAUUUUCUUCCAAAUUCAACAUUGGGUUCCACGAGUACAUAAUGCUUGAAUUGUCUCAAUUUCUACGUUGGUUUAGUUUUAUAUCAUUGUUAUGUUUCUUCGUAUAGAGAUUCCUGUAAAGAAAACUUCUUUUUGAGUUCUUAUAGGAAACAGAAUUCCUCAUCCAUAACAAACUAAGUUUGGUGACUCAACUAUAAAACAAAUAGGAUGAACUGCCUUCAAGUGUUUUAAAAAGUCAGUGGAGAUGUGAGAGAGAGAGAGAGAGGAAAACACCUGUCAGAGCAAGAAACAUGUUUUGCCUCUCUUGCAUAUGUUUACUUUCUUAUUUCAUUUUUGAGACAAAUAAUCUCCUAAUUAUGGAUGCUUUGCUAUCUCAGUCAUGACUUUAUCUCUCCAGCUGAUCAGCCAAUACAAAGGGUGUAAAAGAUUAGGGAAUCAUUUCUGUUUUGCUUUCCCAUUACAAAGGUUGAUUCCUUUUCUGGUAGCUAAAAUGUAGUGGCUUUCAAUUUAAUUGUCAAGCUUCUGAACAUGCAAAGCAUAAUAGAGUUCCUUAUUCAAAUAAAGGCUUAGCUUCUUUAUUACCAUUCUUAUACCUUCUUAUUAAUUCCACAAUUCAUUUUGUGGUACCAUGGUCUAUUACCUUGAGAAGAAAGGCAGGAUGAUGCUGCAAGCAGCAAGAAUCAAAGUUGUAGGCGCUUUCUAGGAGGCAUAAUUAUAAAACCAAGAUUAUAAACUGAUCCAGUUCCUAUCAUUCUAAUCAUUGAUGAUUUGAGUAUUAUUUUGAGCAUAGUUAUUAUUGCGAUUCUUCUUUCAAUAUGACAUCUCAAACUUUGGAAUUCAUCACUUGAUCUCAUCCUAAUAUUGUGCAUACGUAUCCUUUUUCAUAUAGCAAGAGCACUAUCAUACUUUAUGAUUUUAGCAUCAAACUAACAACAAACAACUCACAUCCCUCUCACUCUUCUUCCUCUUUUAGUUUUUUUUUUCUUCUUUAAUUAAGCAAUCUAGAAUCAGAACCCAUCUAGAUAUUCUCUCACGAGGAAAAAAGAAGCCCUUAAAAAUCUAUCUGAUUGAAGUUAUUUGAGCAUGAACAUCAGCAUUUCCAUAGGCAAAUAAGGAACAAGCAAGAAAUUCAGUCCAUGAAUGUGCUUCCCAAGCCUCAUGGUAGGAAUGCUGAAUGAAAUUCUUUCCGGCCAAUUUUGAUACCUUAAGCAUGGAUAACCAGAUAAUAGUAUACCUGAGAUUGCAAGAACUACACCUACAUCAUCCGUUGAAUAGCUCAAACCCCCAUAUUUUCUAGGACUCACAGCCCAUAAUGAGAAUAUCUGCAGAAGAAAAUUUUAGUUUCAUAUCAGAUAUAAGUAAAUUAAAUUAAGAUUCAAUGUCAAUAAGCAGUAGUAAAGUGGGAGCCACAAUUUGAGAUGGCUGAGUCUGUAUUCAUUGUUAGAAUAAUGGUGUCAAUGACAGAAAAACAUGUAGCCAAAGGAGGGGUUGGGUGGCAGAAAUAACAUCAUGGCAGCAUUGGCAGCCAUGAUAUGGUGGUAGACAAUAUGAUGACAAAAGAGGUGAUGAUGGUGGUAGCGAAAAAUCCAAAAUCUGGUAGAGGAUUUAGUCAUACAAAAGAGAUUGAGUUCUCCGCCAUUGAUUGAACAGCAUGAGAUUGUAAGGAAUCAAGCUACCACACAACAAUUGUCAAAGUAGAUAUAAACAUAAACUAUGUACAGUGUUCAAUUCAAAUACCUUUCUAGAGUUGGUUAAAAUUUUCACUCAUUUUUUUGUCAUUAAACAUAUAAAAUUGAAAAGAAUCAAUUGAAAAAAAUUCAUUCCUCUGAGAUAUCAAACAUAGAGAUUAUAAGGAAGCUCUGCAUUUAUGUUCCCUGUUUAUAAAAAGAACCAGAAAGUAACACUGGACAAAGUGUGUAAUAAGAAUGCAUUUAUUUCACAAUUAUCUAGUGUGGAUGUCCCUAAGAAUACACAGGAAGCUCUAAGUGUUCCAAAAUGGAAGGAGGCUGUCUUUGAGGAGAUGAAGGUGAAAAGAAGAAGAAUUGGCUGAAUUACAUUCCAUUGAUGUCAAUUGAUGUAAUUAUACAGAAAGUAAACUUCGAUUACACAUUAGUCUCUCCUAUAAUUAAGCUAUCACCAAUCAAUCUAACUACAAUCUAGGAAUACAAAGGGGAAACUAUUAUAUACAGAAUAUAUCUUCUUUAUAUAAAAGAUUUGCUAGAUUAAUUUCCUAACACUCCCCCUCAAGUUGGAGAGUGGAUAUCUUGUACUCCCAUCUUGCGAAUCAUAGGAGUAAAGACUUCUUUUCCCAGAGCUUUAGUCAAGACAUCUGCCAAUUGAUGUGCAGAGUUCACGAAUCUUGUAGCAACGGAUCCAUCUUGAAUCUUAUCUCGGAUGUAAUGACAAUCCAUUUCAAUGUGUCUGGUCCGCUCAUGAAAGACUGGGUUUGCUGCAAUAUGCAAUGCAGCUUUGUUGUCGCAGUAUAACAAUGUAGGCUCUCGAUGCAAUACUCCCAAAUCUCUGAGAAGGUACCUCAGCCAAGUUAACUCACAACAAGCACCUGUCAUAGCACGAUAUUCUGCUUCAACUGAAGAAAGCAAGACUGUUUUCUGACGUUUAGAUCUCCAUGAGACUAAUGAGGGGCCAAGGAAGACAUAGUAACCUGUGGUUGACCUUCUAGUGAUUGGACAUCCUGCCCAAUCUGAAUCACAAUAGGCUCGCAACCUGAAAUCACUGUUUGAGGAGAAGAACAAUCCUUGCCAAGUUGCGUUCUUGAGAUAGCGCACAACACGAAGUGCUGCUUCCAUAUGAAGCUUACGAGGCUGAUACAUAAACUUGCUUAAUACAUGCACAGAAUAUGUAAUAUCCGGCCUUGAGAUAGUAAGAUAUAUCAAUCUACCAACCAACCUCCUAUAAUGACCCGGAUCCUUGAGUAAAUCACUUUUAUCAGACAAUUUCAAACCUCGCUCCAUAGGAGUAUCAAUAGGUGCCGCACCUAACAAUCCCGCAUCCUUAAUGAUUUCUAAAGCAUACUUACGUUGAGAAAUAAAAAUCCCAUUCUUAGAAGAAGAUACUUCAAUGCCAAGGCAAUACUUCAAAUCACCAAGAUCCUUAAGACGAAAUUGACUAUGGAGGAAUUUCUUAAUUGCAGCAAUACUCACAGAAUCAUUUCCAGUAAUCAAAAUAUCAUCAACAUAUAUCAGGAGGGCAGUGAAGGACUUGCCUUGUAUUAUGGUGAAUAAAGAGUAGUCAGCUCGAGAUUGAACAUACCCUGUAGCUUGAAUAGCUUCCGAGAAUUUUGAGAACCACUGUCGAGAUGCUUGCUUCAAGCCAUAUAGUGACUUAUGUAAUCGACACACCAAGUUUUCCUCCCCCUGUCUCCGAAGCCUUGGCGGCGGUGACAUGUAAAUCUCUUCAUGAAGAUCGUCGUGAAGGAAGGCGUUAUUAACAUCUAAUUGGUGAAGUGACCAUCUUCGAGCAGCAACCAAGGCAAGAAGACAACGAACUGUGAUGAUUUUGGCAAUGGGAGAGAAGGUAUCCUGAUAAUUGACAGCCUCCAAUUGUGUAAAUCCCUUGGCAACUAAUCGUGCUUUGUAUCUCUCAAUUGAUCCAUCAGAACGGUGUUUAAUCUUAUAGACCCACUGACAACCUAUCGACGUCUUCCCUAUUGGAAGAGAUGUGAGAGUCCAAGUACCCUUAGCCUAGAGAGCCUGCAAUUCGGACCCCAUCGCCUCUUGCCAUUCAGGAUGGACAGCAGCUUUAGAAUAAUUUCUGGGUUUUGUGACUUGACUAAUCUGGGCAAUAAAAGAGCAAUGUGCAGGCUUGUAGCGGUGAUAUGAAACAUAAUUGGCCAAAGGAUAACGUGUACCUUUAGUCAGACCUAGAAGCAAGGAAGGAGAUUGGUCGGAGCAAGCGUGCAUGAUGUGAGAGCAUACAUAAUCAUGUAGUUUCGCUGGUGGAUUAUAGGAGCGGUUGGAGCGACGAAGGGUCUCGGUUGGGGCUGGUUGUGGUGGGCCAAGGAGAGGUGGGGAUGGUUCGGAGGGAUUGGAUGAAGAUAGAAGCAAGGACAGUGAUGAAGGAAGGGAUGAUGUAGUUGGCAAGAGUGUCUCCAUAUGGGGAAGGAGGCGUUGGGAUUUCCAGCAGAGGUGAAGAAGCAUUCUUAGGGUGGCGAGUGUAUGUUUUGAGGAGAGCUGGAGUUGGAUUCGCAGUGGGCUGCUCAUCAGGGAGGGAGGGGAGAUCAGAAAUUGUGGAUGAAGAGAUGGGUGCGACGGAAUUGAGUGUGUCUGAAUUGGGUGCGACAGAAAAAGAGGGAGCAGAGUCUGUGGUGGGAGGAGGGAUAAGGCGAGAAUGAUUAGUGACGUGAAAGGGAGUUGGGUCAUGAAUUGGAGCAGAAAUUGGACCUGAAGAGUAGCCCAAAUUAGAAGUAGGAAGGACAGACUCGAAGGAAGCAUAAGGAAAGUGAUUUUCGUGAAAACAUACAUCCCUGCUGGUGAAUAUUUUUCUGGUGGAGAGAUUAAACAAUUUGUAUGUUUUUUGUCCAACGGGAUAACCAAUGAAGAUACAGGCGAUGGCACGGUGAUCGAAUUUGUGAGAGACAUGGACAUUGGUAGCAUAAGCGAGACAACCAAACACACGGAGGUGAGAGUACGUAGGUGGUUUCAAGUAAAGGCGUUCGAAUGGUGUUUUGAAGGAGAGAACGGGUGAAGGUAAGCGGUUGAUGAUAUGAACGGCGGUGAGUGCAUAUUCUCCCCAAAAUUGAGUAGGGAGUUAAGCUUGAAAUUUCAAGGCUCGUGCAACUUGGAAAAUGUGGCGGUGUUUGCGUUCCACCACCCCAUUUUGUUGGGGCGUGUAAACACAAGAGUGUUGGAAAAGAACAUCGUUAUCUUUGAAAAAAGAUUGGAGUGAAAGGAAUUCUCCACCAUUGUCACUUCGAAAAAUUUUGAUAUGAGAUGCAAAUUGAGUGGAAACAUAACUAAAGAAAUGUUUUAUAAGAGGCUGUGCUUCAUCUUUGUGUUUCAUCAGAAAAAUCCAAGUGAAGCACGUGUAAUCAUCAACAAUAGUAAGGAAAUAAUGUGCACCAGAAAGUGAAGAAUGUUUAUAACGACCCCAAAUGUCACAAUGAAUAAGAUCAAAUGGUUUUUCGGAUGAAAUUUCACUAGUACCAAAAAGUAAACGAUGUUGCUUUGCCAAAGGACAAAUAGGGUAAUCAUUAUUAGACUAAACUGAAAAAUUUAAAAAGUUCUUAGCAAUGAAACUCAGACGAGAAUGGGAAACAUGCCCUAAACGGCUAUGCCAGAGAUCAGUAGAUGAAGUGGUGAGGUUGCAGGUUGGUUGACGAUUUGGUGAUGAAUAAGAAUUGGUCUCGGUUUUAUUUGUCGUUAACGCCGCUAGGUAAUACAAUCCAUCACGCUGCUUACCCAAACCAAUCAUCCUCCUCGUAGCCAGAUCUUGCAAAACACACCAAUGAGGGAAAAAUGUUACUGAACAAUUCAGGCCUCUUGUUAGACGACUAACUGACAUUAAAUCAACUUUGAAUGUAAGUACACAUAAUACAUCACACAGAUAAUAAACAGAGUUUAGCGGCAAGGACCCUUUGGCGACAAUGUUAGCAUUUUCUCCACUAGGUAACAAUACUGGAGGCAAUGAAAUAUUUUUAUCUUUAUGCAAGAACAGCUUUGGAGAUGAAGAGAUAUGGUCUGUUGCGCCGCUGUCGAUGAUCCAACGGUGUGAAGAAAUUUUAAACAAACCUGGUUUUGCUACAGCUGCAUUUGCUUGAGAACUUGUACCUCCAUCUUUGUUAUUCAGAAAGGACAAGAGCUGUUGAAGUUGUGCUUCUGUGAUUCCAGUCAACACUGACUUCCCACCAUCUUUGUUCGCACCAUCAUAAACUUGAUUAGCCACAGAAGUAUUCUUGUGGCGGUUAAAAUUGGAACCUGUUCUUGCCUUUGGGUGUCCUGGAGGAUAUUCGUGCAGCUGAUAACACUUCUCGACAAAGUGUCCCAUUUCCCCACAAUAGGUGCACUGAGGUCGCCUCUGGAAGAUCCUGAACGACGUUUGUCUUGAUCAAAUCGUCGUGAAUCUUGCGAAUUGUUGUAGAAGCGGUCUAAACGAUCUGACCUUGCGUUCCCAGCAGAGUUGUUCUUCAUUUGAUUGCUCCUUACGACCAUGGCAACGCUGGAGUUAGACUCUACAGCUGUGUGUGUCACACUAAGAAGCCUCUGUUUUUCUUCUUGCCACACAGAGGAAUAUGCUUGACGGACAGAGGGAAGAGGAUUCAUGAGAAGUAUCUGCCCACGAAUUGCACUGUAGGAUUCAUUCAACCCCAUUAGAAAUUGCAUCAAUCUUUUUUUAUCCUGUUGUGCUUUGCUUGACGCAUCAUUGUACGAGGCCAGUUCAUUCCACAAGCUCUUGAGUUUUGUGUAAUAAACCGAGAUAGAAAGUUGCUCUUGUCGAUGGUAAGCAAUUUCUCGCUGGAUCUCAAUUAUGCGAGGUGCAUUGCUUUGAGAGAAUCGCUCACGAAGAUCUUCCCAAACCUCAUGAGCAGUUGCAUAAUAGAUUACAGAAUCUGAAAUUUCAGGAUUGAGAGUGUUGACGAUCCAGGAAUGCACCAUAUCAUUGCAACAUGACCAAGUUGCAUAGUCAUUAGGAUGAGUUUCUUUCGAAGGCGCCUUGAUGGUGCCAUUGACAAAACCCAAUUUGUUCUUGGCAUUUAAAGCCAAGGUCAUGGCUCUGCGCCAAGCUGAGUAGUUAUCUCCAUUCAAAGGUUUGGAAAUCAAAACCAAACCUAGAUGAUCUGAGUGAUGAGUGAAAUAAGGAUUUGAGAGAUCAGACUUUGAUGCAUCUGAUGGAAGGACAGAGGAAUCGACUUGUUUUUCUGUCUUUGAUGAGUAUGGUUUUGAUGUUCUAGAAGAAGUAGGAUUCCUUUCAUCAACCAUGGUGGCCAAAGGAUGAGAGAUUGCUGCACGAGAAAGUAGAGUGCAGCCACAAUAGAGUUCAGGAUUUUAGUCCCUACUCUGAUACCAUGAAAAGAAGAAGAAUUGGUUGAAUUACAUUUCAUUGAUGUCAAUUAAUGUAAUUAUAAAGAAAGUAAACUUCGGUUACACAUUAGUCUCUCCUAUAAUUAAGCUAUCACCAAUCAAUCUAACUACAAUCUAGGAAUACAAAGGGGAAACUAUUAUAUACAGAAUAUAUCUUCUUUAUAUAGAAGAUUUGCUAGAUUAAUUUCCUAACAGAAGGCUCUAGAAAAGAACAACACAUGGGAAAAGGUGAAUUUGCUUGAAGGAAAGAUGCCGAUGGGGUGUAAAUGUGUAUUCAUGGUAAAGUUUAAUUCUAAUGGAUCUUUGGAAUGUCAUAAAGUUAGGUUAGUGGCUAACGGUUUUACACAAACUUAUAUGAUAAACUAUUAGGAGACCUUUGCUCCAGUUUCCAAGUUGAAUACAAUCCAAGUACUACUUUCUAUAGUUGUAAACUUGGAAUGGUCCUUACACUAGUUAAAUAUUAAGAAUAUGUUUUUUAAUGGCGAUUUAAAAGAAGUCUUCAUGGAUGCUCUAGUGGUUUUUUCGGGAAAGCUUUGGAACCAAAGUAUGCAACUUGAGGAAGUCUUUAUAUGGUCUAAAGCAGUCUUCGAGAACAUGGUUCGAAAGAUUUACAAGGUCGGUCAAAAAUCAAGGCUAGAGUCAAGGACAAAUGGAUCAGACAAUGUUCAUGAAGUAUAUUGGAGGAGGAUAACCAAUUUGAACGUGUAUGUAGAUGACAUCAUCCUUAUUAGAAGUGAUGAAGUCGAGAUAACAAGAUUGAAGAAAUUCCUUGCAACUGAAUUUGAGAUUAAAGGCUUGGGGUCCCUACAAUAUUUUUUGGGAAUGGAAGUCGCAAGAUCAAAAAAGGGAAUCAUUGUCACAAAGAAAGUAUGUUAAUUUACGUUAGAGAAACCAAGCAACUGAGGGUACAAACCAAGCAACACCCCAACAAAUCCAAACCUCAAGUUUAGAGAAACAAUCGAGGGAAUGCCAGUUGAAAUUAGAAGGCAACAACAGCUUGUAGGGAAGUUAAUUUACCUUCCACACACAAGGCCCAACAUAGCAUUUGCAAUCAAUGUUGUGAGCCAUUUUAUGAACUCACCAUACAAGGAACAUCUUGAAGCCGUGUACAAGAUCCUAAGAUAUUUAAAGAGUACACCCAAAAAAUGUGUAUUGUUAAAGAAAAGUGAUCAAAGAAGUGUAGAAGUAUUUACAGAUGCAGACUAGGGAGGUUCAGUCAUAAUAAAAAUCAACUUUUGGUUAUUAUGUCUUUCUUUAGGCAAUCUCGUUACAUAUGGAGAAGCAAAAAGCAAAAUGUGGUAACAAAAAGUGGUGUAGAGGCAGAGUUCAGGGUUAUGGCAAUGGAGUGUGUGAGAUAUUGUGGUUGAAAAGAAUUCUUGAAGAGCUUAAAUUAAAUUUAGAACAUCUUAUGAAAUUGUUUUGUGACAAUAAGACAACAAUUAGCAUAACAAACAAUCCUAUUCAAUGCAAUCAUGUGAAGCAUGUUGAGAUUAGUAGACAUUUUAUUAAAGAGAAACUUGAAAGUGGCAUUAUUUGUAUGUCAUUCAUCACCACACGACAAUAGAUAGCAGAUGUUCUAACUAAGAGUCUUUCUACACCAGGGUUCGAAACUCUAGUCAACAAGUUAGACAUGAUAAACAUCUAUGCGCCAACUUAAGGGGGAGUGUAGAAAUAUUAGGAUCGUUUGUUAAAGUUCUUAUUUUAUUUUCAAAUAAAUCUGAUUUGAUUAUAUUAAUCAAAUUUGGAAUUUCAGAUAAGGUUAAAGUUGUUAGGUCCUAGAUUUGUAGUUUUUUUUGUUACACAGUUAAUAUUCAAACCUUAGCCUAGUUAUUCCCAUGUAAUUUCAUAAUUGUUUAAUAAAAAGAAUAUCCCUUUUUAUUCUCUAUUAUGCGUAGAAAGUAAAUGCUUAUAAGCAUGUAAAGGUAGAGAUAUCCAAUGGGUUGGACCGCCCAUUUUGGCUCAUGCCUCGGCACGGCCCGAAUAUUGUAGUGAGAUGGGUCGACACAGUCCAAAUGAGCGGGUCAUGUUAGGCCUAAGAAGAUGGCCUGACGUGCCACUGUGCCAGCCUACUCUGCUGCAAGUCGUGCUGGUCCACCUUGCUAGCCCACUUGGCCCUUUCAAAAUAUCAUUUUUUUACUUUCUACUUUUUCCUUUUUUAUUACAUGUUAAAUGUCUAUAAUAUCCCUCUCAACAACUAUAUAACAACUAGUUUGAGGGGUAAAAAAGUAAAUCAAUAGUUAUUUUGUACUUUUGUCAUGUCAAAUGUCUAUAUUACCCUCCUAACAACUAUGUAACGAUUAGUUUAAAGGAUAAAUAAGUAAAUUACUCAUUAUUAAUAUUUUUAUAUCAAAUAUCAAUAAUAUCCCUAUCAACAACUUUAUAACAACUAGUUUGAGGCAUAGUUUUAAAAGGCUCAAGGCACAUCAAGGCGCAAAGUAGUCCUAGAGCCUGAGGCGCAUGGCGCAUUAAGGUGCGUGCUUUAGUGAAGCGAGGCGCACCCUAAUUUACAUAUAUUUUUCUCUUAUUUUUCCUCCUCUUCUUCGUCUUCUUCACUUCUCCACUACACGAUUGAAGCUAUGGCAAAAUUUGGGAGAGUUGUCAAGUUGAAAACAACCAGAAAAUGGGGUUGGAAGAGAAAACAGGGCCAAAACGGCGUUGUUUUAGCCUAUUCUUUUCAAAAUAAAAAAGGUCAAAGCGACGUCGUUUUGGUCCCAAAAAAUAAAAAAAGAAAUUAGGGCUUCUCAAUGCCCUUUGCAACCUGAUGCUGGAGAAGAAGAGAAUGAGAAGAAAAAGAAGAAGAAGAAGUAGGGGAUCGAGGCGCACCUGUGGACCGCGUCACGCCUUGCACGCCUAAGCGGUGCCUUCGUGAAGGGAAGUCGCCUACCUUCAAGCGAGGCGCCGGAGGGUGGCGUCGCGCCUUUCACAACUAUGGUUUUAAGGGUAAAAAAGUAAAUGAUUCACCAAUUAUUCUCUAUAAAUACCCCUCAUAUUAUUUAUUUCUCCACAAAUCUUUAUUCUCUCUAAUCUCUCUUACUACAAUCUUCUAAGUUUAAAUUCUCUACAAGUGCUCCAAUUCAAGGCUUUAAGUUAUCUACUAUCCAUAAGUUUCGAUUAGUUACAAGUUAUUUUGUGCUAUCUACGAACUCUACAAGUGGUCAUCAUCACAAUUCACAAGGUUGAGGUAUUUAUAUCCAAUUAUUUCAUUUAUUUAUUUUAAUUCUAAAUUUCUUUUAAUUGUUCUCUUCCUUUUACCUUAUUUUUUUCUUCUAAAAUUAAAAAUGGAUCCUCGUCACCUAGAUCUUGAAAACCUUGACUUUAGUACUGAUGAAUGUAAUGAAUUUAAUCCUUUUGAAGAUGAGGAGAUCCCCACCCCCUCUAGUGUCCCUCCCUCUAACCGUCCCCAACACAAUCCCAUAGGUAAAAGACUUAGGGCUAGUAGACACACAUCUAUAGUUGGAAUCACUUCACUAUAAUAAAUAGACAAAAUACAAAAGGAGAGGUAGAAAAUCUAGCAGAAUAUAAAUAUUGUAAAAAAGCAUAUAGUUACAAAGCUAGUGGUGGCAUAGGUCACUUUCGAAGACAUGCUGAACAAUGUACCAAAAAACAUGGUGCAUUAGACCCUAGGCAAUCCCAAAUAAGUCAAAUUGAAAUAGGAUCUAGUACAUCUUCAAUGUCCCCUUUUAUAUACAAUCAAGAAUUCAUGAGAGAAAGGUUAGCUGGAAUAGUAGCUAGUGUGUGCCUUCCAUUGACAUUUGGUGAAGAUCCAAGAAUUGUAUUUCAUAGAAUUCCUAGGACUACUCCUCAUAAUGAUGUAAUUAAAUGCUACAAAAAAGAAAAAAAUAAUAAUAAUUGAAGAGUUUAAUAAUCAUAGUGGUAUUGUAAUUGUGACCUUAGAUAUAUGGACUAAUCAACAUAAUGACCCUUUUACAUGUGUGAUAGCACAUUAUACAAAUUCAAAUUGGAAAUUAAAUAAGAAAAUGUAUAUUAGGCUUUCGUGAAAUAUUUCAUCCUCGUGAUGGACCUAUCAUAUAUGAUUAUUUGACAAGUGUAUUCAGAGAAUAUGGCAUACAAAGCAAAAUUUUUAGUAUUACCUUUAAUAAUGCUUCAAACAAUAAAAGUGUCAUAAAUUUAUUUAUAAGAACAGUUAGAGAAGGCCCACUAAGUGAAGUAUUUCAUGUGAGAUGUGUUUGUCAUAUAAUUAAUUUAAUAGUACAAGAUGGUUUAAAAUUAAUAUCACUCUUAUUGGAGGCUAUUCGAUCUACUUUACGAUUUCUUGAUUCAUCUGGCAAAUUACAAGAAUUUUAUGUUUUAUGUAAAGAGAAAAUUCCAUCAUGAUUUCUUUCAUCGUUGGAAUUCUACCUACCUAAUGUUAAAAUCUUGUGUAGGAUAUCAUAAUGUACUAUCAGAUUAUGUCAAUAGUAAGACAGGUGAAAUUAAAAUAACUUCGGAUAAUUGGGUCAAAGGUUUUUCUUUUUAAAAAUUCUUUAGAAGGUUUUUUAUGAUACUACUAACAUAUAUUCUAUUGUAUAUACUCUUACAUCUUGUAAAGCACUUAGAUGUAUUUGCAACACGAGUAAUGUGUUUCAACAGUAUAUGGAAUAUCCCCCUUUUAGUGAAAUAUGCGUACAAAUGGAUUUUUUUUUUUUUUUGAAAUAUUGGAAAACCAUUCCACCACUUUAUUGUUUAACUGAUUAUAUGGAUCCAAGGGCUAAGGUUGAAGGUGUAGAAAAUAUUUUAAAUUUCAUAGCUACUAGUAUGAACCAACCAUCUAAACCAAAGUGUAAGAUAUACGAACAAUUAAACAACUUAUAUAAAUAUUAUGAGAAUAAAUAUGGUAGUGCCUCUUCAAGUACUAUAACUCCAUCGACAUUUGGAAAUGAUUCAUUCUUUAUGCAAUUAGCUAAGGGAAAGCGACAAGUUGGUCCUUCAAGUAGGUGUGAUCUUUCAAAAUAUUUAGAUACUGAUUAUCGUUCAUACCUAUCCCCUAAUGAAGUAAAAAAUAUUGAUAUUAUGAAGUGGUGGAAAUCUCAUGAAUUCACUUUUCCUAUGCUAUCUAAAAUGGCACGUGAUCUACUAACCCUAUCGGUGUCUACUGUACCAUUGCAAUAUGCUUUUUCUAUAGCUGCAAAUAUAAUAAGAGACAGGAGGACAACUCUCGCAGCAGAGAUGCUAAAAACUUUGAUAUGUUUGAAGGAUUGGGAAGAUGAACGCAUAAGACUCCAAACUUUGGAAGAUGAACUUAAAAAAGACCUCAAGAAAUUGGAUCUCAACACAAACAAUGAUGUUCAAGAGAUUGAUGACGAUUGAAGAUGAAGAAUGAAGAUGAAAAAAGAAGAAUGAAGAUCGAAUAAGAAGACAAAAGUGAAUAUGUUGUUCGUUUCUUUUAAAUAUAUUAAAUGUAGUUAAUUUUUAAAGGUUGAGUAAAGCAUAUAAUUGAUAGUUGGGUGGGUGUCAACCUAGUUGGGAUGUACUCAAACUAUAGUGAUGCAAUUCUCACCUUUAUUUUCUUCCUAUUUUUUCAUGUAAUUUGUUGAAAUAUUGAAUAAAAGAAUUAUUUUUUUUAUAUUUCAUUUCCUUUUAUAUUCCAUUAUUUUAAAUUUAUUGUUAUUUUGAUUAAAACGAAAAACCAAUUGAAAUAUAAUUUUUUUAAGUAAAUAUUUCUAUAAAUUUUACAAUUACAUACUCAAUAAAUAUAAAUAUAUGAAAAUAAAAAUUAUAAUUAUUAGAGUUGUUUAAAGAAAUUUCAUUUCAUAAUGAAAAAAAUGUAAGACAAAAUGACUAAAAAAAUUUAAUUAAAAAUUUUAACAAAGUGAAUGGCCCACCGACACGGCACGACACAACAUAGCCUGGCACGAUUGGCUUGCAAGCUUAUGGGCCGUGUUGGGGCACCUAUUUAGCAUGCGUGGGCCUGGCCGGGCCGGCACGAUUUUAAAGUGGGCUGUGUUGGCCCGGCACGUUGGCCCGUUAUGGCUUGGUAAACAUUGGACACCUCUGUGUCAGGGUUCACCAAACAGUCACAAUAAGCAAAUGAAAAUAGCCCAAUCUCACUUCACAAGCCCGGACUAACAAGAAGUUAAAAGAAUAUGAUAUUAGCUAAAUGAAGCCUGCAAAGCAGUGGGCUGUACUGCACAAUAUAGUAAUACAUUGUUCUCAGGAAUCAAAUCACAAGCUUGUUUGAUUCCUCAACCUGUAUGGGUUGUAGGGCAGCAUACACAGAGCACUCUCAGCUAAAUUUACAGAAAAAGGAAAAGCAUCUAUGGAUGGAUGUGUGCAAACAUUUAGAUUAUAACGAGCCCAAAUAGGGUCACCUAAGCAUGAAAAUAUAGAAACAAGAAAAGUAGAUGGUGAAAGGUCCUCCCAACCCAAACUAUUUAGUCAAAGGCCAAGUUAAAUUGAGUGAAAUUAUCCAAGAAAAGAGUAACAUGCAAAUCAACCAAAGGAGUAUUCCAACAGCAGUAGCAGCUCCACCAAUCCCUCAUUCCACAACAUUUUCUAGUUAGGCCAGAGGGAGAGUUUUCGCAUCAAAAAGAAAAAAAAUGUCUAAUAUUCUAUUUAUUCAGUAAUUGUUUGUAUGCAUGCGGACAACAUACACAAUCAAGUAAUGGGCUCCAAACUAGAGAUUUAUUUUGUGAAUCCAUUAUCAAUCAGAAACUGUAGAUUAAGAAAUGUUCCAGAAUCUGAAGCUAAGUGAGAGACAUACCUCCGAGUAAGCCAUAUCAUGAAGUGAGAAAACACAGUAAACAAAGAUAGAAGACAGCAAGGGCCAAUUCUUUAUGAGGCUUUCCUUAGAAGUUGGUUUGUUUGCCUCAAUUUCGUUUACUGUUUCUUCUGCAUUAAACCCACAGAAUGGAGCUUCCAAAGCAUUGUAAGAGUUUUUUCUUAAUUUGUCGUUUUCAUUGUGUGUGUGCAGCGUUUCCUGCGUUAGGCCAGAGAUUUGGAUAUCAAAUGCAGUAACAGGCAGCAAUAGCAUAAAGAAGUGAUUCCAUGAACAUGCAACUAUAUAUACAACACCAGAAAUAUUCAGGAAAUUUGGAUACAGAUUGACAAAAAGAAAAAGGUUGCAGUGCAAUUUCGUAAAAUUCAAGCAUCAAAGAAUUUCAAAGUGAUGCAUUGACAUAAAGAUAAUAAUAAGAAGAAUAAUAUGCAUUGAUUGUCAUUAACAUAUUCUGUUGUGCUUAACCAGAAAAAGAACUUAGAAGCUACAUAAGAAGAAUAAGAACAGCCUAUAUUUUACAGGUUGGUAGUCAAGAAAUCUGAAAGAAGAUAAUAUGCAACAGUUUCAUUUUAGUAAGACUAAAAAUCUUAAUGUGCCAAGCAAAAUUCCAAACCCUGAUCUAAGUUACAGGGGAAGACUAAAAAUGAUGAAACAAUGGCUAGAUAGCGCUUGAAGAUGAAUGUUUAACACAAUGUUGAGCUAUGUGGAUUGGAAAGGCAAAGAAGUGGUUACAUUCACAAACCAAAAUAAUAUAUCACCAUAAAACAGGGAAUAUAACUGGAUGACAAGAUGGAGAGUACCAAUUAAUAUCAUUUUUGGUCAGGAAUUACAUCAUAAUUAAUAAUAUUAAGAAGGUACAUUGUGAUAAAACUGGAGUAAAAGAUCUAGAUUCAUUUUGCUGUUAGGAUGCAUACAAAUCAGAGCAAAAGGUUAUAUGAGAAGUAGGAGAGUAAAGUCCUAGCUGAAAGCAUCAUGCAUGGUUGCAUAUCUGCUUUUCUGCCCUUCUGGUGAAUAGAAUGCUCAAAAUCAUGGUCAGUGUUCUAAUACAGUCUUCAUGCCAAAUGAAGCCCCAAAAGCUUCUUAAAAAAUCUCUGGUCAUUUCAAUAAUGUAUUUGAAUGAUGUUCUUUUUCCAGUAUGGAAAUUUACAUCCAUCCUGACAAGUGAGGAGAAUACUACUUAAAUCAAGUUCUGUUGGUAAUACAUGAAGUGACCAAGGAACUGAACUGAUUGAGAAACCUACCUGAAGCCAGCAACAGGCAAUAGUUAUCCCAAACGCAUAAACAGAUGUGCAAAGGCAGGGCAAGAAGUAUGGGAAUCUGCAUCAAAGAUUCAUGUUCUGUAACAUCAAAUACACCAAAAUCCAAAGAGCAAGAGAAAAAAAAAUGAUACCAUCAUCUAAGGAGGCAAAGAUCUAUUUACCUUCCAAAUAUAGAUUCUUUGGAGAAUAUAUUCGGAUACUUUUCAGCAGGCUGAAUUAAUAAAAUCAUCCAGGAAUAUCAAACCAUUAGUUAUGUUAUCAAAUUUACUGAAAGGAAAACAAAAACAGAGAAAGUACUUGAGAGAGACAAAAGAAGCAAACUUCAGAGACACAAGGAGGGGUAGCAGCAACUUCUAAUUGGUGGUACAAACAAAUAUGGACAUUUCAUUAGUAACUUCUUAUCUACUUCUUAGGAGACCUUUUAGCUACAAUUCUCACAAAAAAUCACAUUUCUUUGGCCAUUGAUAAGUGUGUUUAAGGUGCUUAUGGCUUAUCUAUUGCCUAAGUAUGUUGUUAGUCCCUCACUUUUUUGUGUUUGAAUUGUUUUCUUGUUAUUUUCAGGUUUUUGGAGCUAUUUUGGGUGGAAAUAUUUAUGAAUGAAGUACCAUGGGAGGAGCCAAGAAGGUUGGAGGGAGAAGGACUUGAAGAAUUGAUACAAAAGUGAUGGAUUUGGAGUUGGUGGGAUGUGCAAAAGCAAGGCAUACACACACUUAAGCCAAUGCAAGAAUUUUGGAUAAUUGAGCACAAUGAGUGAACACAGAGGAACACAAGACUUUGUGUAUGUAAAGGCUUUGGCAUCCAAAAACCCAAUGCAUAUAGCCUACGCAUGGAAUCUGCGAAGGUAACAUCACCACACUCUCUUCACAUUACACAUCCACAUUCAAGUUCUACACAUAAACUCAAGCUCAGCAACCCUGCACAUGUCUCAAGCAUAAGAGCAUGUGCGCAUGUCUGUGUAGCUCCCUUCAGCAUUCUUCUAUGAAGUCUAGUCAAAGCCACAUACAAACAUAUUAGUUCUUUAACAGGCCAUUUUAUUUAGGCACAAGGCCCAAAUAGCUGACAUAUGGAAUUGAUUGAUUAAUUGAAUUUUGAGGAUUUUUCUCUUCAAAUUGUCUCGAAUGCAAACUAAGUAGAUUCAUUAAAUUCUUAAAGUUAGAUUUGAUGAGAUCGAAUAGUUGUAUUAUGUGAAUAAUUAGAAGAUGAUUUAAGAUGAAUUGAAUAUGUGGUUUAAUUUGAUCUUUUGGAUUAGAUAAUCUAAUUUGAAGAGAAAUUAGAUCUAGACCUAAAGCUAAAUCAAAAAUUGGUUUAGAUGAUAAUUUAGAUUUUCAAUUUAACUUAAUGAAAAAUAGAUCUCAAUAUUUAUUCACCAUAGAGAUUGUUUUUUAGAAAAUCCUAACUCCAAGAGUUUCUUUUCCUUAUUAAUUUCCUUUUACUUUACAUUUUAUUGUUCCUCUCAAUUUGAAAUCAUUGUUAUUUUGAAUUUUUAUCAUGAAUUGUCAAUCUAAUUUCACUUGAUCACAAUCAUUUUUUCCCCUAAUUCAAGCCUUAAUUAUAGGAAAUAAUUCAUCCCAAUGGAUGACACCUAAGACCAAAAUACUACCUUAACUUUUGCGAAAAACCCUUUUUGGUCGGGCAAACUGGAUAUAGAAAAAGCGUAUGAUAAAGUGGACUAGAAUUUUAUUCUCACAGUUAUGCAGAAUAUGGGUUUUGGGGAGAAAUGGAUCAAGUGGAUUAAGUGGUGCAUAUCCACUGCAAGUUUCUCCGUGUUGGUUAAUGGAACCCCUACAGGCUUCUUCCAAAGCUCCAGGGGUUUGAGACAAGACGAUCCCCUUUCCCCCUACCUCUUUGUCAUGGCUAUGGAGGUCUUUAGUGCUUCCAUCAAAAGGGCCGUAGAGGGAGAUUUCUUAUCAGGUUGUAGGGUGAAGGGUCGGAGUGAAGAAAGGGUCCUAAUUUCCCACUUGUUGUUUGCUGACGAUACACUGGUGUUUUGUAAACCUUCACAAGAUCAGUUGACUUAUCUCAGUUGGCUACUUAUGUGGUUUGAGGCUGCUUCAGGAUUGAGAAUAAAUUUGGAAAAAAGUGAACUCAUUCCAGUAGGGAGGGUGGAGAAUAUGGAUGAUCUUGCUUGGGAAUUUGGUUAUAGUCUGGGUAGUCUUCCAACCACCUAUUUGGGGAUGCCCCUGGGUGCUCCUUUUAAGUCAGUUACAGUUUGGGAUGGUGUGGAAGAGCGCUUCUGAAGAAGGUUAGCCAUGUGGAAGAGACAAUAUUUAUCCAAGGGAGGAAGGGCGACUCUUAUUCAAAGUACGUUAUCGAAUUUACUCAUCUAUCUAAUGUCAUUGUUGUGCUUACCAAGCUCAGUUAGACGGAGAUUAAAGAAAAUCCAAAUGGACUUCCUUUGGGGUGGGGGCAAUCUGGAGCAAAAGCCUCAUUUGGUAAGAUGGGAGUUGGUGUGCUUAAGCAAGUCGAAAGGAGGAUUAGGGGUCAAAAGUCUUUCCUUUCUCAACAAGACUCUUCUUGCUAAAUGGAACUGGCGUUUUACAAAUGAGAGAGAGGCCUUGUGGAAUCAAGUGAUUAGAGGGAAGUAUGGAGAAGAUAAAGGGGGUUGGUGCUCGCGGGAAGCUCAUGGUAUGGGUUUGUGGAAAGGAAUAAGGUUGGAUUGGAAGUUGGUGAGCGAUAGGUUGGCUUUCAAAGUUGGUAAUGGGAUAAGGGUGAGUUUUUGGAGGGAUAGAUGGUGUGGGGAGUCUCCUCUGUGUAUGUCCUUUCCCUCUCUUUUUGCUUUGACUGUUGAGAAGGAAGCGUGGGUGGCAGAUAUUUGGGACCCCUUGGUUGAGGGGGGUUGGGGGGGUUCGAACCCCUGUUUUUUAAGAGCGUUCAAUGAUUGGGAGGUAGAGGAGGCGGAGAGAUUUUUGGAGAGGCUUCAGGGUAAGAGAGUUAUUGAGGAUGUGGAGGAUAUGGUGUCCUGGAUUGAAACCAAGAGUGGUAAAUUCUCGAUCAAGUCUCUCUAUGUAGCCCUUGAAGCGGGUGGUUCAUCUUUGUUUCCUUCAAGCUUUAUUUGAAAUGUGAAUGUGCAGCCCAAGAUUAGCUUCUUUGCAUGGGAGGCUGCGUGGGGCAAAGCCUUAACCUUGGAUAUGCUCCAAAAAAGAGGAUGGGCUUUGGCAAAUAGAUGAUUUAUGUGUCUUGAGAAAGAGGAGAACAUAAACCAUCUUCUUCUUCAUUGUUCAAGAACAAGGGUGUUAUGGGAUCUACUUUUUACUUUAUUUGGGGUGUCUUGGGUCUUGCCUUCUUCAGUUACAGAGACCCUUCUAAGUUGGAAUGGUUUUUUCCUAGGCAAAAAUCGCAAGAAGGCGUGGAGAGCUACUCCUCUUCACAUUUUCUGGACUGUUUGGAAGGCGAGGAAUAGAUUGGCUUUCAAAGAUGAAUCGUUGUCAAUUCAAAGACUGAAACACUCUUUUAUUCUUACUUUCUGGGCUGAGGCUAAGUUGUUCAUAGAUGAUUGCCCUUGAACUAUAGCUAAUUUUAUUGAUUGGUUGGGUUCUAAGUAGGUUUGUGGUAUUGGGUUUUCUUUUGUCUUUUGGCCUGGUUGAAGGCGGGUGUAUAGGUAUUGUAUACUUAAAGUCGCUAUUUUAGCGUCUCUUUUUUAAUGAAAUAUUAUUUACUUAUCAAAAAAAAAAAAAAGUUACUUUAGCAUGGAAUACCCUAGAAGAAAGUCCAAUGAACCUAAGGUUUCCAGAACUUCCGUCUGAUGAUGAUGAUGAUGAUUUUGGAGGGGCUAUGAAAGAUUUUAAUGACAUAAUGAUAAGGAUAUAAUGAUUAGAUGCAAAAGCCAUAGGCUGAGAGGGAAAAGGAAUCUGAGGAAAAUAUUGAUAAAAGAACUGAGGCUGCUGAGAUUGCCAAAGAGACUGAUGAUGCUGCUGAGGUUAAUAUUGCUGAGCAGAUGGAUGUUGAAGAAACAACUGAAUAGAAAGGAGAGAAAUUUGUUGAGAUGGAUAUUGAAAAAACUGAGGAAGCUGUAGGCGAGGCUGUUGGAAUAGUAAAUAUCAAGAAGACAACUGAGAAAAUAGAGGAAGAGCCUGCUCAAAGGCAUAAAACUGAUGAAGUUGCUGAAAAGGAACCAAUUAGAAAGGAUACUACAGAGGUUGAGAAAGAAUUUAUGGUUGAAACUGAUGCAUACCCAACUGUGGACAGAAUUAUGAGCAGAAUUUUGAAGCAUUUGGAAGGCAUAUCUGGCAGUUUUGGCUCACAAGGGGAAGCUACUGUUGUUGAUUCUAGUACACCCUAGUGUUGCCAACUGAGCCAGUGAUAUUCGCCCAAUCUGUGUUGAGGAAAUCUGAGGAGCUACAACCUCCAAGAAUUCAAUUUCUAUGAAGAAAUCAAGAAAGGCAGCUUCAAAAAGAAAAGCUUAAAAGCCUCAACCCGAAAGAAGAAUCAACCAAAAGAAGAAAGACUGGAAUUAUAUUGAAGAACCUCCCCAAUCGGAGUAUGAUUUUACAAUGGAUGAAGACAGUUGAAAGAAGAAGAACCCAGGCGAAUUAUUUCUUCUAGGGAGAUAUAAUUGAAGCUCAGAAGAAGAAAUUUUCUAUGUCAGAUGAAGACAUUUCUGAGCUGAUGGAUCUGUUACAACAUGAAGCUUCAAAGUCUAAGCAGUCAACUUCCAAAUCUAGCCCUAGGAAGUCAAAGGUGCAAAUAAUUGUGGACUUUUUCGAGAAAAGAAAGGAAAGGGCAAAGGUGUUGAAUUUGAAGAGGGAGGAUGCAUACAAAGAGAAAACCAGUAGGUAAGAUAAGGAAAAAGCUACUAAAAUACAAGUCUUAGAAUUUAAACAGCAAAAGGAGCCGAUAAGCAAAGAUUUGGGAAACUCUCAGAAGUCAGAAUAUAGAAGGAAAAGGACCUGAAGUCAUUGAGACAACUGAUUCUGAAGCCCAAGAACAGCAGGUUAUGGAACUGGAAAGCACAAAAAUAAGUAGGAAGGGAUCAGAGACCUAUGUUACAAAAGGGACUAAUAGAAGAGGUGCCUAUAAGUUCAAACUCUGAAAAAGAGUCCAUUCAGCAGUCUAGAGGAGACCUCUACCUCCUCCUGAUCUUUCCUUAAUGCCCAUACAGGUGAGAGAUCAAAAUGUGGGAUGUAUAUGCUGAUGCUAGGAAAUGGCUUGUGGUGGUUGAACAACCAAAUAAGGAAGAGAAAGUUGAAGAACCUGAACAGAAAUCAGAGGAUUCAUCAAACCAACCUUCCUCACCCUCCAGUAGCUCUGAAGGCAGUGAGGACCCAUAUGAAGACAAAUAUGUAUAAUCCGAGGAGGUGCUGAAGGCUGAUCCACCAGAAUAUGAGGAGCCUGACAUCCCAGAGUUUAUCUUACCUGGAUCUCAAGAUUCCAUUCCGCACUUAAAGUCCUUACCUUUUAUCCUCAAUAUGAAUGAGCUUAAAACAGAGUUCCAGGACAAGGUGGUCAUGGAGGCAAGCCUCAAUAUUGAAGAUUUGAUGAAGAAUCAAAGGGCAGCAAGUGGAGCUCAGUAACUUAUCUACUAUUCAAGUAAGGAGGCCUUACAGUUGCUUGAUCUUGCUUAUCCUGGACUGGCAGGAGCUUUUUAACCAAGAUAUGGUAAUCAUCAGAGACCUAGGAGGGAAGAGGUUCAUGACUGAAGUGGAUAGAAGAAGCUAUGAGUUGACCACAAAAGACAUUGCCUUUGUUAAGCAUAUUCCAUUCCAGAUUUUCCAGAUGCAGACAGGAGGCCAAGAGUCAAGCCUUACAGCAUGAGGUAGGUGGCAUAUAAUUUUGUCCCCCAGCUACUACAAAGGAUGGAGGCCAAGUCAGAGAUAUAUAAUGAAUUUCAACUUGCCUGAAAAAAUGUGGCUCCAACACCUAGUCCUCACCUAUAACUUCUACCCAUAUGGCUCCAGCAAGGUCAGAAAGGAGACGAGCUUAAGGCUAUUGCACCACAUGCUCAAAGGAGAACAUCUCACCUUCCCCAAGGUGAUCUUUGAAGCUAUGGUUUAGCUGCAUGACUGUAUACACGAGAGGGCCUCAAAUAGAUGCUUGGAUCUAAAGUUGCCAUUUUCAAGACUGAUCACUCAGCUGCUAAUCAUGUGGAAACAUGUCUUUGAGCCAGAUGAGGAAUAUUGCUCUACAGAAGAUGGUGGUCCAGAUGCAUUUGGAUAUGAAGCUUAUUUUAAGGAGAUGCAACAAAAGAGAGAGGUGGAAGUGAAGCAACAGAUGACAACCAUGGACUAUCCAGUCAUAGCAAAUUUUAGAUCACAUAUUGGAGCAUCAGAUGAGGAUACUGAAAGAAAAGAAGAAGGGCCAGAUUGUGAACUGGAAUGCUCCAUUAUGGGGUAAAUUUUCAUAUUUUCUUUUAGUUUUAGUGGACUGAUUCUAUUUACUCUUCUUAUUCCCAAUUUUCUAUUUUGGAGACAAUGCAAAACGCUGGUGGGAGUGGAAAGACUGAAGGUCAGUCCAGUUUCUUUUUGUUUAUUUUGUUAGCCUAACUUUUGUUUACUUAUAUUUCUCUUUCAGUUCCAGUUCGUUUUAAUCUUUAGUCAGCUUAUUUUCUGCGUGUUCACUAUGUUUUGAGUCAGUUUUCAGUUGUUAGUAGAGUUGAAUCAUAAGUUUCAGCUAGCUUGACCUUGUAGUCAGUAGUAAGAAGAGUCUUGAGGGAGGAUCAAACUCUUAACUUAGGGCCUCCUGCCCUCAUUGGUAAGUGUAGUCCCAGUUAUCUCAUUAGCAACUUCUAUUACCUUAUAAAAUGAGUCUGAAUAGGGCUGAAUGAGUAAGGGAUAGUUCUUGAACAUCUAAGGACCUGUUUGGGAAUGUUUUCAAAAUUAGUCAUCAAAAACAGUUUUUAAGAACAGUUUUAAAAAAAUAAUUCUAUGAUGUUUUUAAAAAAGCUUUGUUUGAAAACUUGGAAUGUUUUUAACUUAUUUUCUAUAUUUCCAAAUAUUUCUUAAAAAUAGAUUUUUUUUUUUUUAAACAACACAAGAAAAUAAAUUAAAAUAUUUAAAAUAUAUUUUACAAAAUACCCUGUUUUUAGAACAAGUUCUCAAAAUACCCUGUUUUUUUUUGUCUGGAAAACAGUUUUCUUAAAAAAGUUUCUAAACAGACUCUAAGAGUUCUUGAAAUCUAAUGGUUCUACCUUUCUUCCUUACACGCACUGUGUAGUCUACUCCAUCGUUCUAAACUACUAAGUUAGACUUUUAUCAGGUGGGAAAGACUUCAAAUAAGCUGUCAUUAGUUUUAGGAAUAAGAAAUAAUCAGCCACUUGGAUCCUAACUGAGUGUCAAGGCAUCUUCUCCAUAGGCAAGAGUUGUAGUUCUCCUCCAAAGGGGAGAAUCUGAAGUGUGCAGCUAGGUGGUCUGCUCUUAUUCUUUUGAGGCUUGGUAGUAAGAAAAUCAAGAAAAAUGAGAAAAGUCGAAAAGAAAGAAAAGAAAGAAAUAAAAAAGCAACAAAAUAAAGCUUCAAGUACCAAAGUUAAGUAUCAACUAAGCAACAUUAAAGCUAGGGAGUAAUCCAAAUUAACAGGAGAGAGAUACAGAAGACCUUGAAGGUGCUCUAGGCCAAGCAAGAAAAUUUGAAGGCCCUCCUAAGCUUAGUUUUUUGAGCUAAAAGAGGUGUCUAAGGGGUAAAUUAGCACCAAUACAUAUUAAAAGGAAAAGUAACCAUUACCAGGUUUUGAAACUAUACAUCUAUUUUUGCUGCCAUGAAAUUGAGCUAGUUUGUUCUAAGGAUUUAUCUUAGUUUGAGCCCUUUUCUUGUUGUUUUGCGUUUAGUUGUUGAGGGACUAGCAACAAGCUGGUGGGGGAUGGUGACAAGGACCCAAACUCAGCACUCUAAUGGGGCUUAUUGAGCUCACUUAAGUGUGUUUGAGGUGCUUAUGACUUAUCCAUUGACAGUCUGUUUUUAGUGCCUUAGUUUUUGUGUUUGAAUUGUUUCCUUGUUAAUUUCAGUUUUUGGGAGCUAUUUUUGGCGAAAAUAUUUAUGACUGAGGUACCAUGGGAGCUUCCAAGAAGGUCAGAGGGAGAAGGAAUAGAAGAAUUGAUGCAAAAAUGAAGGAAUUUGGAGUUGGUGGACUGCACAAAAGCUCUACAUUUGCAUACACACACACACUCACUCACUGAAGCCUGCACAAGGAUUUUAGGUAAGCAAAGGGAGUGCACACAGAGGAACCCAAGACUUUGCAUAUGCAGAGGCUUUUGCAUACAAAUCCCCAAUGCAUAUGGCCUAGGCACACCACUUCCUGCACAUGGACUCUGCUCAAAGCAACAUCAGCACACUCUCUGCCCAUUAAACUGUCAUACUCAAGUUUUGCACAUAAACUCAAGCUCAGCAAUCAUGCGCACAAGUCCUCUACGAAGCAAGCUAACACAAUUCUAUGCAUAUGUCUGCACAACUCACUUAAGCAUUCCUCUAUGCAUAACUUCAAGUCCUAUCAAAGCCACUCACAAGUCUGUGUACGCAGACAUAUAAAUUCUUUUGUCAUUAAUACACUCCCAAGGCAUUGAGAUUUAAGCUCACAUGUGGCAAGGGACACCUUUUCUGCACUCCAAGACAGCAUCUCCAUGUGGCAUUUGGAUUCCAAAAAUAGUUAUACUGGCAUCAAUGACAGACAGCUAGUUAUCUAUUCUGGUCAUUGAGGAGAGUCAAGAUCUAAUAUGGAGAGAAUUCAUUCAUCAUUGAGAAUGAAACAUCUUUUGGAUCAUUUUCUAUCAUCAAUUGUUCAACACUGCCAUUGCUUCUACCUUCAACGCUGAGGACUUUCAGUUUUGUUUUGUUUCUUCAUUUUGUUUUGAAUAUGAGAUUUGGGUUGUAAGAAACAAUUUCAAUUUCUUGUUUACUUCUGUAUUUGAAAAGCAAUUUUAAUUUUCUGUUUCUAAUCUUUUAGGACGGUUCAUUACAGUUUUUCCAGUUUUAAUUCUUUGUGAAAUUCCAUGUCUCUUUUCUUUUAUUUUACUAUUUUGUUUACUCCUUUUAAUUUAAACAUAAGUAGCUAAAUCCCUUAAGGCACCAAAGGUUGGGUUAAGCUAAGGCAAAUCAUUCCUUACAUAAGUCCUCCAAUGGUUUACUCGCUUAUGUAAAGUUCAGGAGAAUCCUAACUGGGGCAAAUGCUUGUUGCACUGGUUGUGAGAGCCAAAAGUUAAGCAACCUUAAGAGCAUUCCCUUAGACUGAGCACUUUAUUUCUGGAACAGAAUCAAGGUCUGAAUCAAAGGCCAAAAGCACCGGUUCAGUGUCAUUGUUUCUCCCCCAACCUUAGGCCAAAUGCAUCUUCUUGAGGAGGGCCUGAGCUGAGGGUGAUUUAAUUUAUAGAUCUCUACUUUUGGUGUCUGCUUUUCUUAUUAUUAUUUGUUUUUAAAAUUUCACCCAACUGGUUUUCAAGAAUUUCCAUAAAUUUCCAAAACUGCCUCUAUCUGCAAGCCAUACAUCUUGAAUCACCUAUUUCCCAUACCUCUAACACUGAAAUCCUUAGAUCGCUGACCCCCCAUAUUCACCUCAUGUAUCACAUCAAAGGUUCUUCAGACCUGAACACAUGAUCUGAGCACAAGCAGUCUUUUCUUAUUCUUCUUUUUUACAUUGGGAAUCUUUACUUAAAAUCCUCACAAACACUGAAGACGAGUCAUGAAGAGCUGGCAAGUUUGAACCUUACAAGGCAAGUCAUAAAGGAGACAUGAACAACAAAAAAAAAAAAAAUGGUUUUUCUCUAGGUUUUUGCUACAUUCCCAUAUAGAGUAGCAUGUUACAGUAUCUUAGUCAAUCUAGUCAUGUGUUAGGAAAGAUGUUAAGGUUGGUCCAGCACCCAACAACUUAAGCUUUUUGGUCAAUUAGUUGUAUAACAUGAUACCGAAUUCAUUAUCUAGUAGCCUAAGAUUUUAGCUCAAUUAGGAGAUUAACAAAAAACUUACUUUCACGUUUUCUACUUUUUAUUUGUUUGUGUUUCCUGCAUUUCUUCUCCCACUUCUACGCUUCAUCUUACCAGACUAACAGUACCAUUCGUUUUGUGAAUACUACCUUUGAGAAAAUAAUGUGAUUUUUACUUACUGCUGCUGUUAGUUAAUAUUUCCAGCAGCUGCUAAUUUCCAAUAUUUUAACUUUUUGUAGGAACCAUAUUUCUUGCAUAAGAAAGGAGGAAAAAUAAGUACCUGGGCAAGGAAACCUCCCAAUGCUGGUCCAAUGAUCAAUCCUACGCCCCAUGCUGUAUUAAUCUAAAAUAAAAUUAAAACUAUCAGUGAUGGAUUUAUGGUGGUGCUCAACACUUCUAUGAACUCUUGAUGAACAUAAAGAUACAGUGCUCACUGUUGACAGUCCUAAAGCUUGGUAUUCUUCACGGAAAAUUUCAGUUGCAUAUGCCUGAUUAGGGAAGAAACUUGAUCAUGUUUGAUAGGGAAAUACAUACAGAAAAAAAAAACCAAUAAAUUGAACCAUAAGUCCAAGCAUUUUAAGGCAUUAAUAUAAUGAUCAAAUGAUCGUCCAAAAAGUCAUAAGCAAUAAAACAAUACCAUUAUUGGUCCAAGUAAAGUACUNNNNNNNNNNNNNNNNNNNNNNNNNNNNNNNNNNNNNNNNNNNNNNNNNNNNNNNNNNNNNNNNNNNNNNNNNNNNNNNNNNNNNNNNNNNNNNNNNNNNAUAAGAGUUCAACAUAAUAUCUAACAAAAUGGAAACAUUGUUUAAGCAUUGCUUGCACACAUGCUCUAAAAUCUCAACAAUAUGAACAUCUUGAUCAUCAACCUAUGUGAAGAUGGGAAUCUAUGGGAGAUUUCAAUUUUCAGCAAAGUGGGAUAUUGUCAAAAAAUUUGUUUAGACUGUCUAGAACACAUGUUAUCACUAUGUUACGGGAGAACUUCCAACCUUUCGGCAUGGGGUGGCAGACAAAGCUUGGCGACCUUGUCAUUAUGUAUGCAUGCUUGCCAAGGAAACUUUGUUUUCAAAAUUGUUGGUUUGAAUUUGUUAAAGCAAUUAGUCAUCAUACUUGAAUAAUAAUGUCUCUCCUAGCAAUGAUUGUGCAGGAAGAAUGUAGUUGAAGCUUCCCUGAAUGAUAAUGCGCAUGAAUUAGGACACUUAGCACAUGCUAAGUUCUUUUCUUACCUUAAGAAAGAACCUUCUAUUUUUCCCAUGAUUCAAAAUACCACUAGAAUAUAAGCAAACACAAGUGUGUUAGGGAACUCAUGUUCUUAAAAUUGUUGAGAAUAAAACACGGUGAAGAGGGCGGGUAUGAAAAAUUCUCAUGUCCAUAAUCUUGUCUAAAUUUUUUAUUGGUACAAAAGUGAGAAUUAAUCUAUAUAAAUGAUAGCAGGUCGGUAUGGGGGUGAUCGUCCCAAACCCGUCCAGUUGUCAUUCUUGUAAAGUCUCUUUACUUGUAUCUCAACGUCAUGGACUUGUAGUUGAUCUCAUGGAUAUUACUAAAUGAUUUAGAUUUCAUCACACAUUUAAACCGUGAGCAUUAAAAGUUCUAUAUGGUGAAAUAUGAAUAAUAAGACAUUAAUUUAAUUCUUCUUUUCAUGAAAGUUCUCGGUUGGAAAACAAAUGUGAAGUGAAGCAACUCCAAAUACAUACAAAGCUGACUAGUUACAACUUACAACAUCAUCCAUGGCAGAUAAUAAUUAGGAAUUUCCAAUGAGAAUGCAGUACUCACCAUGAAAUAAAGGUACGGAAAAAGAGAUGAUAUGGGCAGCGCUGAAAAUGGAAAGCAAACACCAUUACCCAACAAAUUAUCAAAUUCCGAAAUGCAUUUAGUUUAAAAUUUCAAAAAAAUAAAAAUAAAAAUAAAAAUCUAACCCCUAUUUGUGUAGCCAAUUUUCUGUCUUUAUUUUUAAAAAAUUAGAAAAUAAGUUGGAGGAUAUAUUUGGAUAUUUAGGUUGAAGUUUUUUGGUUUUCAUUUUCUAUUUUUAUUUUUUAAGAAUAGUUUUUAUUUAAUUUUUUUUACAUCUUCUAUUUUCUAAAAAUACCCUUAUUAAUUAUAUAUUUAUUAAAAAAAUUAUUAAAAUGUUAAAAUAACUAAUAAAAAAUAAAAUAAAAAAUUAAUGAACAAAUAUAGUUUAAUUAUUUAAUUAUUUUUUUAUGUAAAAAAAGAGGGGUACCAAACAAAAGAAUACAAUUUAUGAACUCCUUUGUUAACUAUAUACAUAUUUUUUAUUUUACUAUUAAAAUAAUUAAUAAAAAAAAAGAAAAUAAAAAUUAAUCUACAAAUACAAUUUUAUUAUUUUCAUCAUUUUUCAAGUAAAAAAAUUUAGUACCAAAUAAGGUUUCCUAAUUUUCAUUUUUUAAAUAUAAUUUUCAAUAUUUUUAAUCAAAAUUUCAUUUAAAAAAAUUGAAAAUUUUUUCCAAACCAAAUCCAAUCUAAUUCAUUCAAAUUAUUUUCAUGUUAUUUACUACUUACUGCAAAUACAUAUGAAGCUAACAUGAUAGUGAGCUCCCACCAUUGAUGAAGGCUCAAUGGAAGGAAGGUGGUGGUAUGAAAGUAUUGCAGUGUAAUAAUAGUAGUAAGAGAGAGUGUAGUUACCAUUGCAGAGCACCACAAUCCACACAAAAAACAGUUGUCUAACUGGUAAACCUCUCUGUGUGUCUUUAAGAUGCUCCACUCUACAUCCUGGGCAUCCCCCAUGGUAAACCUUCUUCAACAACACCUCUCUCUGCUCCUCCUUCAUUUCCCUGUAAACAAAGUAGCUGUUGAAGGUGCAAACUUCAAUGCUUAAAAGUAGAUUUUUAAGUAGGAGACAAAAUAAAUUAAAACGUGGAGCCAUUGGUUGAAAUGACUACAUGGUGUGCAUUGAUGAACAACAUUACACAUCUUGAAAAAAUAAAAAAGGACGCGCACGAGACCCGGCCAUCGGAAGAGUGGGGCCUCGAAGAUUAUGAGGACACAGCUCACACUGUAGUCGCAUCUCGCUACACAUCCAUGUUCCCAAGGCCCUCUUGUUGAACGGGCACCAUCAUAAAUUACAUAAUGACAAGCAUCGGCACCAAUAAUUGGCAAUGGUAUGCAUCAAGGGAAAAUCACAUCACAUCAAAUCAGUAACAGUCAUGGUUCAAAAUAUCAGUCGGGUUCGGUACAACUCGGCUGAAGCGAAUAAUCUUUCAACACAAACCCAAUUAAGAACCGUUAAACUUAGUCGCCUCCGUUGAGAUUCUUAGUAGACUCAAUUGAAAUUACGAGUUCAAUUGUUUAAAAUCUAAAUUUUCUCAAAUUAAACCAAUUUUUUUUUCUCUCUUUUAUAUCACAACAAAAGGCAACCAAAAUUGAGAAAUCUUUAAUAAAUAUGAGAGAUUUUCUUAAAAAUAAAUUUUUUUCAAGACCCAUAAUCGUGAAGGAUAAAAAAGAAGAAAGAAAGUUUCAUAUUGGUGAUGUAGUUGUGGUGGCCAACCGGUAAGAAACAUCACAUUCUUUCAUCGAUGAUGAUCUUUGCAUAUUGGUGUUGCCUCUCCUUGCUCGAUCUCUAUUGUUUGGUUGUGUAGGUAUCCCUUGGGAUUCAGAAUUAAAGAAAAUGACUUAAUGUAUUGUUUUAUAUAAAAAUGAUUUAUUAUUUCAAAUGUUCAUGUAUUUACAUCAUUUUACCUUAUAUGACAAUGGUGUUUGAAAUUGGAAAUUUGAAAAUUAGUAUUUUACCUUAUAUGCUAACCGUAUUUGGAAUUGAAAAUUUAAAAAUUAGUAUUUUAUAGAUUAAAUAUGGUAUGAAUGCCUUUAAUUUAGGUAAUAUAUUAUUUUAUAUGGUAAUGGUAUUAUAUAAGGCAGAUUAUUUUAUAUAUUAAUUUAUUGUUAAUAAUUUAAGAAAUUAUUUGAUUUAUUAUUAUGUCAAUAAUUUAUUAUUAAAUUUAUUAGUUUUUUAAUUCAUUUAAUUAUAUUAAAAUUUUUUUGAACUUUUAAGUAUCUUAUUUUGCGUAUCACCUGAUACCAAACCGAGAUACCAAUAUUGUGCCUUAGAACCCUAGAGUCAAUGAUCGAUACCGCGAUUUGGAACCAUGAUUGAAACAUUUAUGCACCUGUAUGAUAUUCAACAUUUUCAAAUAAAAGAUGAUAUUAUACAAAAUGAAGAAUUUAAUAAUGUAAAAAUAUAAUAACCUAUAGAAAAUAAGUAAUAACAAAACAUUUGUUUUAUCCAUGCAAACCAUACUAGCAAAUAACAUUUUCUAUGCUAUUUGAAUAUUAUCUAAAAUAAAAAUGACUAACAUAUAAUAGUAGUAAACCACAUAAUAAUGUAACUUGAUAGUGAGUUGAUGGUUGGGAAGCUAAGCCAAAAUGAGGUGGUGGUUAGUUAAAAGUAUUGGUUUGUUGUGGCAUGAAACUCUAUAUCAUUGCCUUCAACUCCACCAAUUGAGUGGUAGUUGUAGUCUUAAAACUCUAUGAUCUAUCGUAGCAACUUCUUUGUCUCUUCUUAGGAAAUUCAGUUGCACUCGAACACUUAAGUUGUGAUUCAUUUCCCAAACCUUGAAUGUAACUUGAUCACUUCUCGAGCACUCAAUGAUUUGUCUAUAAGUCAGAUAAGAGUAUCAACCUUCAAGGUACUUUGCUCUUGAAUGUCAUGCAUCUCUUCCUGGAAAAUAUAGUAAAAUUUCAAUUAGUAAAAAUAUUAAAAUAAUGUGAUGCAUCAAGAAUCUAGCAUCUAUCUAGUUAAAUUGGCACCUUCUUAAGAUAAACAAGUCAAUCAACAUGUAAAUAUUAGCAUAUCAACCAAAAAAAAGCAACAUAUUACCAAGAAAAAAAAGCCUUCAACACAAAUUUUUUUAGUUAAACCCGAGAAAAACAAAACCUAGAGCGUGGCAACUCACUUGACAGCCGCUCACACGGAUUCUGCAGAGCCUCCCGAAGAAACUGAUCCACUUGGUUGACAGAGUCCUCAGAAAUCAUCCCGGAACCGACGAAGACGACAAAGCCGGAGCAGAAGCAGAAGCUGAAGCUGGUAUCGAGGCAUCGAGAGAGGAAGAGGAAUCUUUCUUGGAGGAUGAAGAGGAGAGCAUCAAUCUGUUCAUGCUCUCGUCCAAAUCAGCGACCUCCCAGGACUCAGGGCCUCCGAGAUCGUGAAUGUAAAACAUAAAAUGUUAUUUGGUAAUCUGAUCAUGAUUUGCAGGCAAAGGUUGUGUUUUUCAGCCUGGCUCAAAAAUCGUGGAUUUAGGGUUCGUGAAAUUUAAAUCCAAUGGCACAAAGCAAAGCGACCCCUAGAAUAGAUCCAGAAAACACAGGAAGCAAAAAAAAAAAGCAAUCUUUCUAGUUUUCCUUGGGGGUUUUGCAUGGAUUUUCUCGGAAAUCAAACGAGGAUGAAUUUUCCCGGAAAUCGAAUGGGGAUGGAUUUUCUUGGGAAUCAAACGGGAGUUGCAAAAAAAGAAAAUAAUAACAUGAUUAGAUUAGUACCUGCGAGGAUUGAGAGUGGCAAAGGAAAAUAGGGCCUUUUUAGGGAUUCUCUCGGGAGGGCAACUUCAUUGAUUUUUAGAUUUAGUAGAGAUUUGAAAAAAAAAAAAAAAAAAAAAAAAAAAAAAAAAGAAACAAAUAAAGACAACAAUUUUCCUCUCUCUAUAUAAAUAAUUAUUAAUUAUCAUCUUUAUUUUGAUUAAAUCACCGCUGAAAUUUGGGUUUUUAUCUAUAAUAUUUUAUGAAUUAAAAUUAAUUUGAUAAGAUAAAUUAUUAAUAAUUUUAAUUAUUUAAAUAAAUUAAUAUUAAUAAAAAAAAGUUGUUAUCACAUAUUUUUAAUAAAAUUUUAGAAAUAAAAUCUCAAAUAAAAUAUUUUAUAUAAAUUAAUUUAAUUUUUCAUUUAAAAUGUAAUCAAACAUGUUUUAAUAAAAGUAUUUUAAAAAAUUUAAAAGAAAUAGUAUCUUCAACAAAAUGAGCUCCCUUCAUCUAACAAUAUGAUAGAACCACACCGAUCUUCAUUUUAAUACUAAGACUAUUACAAUAUCAUAUAUAUUAUAUUUAUGUAUAAAUUACAAUAUCAUAUAUAUUAUAUUUAUGUAUAAAUUGUUUUUAUUCAAUAAAAUCAAAUAUUUUUUUAAUUCAAUUCUAACUUUAUACACUUCAAAAUUUCAUAAUUAUUACUCUUAAAAUUCAAAUAUUGAAUUUAUCAAUGUCUACCGAUAUUUUUCUUCUUAAUCAUAUUUAUGUUAAUUACACUUACAAAAUGACUUUAAAAUAUGUAUAUUUACUUAUUUUUAUCAUUUUUUUAGAGUUUUUGCAAGCAUUCCUAUAAAUUUUAAAUAAUUUUUGUUCCACUUAUAUUUGUGAAAAAAUAUCCACCAAUAUUUUUCUUAUAUUUCUCAUAUAUCUGUAAUUAUUGAUAUUUUCAUCCUGGUUAAAACUACACUUGAGAUCCUUAAAGACUAUAUUUGACUCCCUAAAAAUUUGAGAAAAAAUGUAAAGGAAAGAAAAUGGAGAGGAAAAGUAAAAAGAAAAAAAAAAUGAAGAUAAAUAAAAAAUAGAUUUAAAGUCAAUGAAUUAUUUUUAUAUACUACUUCAAACUUAUUUAAAUUAUUUUAACUCAUCAGUACAAAGAUUAAAUAAUUUGAAAAAAGAAACAUAACUAAUUUUAAUCAUAUUUGAUUUUCUUUGGUAUUAUUUUGUUGGAUAACCAAACAUGAGAAAAUAAUUUUAUUAAACAUUUUCUUUCUUUCCUUUGUAUUUUUCGGAAAUAAAAAAUACCCUAAAAAUAUACUGAAAGCUAUAUAUCACAUUAACCAAAAGUUAAAACAAAACUAUAAUUUCUUUAAAAUAAAAGUGGAUUAUUUAACAAAAACAGAUCAAUUCUCUUGUCAAAAGUAUUGAACUUCCAUAUCAAAUUGAUCCACAAUGAGCAGGAUUUUUAUUUCCUUAACAACAGAAUAUAAUAAGAUAACUAUAAAAAAAAAAUGGUUCCAUUCCUAUUAAAAUUAUUUUCUAAAUUAAAAAGUGAAAUACUCAAUGAAAUUGUUUCUUUUUUGAAGCCAAAAUGAAUUCACCAAAUCAUCCAUCCAAUGACAUCCAUAAAGAUCUCAACUUUAGAAUUGGAAAUUGCACAAAAGCAAUUCAGAUUAUGGGGCUAGUACUACCCCAACUGAAGAAUGUAAGGAGAAGAUCAAAAGUACCAUAUAACUUGAGAUAAGAUAUAGGAAAAUCACCAAAACAUCACUCAUCUUUUGUGACAUUAAACAUUCGAGGACAGCUAUAGACAGAGCAAAAUGCUUGCAAUGCCAUUAACCACAAGAUGCAAACGGUAGCCAGAAACGUUAGAAACUGCCAUGAACCAAACACGUAACGCUUCAUAAACUUUCCGGCCUUAACCUGCCAUAUGCCAGUGUGAUAGUUGUUCACAUCUUCAAUCACCUUAUCUAGGAAGGGCACCUUCGUCAACCUUAUGGUCUUGUUCAUCCCAUUCCACAGGUCGGCCACCUCUUCAUCACUCUUCAACCGGUUCAAAAUAAUUCCUCUUUCUCUCAGAAACUGGGCAUCUUCCUUGGUAUCAAUAAUCCCAUUCAUUAGUUCAGUGUACCGAGCAAUAAUGAGUGGCCCUGAUGCAUUUGAUGCUUCAUAUGCAACCAGGUUUCUCAGAAUAACCUCUGUGUUUACUUCUAAGCUAACAGUAGGGAGGUAAAGUGUGGCCAUCUUAGCAUCGAAAGUGAUGGAUGAGAUGCUACCAUUAGUAGGUAAGAAGCGGACACCGGAUUUGGAGAGCUCGGACACUGAAGGGAUGGCGAUUUCCUCUAUCAGUGGAGGUUUGAUGAUGUUGUUCCCAUUUUCAGGCUUGUUUUCUUCUUUGUUUUGGGAAAAGAAGAUAUCUUCGACAGGUUGUUUCAAGAUGGAAAACCCGGGGAGCUUGGAGACGAUUGUCCAAGGCAAUUUCAGUAUGACUUUUACAGGAUCGGAUAAUAAAAGUCUCUUGAGAAGACGUAUUGGGCCUUGAGUGCAUGUUGAGACCAGAUUCCAAAUUAUCUGAAAUAGCUGUUGCACAUAAUUGGAAUCUCCAAAAGAUUCUUCUUUGCCCUCCUUUGAUUCAUCUUCGUUCUCUACUUCAAUUAUUUCAGAUGGUUCUUUUGAUCUUGGCACGAUGAGAUGGUACAGAAAGUCCAGCAGGUGGGCUUGCUCCUCAACGUGGAUCUGGGGCAAGUCCUUCAUCAUCCCAAAUGGACAAAGAUCUUCACCAAACCCGGCUAACAUUGAACACAACAUAUCAUCAGCUUGAUCUAGAGUGGGGAACUGGAAUUCUAGCACCUUCCUCAAUACAAACAAUGGAAUUUGAUUCUCAAGCAUCACCAUGUCUCUAAGAAUCGCAUUAUGAGCUGAUUUGGUCCCGGCAUAAUCAACUAGGUGUGACAUCCUGGAGGAAACUCUGGUCAGCACCCGACCCGCCUUGAUGGCAUAGACUUGAAGGAACUCAAGCAAGAAAGAGGCAUCAAUAGCCAUCAUCCACGCUAAGGUAUCACCAUUGAACUCCAAGAACUUGUGGUAACAAGCUCGAAUCCUUGGCUCAUGCUUGGUCAACUGAUCAACAAGGCUUUCAAACUUCACUCUUUGGAGAUGCUUUUGAGUUCUUUUCGCUGCUGCAAGCUUAUACCUCUCCAUCUCGUAGAGCUCCGGCCGCCAAUGAUGAUAAGGCCCCAGUGCAACUUCUUGAGGAACGUAGCAAUCCGGCUUAGUAGCCAUUAGGGUUUUGGGCACAUUGUAGAUGUUCACGGGGACUUCACUAUCUUCUUCAAGCUCUUCAUCUAGAGUCCUACGUAUCUCAAUCACCCAUCUGAGCUCAUCAAAGCUUGGGUUAGAGUUGGAGGUCAUGGUGGAUUAAAGAGAAGGAAGUUUUUGCCUUUUGGUGGAGUUGGCAGUUCAAUGUGGUGUAUUAGGUAGGAGGGAGUUAGAAAAAUGAGGCUUUAUUAUAUAUAUUAUGAGACAUGCCGUGAAUGAAGCGAUUUUCUCUUUGGUAGGACAUAGGAUUCAUGGACUUUAAUGAGAAUGCGUUUUCUACAUGUUUUUUUUUUUAUAAACAUUCCACAAUUAACCGAUCGAGGCUCUUUCUCACUCUGAGAUUAAUUUGGGAGGCCGGCCGUUAGGCCACGUACAGAUGAGAUUCAAAGAGAGAUGAUAGAAUUAAUUAAUCCUGCGUUUUCCACAUGGUUUCUUGUUCAAAAGGACAUUUUUUUUCCUUCGAAGUACUUAAUUCAGUAGGGCAGUUAGGCAGCAUGUGGUAUGAAUGUGAAAAAAGGAGACGUGGAAAUGUGUUCUGCAAUCCCAAAUUGAAGUUUUCUGAGGUCCCGUGACAAGUACAUGAGUGGAAUACAAGUUGGGUUUAUGAAAUUUUCAAGAUAACACUUUGUUUUUUUCUGUAACCCCCUGUGUGAAGGGAAUUUUAGAAAUGUUUGUUGCCUAGCUUGCCUUCAACAAAGUAUUAAUUAGGAUAGAUAUGAUGUCGUUUUAGUAUCACAGCAUAGUCACCACACCUUCUUUUUCCGACAGCGAUUUUUUGUCAUAACUCAUAAGGUAUUCCAACAUGGGCUUGGUUUUCCCCUAAGAUAGAUAAAUUGAUGGAUACCUUACACACAAAUUUCGUGAAAAUCCUACAAAAUUAACAAAAUAAUAGGACAAAUAAUGUGAAUAAAGAUUUUAUAAAAAUUGAAAUUUGUGGGUACAAUAUAUUCCUCUUAUUCUUUCGUUUUAACCAUAACUUAGAGAACUAUGACAAAAUUGUUUUACUGGAUUUGAAGAUUAAUCGAGAGCCUAAAGUGACUUUUUCUCAAAUAAACUUGUUGAAUUGUGAAGAACAUGUGUGCAAUUCUUUCGUCGUUUACCAUUAUUGAACUAGUAGGCAGCCCUUCUACUGUUUACUAAACUUGUAGGAGAUUUUAUGAAACUCCUCUUUUUAUGAAGCCUAUUUUCACUUGAAUAUUUUCUAAUCUCUUUAGGAUUUGUUUCAUAUGUAAAGAAUCAAAUUUUGAAUUCCCAAAUUUUAGUUGUUUAGUUCAAGGGAUUUAAUCUUUUAAUUUUAGCAACUUUUCUUUAUUUGAAGGCUUUACCAAUGAGAUAAUAAUAAUAAUAAUAAUUAUAGUCAUAGUCUUCCAAAAUUGUGCCACGUGUCCAAUAAACCCAAAUCUUAUUGAACCAUGAAAUUACAAUUUUUUUUUAAAAAAAAACUAAAUUAAAUGAUAAUUUAAUUCACUAAAUUUUUUAUGUCUACAUAUACAUAGGUAUAUAGGUUUUAGAUAUAUUUUAAGUUUUGUAGCUAUACAAAAUUCCUAUUAACCCUACAAUAUUAAGUGCUUGUUUGGAUAUAUUUUUUGUCUUUUACCUUUAAAAUAUAAAAUAAAAAUAAUUUUUAUAUAAAAUAUAGUAACUUUUAUAUAAAACAUAUGAACUUACCUUAUUUGCUUAAAAAUUAUUUUUAAAAUAUUUCAAAUAUAAAAUAGUAAAAACAUUUUAAUUCCUCGAUUUUUUACAAUCUUUAUAUAAGUCUCAAAAGACUUUUAUAUUUUAUAUAGAAUUUAUUAUUAUUAUUAUUAUUAUUAUUAUUAUUAUAAGAAAAAACAAAAAUUGUACCCAGACGAUAUGUAUAGUUUAAACCAAUUAAAUAAUUAAUUUAUAUUAAUAAUAAUUUAUAACUUAAGUAAAAAUAUAAGUAAAAAAAUCUGUUAUAAAGCGAUGUGAUAUUUAAAGACAUUGAAUGUAAUUUUGGACAAGACUGAAAGAUUAAUUGUCACUUGGAUUUUGUAUAAGGAUAUGGCUACUGAGAAAAAUAUCAAAUGAAUGAUAAGGAUGGGAUAUGAAUUCAUUGACAAUAUCUCUAUGUUUAUCCAAACCUCAACCCAAUAAUUUAUUGAUCCAAUAUAAAAUGAUAUUAACUAAUUUAUUCAUAAAAAAAAAAAGGAAAAAAAUUUGAAGUUACAAGGAAAUGAAAGGUAAGUUUUUAAGUUUCUCAAAUUUUUUUUUCUCCACCUAUUUUUCUGAAAUUACUAAUGAUAUCCAUAUCUUAUCCAUAGAUAUAAGAUCUAAAGAAAGGAAAAGACAAAAAAAAUUAUCAACCAAAUUAAGUGUGAUGUAUAUGGAAGUUUUAAAGCAUAUUAAUAAAUUCAUAAUUGACUAAAAUUUCAAUCUUUGGAUUCCGAUGCAUAGUUUAAACCAUGAACAACAAUGUACAAUAGAUAAAAAAAAAAAGUGGUUUGAUAGAUAAUAUUGCAGUUUUUUUAAUCAUUUCGUUACUUAGUUGAUAUUUUUGUUCCUUUUUUACUAAUUAGAUGCUACUUCGCUAAUACAAUAAAUUAGGAUCGAAGAAAAUGUUUUAAAUUUCCUAAAUUGAUUUCUAUUAUAUUUUUUAAUUUCAAAAAUUAUUUUUGAUAAGUUUUAAAAUUAUGUUUAUUUCUAAAUUUAUGUUUGGUAUUCAAGAGAAUUUUUGGGAUAUUUUUAGUAAGUUUUAAAAUUGUAGUUAUCUUUAAAUUGGUAUUUGAUUUUAAAAAUGAUCUUUAAAAUAUUUUAUAAUUAGAAAACUCUUCAUAAUUCUAAAAAGAAAAAUUAUAAAUAUAAAUAGAGAUUCUAUUUGAAAUAUGUGGUGGAUUUUCAUGAACCUAGUAGAGAAAAUAUAAUCAUUCAUCAAAAACUUUAUCCUUAACUUUUAAAUUUUCAAGAUAUUUUUUUUUAGAGUAACUUUCGAUUACGACAAAUGUCAGAUGACAAUAUAAGACCUUAGGGAGUAGGUGUAUCUGAUCAAGUAAAAUUAUAUACCUUUUUCACAUAUUUAAUAAAUUAUUUAAUGGUUGAGAGAUCACUCAUGGUUUUUUAUACCUAGUAGGUUGUUAUGUGAUUUUUCUAUGUUAUAUCUGUGUUAAUUUGAGUGAUUGAUUUUAUUUAUAUUUACAUAAAAUUUUUUUUUUUCUAAAUAAUUAAUAUAAAGGGACAAAUCUAAAAUAGGUAAUAAAAUAUUAAUUUGGAGAAUUCAAGGACUCAACCGAGUCAAAUAAAAAUUUCUUUCACAUUUCUUUUAAGAAAUGUCAAAAAUAUAUCAACAUCUAAUGAUAUCAUUCUAAAAUAUUUUAAUUUUUUAAGUAAUUUAAAAACCUUGAAUUAAAAACCCAAUGUUUCAAUAGCUUCAUCACUUUUAUUUAUGAAAAUAAUAGAAAUAUUUAGAAAUUAAUUUUCAUUUCCACCACAAAACUGUUUUUCCCACUUCAAAAUGCAUUUGAACAUGCUUACCACUUGAGAUUAGAGCCGGUUUGUUCUCUAGACUUUUUUUUCUCGUUAUGUUUGAUUAGAAAGUAACACAAGAAUCAUUGCACCAACUUGCUAUAUUAUUAACCAACUUCUCCCCUUCAACCUUUGAGCGUGUUUCACUUUUCCUCUCACAUUCAAAACUCAAUACUUUAACUCCUAAAUUUGUUAAUUAAAAGAGCAACUUUUACCUUUAAACUUGUUAAAAAGUCGAUAAAUAACAUAUUAAGUGAAAAUAUAAGAUUGAAAUGUAAAGAAAAAUACUUAUUAUCCAAGUUCAAAGUUAUUACACUUUAAAGCUGCAUCCGAAAACCAUGAAUAAAUAUACAAACAUCCCUCUAAAAUAAAAGUUGGUAUAUGUCGUAUUUCGAAAGCAUUUGGAAAUUUUCACGUUAAGUUUAUAAACUUAAAAUUGAUUUUAUCCAAAUUCAAACUAUUGUUUGGAUUGUGGAAAAAAACAAUUUUUUUUAUUUUAUAAUUUUAUGAAAUUUUUGUAAUUAGGGGACUAAGUAUAAACAAAUUUAGAAGAUAAAUUAUUAAGUUUUGAAUAUGAGGGAUUACAUAGUAAAAUAUGAGAAAAAAAAAUGAGGGGUAAAAUGUAUUCAACUUUUUGUGGGAUAUGGCAAUAUGGCUUAGUAGCCAAUAGGGUUUUGGGGACAUUGAAGAUGGAUACAGGAACUUCACCUUCGUAUCCAACCUCUUCAUCUAGGAUUCUACGUGUUUGAGUCACCCACUUGAACUCAUCAAAGUUGAGUUAGAGUUGGACGCCAUGAUGGAUUGAAGAAGAUUUUUGUUGGACAUGGCUGUUCAAUCUGGUGUGUUUGGUGUGAGAGAAUGAGGCUUUCAUAUCAUAAGGAAUGGAGGCUUUCUUCUCUCUUUGUUUUUUUUUUCCUUUUUGUGUUAAUUUGGUUGCUUGUGGUUGAGUGUGAUUGCUGCCUCACAUGUUCUUUAGCAAACUCAGAUGGUACCAGGAGGGCUUCCUCAAGCUCCUUAAGGCUUGGACCCAAGUUCGAAUCCUGGGAAGACCACUCUAGGCGCCGCGCAAUAUUGGCCAAACAAACGAAACAAACUAUAUUUUCUAAACUUUAAAGAAUUUAUAUUAAAUGUAAAUUAAAUCCAACCUUCACACUUUGCAUUAAUAAAGUCAUCUUCUAAGUCCUAUUGCAACUACUACCCUAUUACAAUUUACAACCACUAACAUUUGGGUCUGCAACAAUUGUAAGUUUGUUGUAUUCGAGAAAAGAUUUUAAAAUCUUGAGAUGUUCUUUAUAUAUAUAUAUAUAUAUCUUGUUAACAAAGUGCAUCUAAAGUAAUGUUCUUAAUUGUUGCAUCUUAGAGGUAGGAUGUUUUGUUCCCUUCUACAUUAUGUUCAUAAUUGAGGAGGGUGAAUCUACUUUAAAGAUGAUACUUUGUCAAAACUUAACCACUUUAGUUCGAUAAGUACCCUAUUUCAGUUUUGUUUUGUUUAUUGCUUUGUUAGUUUUAGGCUUAGUUAUGUUGCCUAAGACUAAAUUCUUAGAUUUUUAUUUAACAUUGACUCCACUAUAGUAGUCAUACCCAUUGUUGCAUUUAGGUGUGUUGCAACCUUUAUGUUAUUGCAUCUAGGUUUGUAGCCUUCUUCCUAUUGCAAUCAUUGUACAUCUUUUAAAGGUUCUUCUAAGUCUCAACUUUUCUUACCGUUCAAACUUUAUUUUACUUUAUCUAAAAAGUACACUUUAGAUAAGAUUCUGAUGGUUGAAUCUUGGAGGUAGGAUGCUAAUUUCAUAGUACAUUGAGAUUGAUCUUAAAAGAAGACAAAUUUACUUUAAAGACAGUGUUCUAUUGCACCUCGAUGACACUAAUCUAACAAGUGCCCUAAUUUCAAUUUUUAACAGUCCCAUUUAUACUAUUUUGGGCUUAAAUUAGUUCAUUUUUUUACCCCAAAGUUGAGAUGUAAGGAAAUAUAAAUAUGUUAAAUAUCAUUUCUAUCCCAAUAGUAGGUUGUAAGAAACUUAAGGCUAUUGUUCAUUCCCAAGUUCAAGGUGAAAAAAUUGAGAAGAAAAUUUGGAAAAAAAUAUUUUAAAUGAAAUUUUCUUUGGAAGAUUUUAAAGAAAAAAACUUAAAUUAUUUAGUAAUUUAUUUUCCUUAAAUUUUCAUUGGUUUCUUUUAGGAAAAUGGGAACAAAAAUAUUUUAAUAUUUUCUCAUUUUCUUUCUUUAUGUUAUAUAUGUUUGGUUUUCUAUUUAUUUAUUUAUUUAUUUAUUUUGAAGAAAAAUAUGAGAAAAAAUAGAGAGAAAAAUAAAAAAGAAAAAAGAAAAAAGAUAAUAAAAAAUAAAAAUAGAUUUAAAAUCAAUAUAUUAGUAUUUUAUACUACUUCAAACUCAUUCCCCUUAUUUUAAUUCUUUUAUAUAAAGAUUAAAUGUAAAAGUAUAUAAGUUUUUAACUAAUUUUAAUUAUAUAUGAUUUUUUUUUCACAUUUUUAACAAUAAAAUAUAUAUGAGAAAAUCAUUUUCCAAGUUCCAUUUGAUUCCAAUUGCUAAAAACAAUAUUAAAAAAUGAUUUGUUUUUUUUUUAAUAUUUUGUUAUACUACGAAAAUAUCAUUAAAGUAUAAUGCAACCUUGAUAAAUUAUACUAAAAAAAUUUUGAAGACUUUGAUAAAUAAUAUUUUUUGUCGGUUUUGGGGUCAUCGUGUUCAAUUAAUAAUUCAAUAAAUUUAUUAGAUGAUACAGUAUAGAAAAAAGCGUAAUUUCGUAUAAGACUCACUUACUAUAUAAAUUAAUAAUUUUUUAAUAUGUAACUAAAUCCAUAUGAUUUAUUUAGGAAACGUUUGUAAAAUAUGUAUAAUGUUACUUGUUUAAAUAAAUAAGUGUUAUAUAUUUCAAAAAAUGAAUACUUUGAAAAAUACUUAACUUACCACUUAAAUUAAAUUAUUAAAUUACUUUAAAUUAUUAAAUUAGUUUACCUAACAUCCACUAAAUCUAUUGUUUAUUUUUACCCGUAAUUUUUUCUCAACAUGGUAUAUUUCAUUGCCGUAAUGGGUAGUCACCCAUUGGAAUUGGAAAAUAUAUAUAUAUAUAUAUAUAUAUAUAUAUAUAUAUAUAUUCAUUAUUUUUGUACUCAUAAUCUCUGCAUACGGUGGCACCUCCUUUCGAGAGCACAAGUGAGUCCAAGCCUUCACUGUAAAAAGUAAAAACGCACCACCACGAUGACAUUAUUUCCUCACCAAGAUCAUCAAACUUCUGCGCGUAGCACGAACCAUUCUCACCACCUGUUUGACCAAAUUCCCCACCCAGUCAUAACCCUAAAAGAUUGCAGAGAUUUUCGAAGGGCAACUGAUUUAAAUAGAAAAAUAUAUAUGUAACAUAGAAUAAACCCUAGGGAAACAAAACCAUGAUAAAAUUAUUUUUAUACCCUUCUUCCAACGCAUUUCAUUUAAGGUAUGUUUGGUUAUUGAAAAAUAUGAAAACAAAUAAGAGGGAAUGAAAAUACAGAAAAAAAAAAAAAGGAUAAAAUGAAAAAAAAUAAAAAAAAAUAAAUUAUUUUAUAUGCUCUUUUAAAUUUAUUUCAUUUAUUUUUCUUCAAUAAUUUAAAAAUGUAUAAAUUUCUUAUUAAUGUUAAUUAUAUAUAUUUUUUUUUUCAUAUUAAAAUCAAAUGUGAUAAAAAAAAAAUUCCUCAAUAUUUUUUUUCUUAGUAUUUUUGGAAACCAAAUAUAGCUUUACUUUUUUCUUUUAUAUAAAAAUUAAUUAAUUUGAAAAUACACAAGUCUCUUACUAAUUUUAAUUUUUGUUUUUUUCUUAUUUUUCUAGAUAAAUUAAACAUGACAAAAAUUUUCUCCCUAACAUUCUAUUCUUCCAUUUCUUAGCACCUUUGGCUAACCACCCAUGAACCAAAACAAACACCAUCUUCAUUCGCUGGCAAAUAAUGAGGAUUCAACAAGGAUUUCUCUCUUAUAUGUUCUUCAAAAAGAACCAAAAAAAACACUAAAACUAUGGAUUUUCAAAUUAUUUAAUCUUUAUAUCAAAAUAAAAAAUUUAAUAAAAUGAGAUGAAAAAAUACAUAUAAAACUAAUUUAUUAACUUUAAAUUUAAUUUUUAUUUUUAUUUUCUAUUUUCUUUCCAUCAAAAUUUUCAAGAAUCAAACAUAACAUAAAGAUUUUGGCCAAGGAUCAUUUGCAACGGAGCUAUAGUUCUCUUGAUGGUGCAAGCACAGUGUUUGGUAUGAAGAAACAAGGUUGGGGUUGGUUUGAAGAACAAAAUAUGAUCGAUAUAGUUAGGAAAAUAUCAAACACAAUAUUUUUUUCCUUAUAAACGAAGAAACUAGACUAUGAGUGCAUUUAAGAGUGAUUUUAGAAAACGUUUUUAAUAUUUCUAACACUUGAAUUAUAAAAAUUUUCGAGUAUUAGAAAUGUUAAAAACGCUUUGUAGAAUUACUAUCAAACAGACUCUAUAUCAAACCAAAUUCCCAAAUUCAUAAUCAUUCAUGUGAUAUAUGUAUAUAUAGAUAAUUCAACUUAGUCUAACCCGCAGUGACGUUUAAUUAAUCAUGCAAAGCUUAGAACAAGAAAAUGAAGAAAAAUUAGAGAAACAAAGAAACUGGAUACAAGUAAUAUCACCAUCUUAGGAACCCUUUUGGAAAGACCUAUAAAAUACAUAGACCACAAUUUACAAGUAUAUCAGCAAACAGUUUGUGGCGAAAUAACUAUUGUGAAUUUCUCCCAGUUGAUGAACAAUACCAAUACCAGGAGUCAUGACCCGAGUUCUGAAAUGAAAUAACUAAAAAAGAAUCAAUUUCCUAAAAUGAGAUGUAAGCCAACAUUAAUAGCAAACACAAGCUGCUUCUGGUACAAGAGCUUGAUGUCACAAGAUGCUUCAAAUGACCCUCCCCAUGGCUUAUAUAGGAGGUGAGAAGCUUCUAGAGACCCUUGGAGACAUCCACACUUAGCCACUAGUGGGAAGAGUGUGGAAGGUUCUAGAAAUGCCUAGAGAAGUCCACACAACUCUACACUAUGGUAGAAGGCAUGAGAAGGGUCCAAAGCUUUCUAGAGAAAUCUAGAAGUCUCUUGAAUAUUCUAGAAUAGUGUAGGACAUUCUAUAAUAUUCAUGAAUUGUAAGGAACCCUCCAAGGUUCUAGAGAGUUCCAUUGGUGCCUAUAAAUAGGUGAGGGCCUCAUUUGGCCAAGGCACCAAGCAAGUGAGCAUCCAAGCACUUGUAAAGGCUUUCUUGAGAUAAUAAAGCUUCCAUUCUUUAAGGAGUUGCCUACUAAGCUCUUAAGCUUUCGAGUCGCGAGUGUCUUAGCCGAGCAAGCUAAGCAUUGGGGAUCAAGGCUGACUUAGCAAGAUCAAGCGUCUUGACUUGCCUAAGUGUCGCACGAGCUUAGUGAACGACUAAGUCCGUGACAAGUGGUAUCAGAGCGCGGUUACGAGGUGGGCAUAGCAAAGGAAGCAUGUCAGGUUCCAACGUGGAGGAGACUAGUGAGCAAACCCGUGGGAGGGAGACCGAGCCUACUGCACGGGGCAGGGGCAGGAAGGAUAAAUCUCGUGAUGCCGUUGCCAACAUGGAGGCAAGGUUAGCCAAGGUGGAGCUAGCCAUGGCGAACACUCGGGAGGGGUUGGACUUGAUCGAACAAGGCAUGGAGAAGGGCUUAGAGGAUCUAAGGGAGCAGAUCCAAGACCUUCGUGAGAGGGUGCUAGUCUCACAAGUUCAGCCAGUGUCGCACGAGGAGUUUGUGUCCUUCCAAGGAAAGGUCUUGAGCAUGCUUGCUAGCAUGGAGUCAAGGAUAGAGGCCUUGGCCAUUCGAAUGGAGUCCCGAGACCAGGAAGUUAGGCAAGAGUUGGCCAUCUACAAGGCUGCUGUGUCGGCACGGGUCAUGGCCACACAGGAGGCAUCUAGGGUGGAGGUGCCGAAGCCACACAGGUUUAGUGGCAAGCGGGAUGCCAAGGAGUUGGAUAACUUCUUAUGGCAUAUGGAGCGAUACUUCGAAGCUAUCGCAUUGACGGAUGAGGCGACUAAGGUAAGAACUGCCACUCUCUACCUUACUGACACAGCUACUCUAUGGUGGCGUCGAAGGUUUGCCGAUAUGGAGAAAGGCAUUUGCACCAUAGAGAUGUGGGAGGACUUCAAGAGGGAGAUCAAGAGGCAGUUCUAUCCCGAGGACGUGGCUUACCUGGCUAGGAAAAACAUGCGGCGUCUUAAGCACACAGGCUCAAUACGCGACUAUGUCAAGGAAUUCUCUUCGCUCAUGCUUGAGAUUCCUAACAUGACUCAGGAGGAGUUGCUAUUCAACUUCAUGGAUAACCUGCAAGGGUGGGCCGAGCAGGAAUUAAGGCGCCGAGGCGUACAAGACUUAGCCACUGCUAUGGCAAUAGCAGAAUCCUUAACAGAUUAUAAGAGGGAAGACUCCUCCAAGAUUGAGUCUUUGGAGGAUAGCCACGCCAUGGGUGGGGGAGACGAGGUUCCAAGGGACCACAAUGCUCCUAAAAAGGGAUCAGGCAAGACGUCUAAUGUCCGAGAAGGAAGGGGUAAGGUGGAAAGGAAGGAGUUUACGCCUAAAAUCAAAUGCUUCCUGUGUGACGGUCCACAUUGGGCACGGGAUUGUCCAAAGAGGAAGGCGCUUAGUGCCAUGAUCGAGGAGAGGGAGCAGGAGGACGAAGCACAUAUGGGCUCAAUGCAGCUACUAGGUGCCCUCCAAUUCAACCCGAAGCCUAGCACGCCUAAGACCUCCUUACUAGCAGGGGUGCAAGUAAAGGAGGAAAAAGGGGAGCGAGCUGAGGUAGCUCGCACACACAUGGAAGAGGUCACCGAGGGAAAGGUGAACUCAAUGGGUAAGAGGAAGCAACACUCUAAGCGUCGAAAGUGCACGGGUUUGCAUCCUUCUGAAGCCUCACGAGAGAAGGAGGUGAAGAAUAUCCUGGCUGAACGGGUCACCAGGAGACAAGGGGUCCCUCCUGUGACAGAGUAUCUAGUCCAAUGGAAAGGACUACCUAAGAGGCAGGUAAGCUGGGAACAUGCGGAUGCCUUGAGAAGGUUCUGGAAACACAUCGAGAGGUUUCAGAAAGAGGCAACGACGAGGACGUCGAUGGCUUAGGUGGGGGAGAGUGUCACAAGAUGCUUCAAAUGACCCUCCCCAUGGCUUAUAUAGGAGGUGAGAAGCUUCUAGAGACCCUUGGAGACAUCCACACUUAGCCACUAGUGGGAAGAGUGUGGAAGGUUCUAGAAAUGCCUAGAGAAGUCCACACAACUCUACACUAUGGUAGAAGGCAUGAGAAGGGUCCAAAGCUUUCUAGAGAAAUCUAGAAGUCUCUUGAAUAUUCUAGAAUAGUGUAGGACAUUCUAGAAGUCUCUUGAAUAUUCUAGAAUAGUGUAGGACAUUCUAGAAUAUUCAUGAAUUGUAAGGAACCCUCCAAGGUUCUAGAGAGUUCCAUUGGUGCCUAUAAAUAGGUGAGGGCCUCAUUUGGCCAAGGCACCAAGCAAGUGAGCAUCCAAGCACUUGUAAAGGCUUUCUUGAGAUAAUAAAGCUUCCAUUCUUUAAGGAGUUGCCUACUAAGCUCUUAAGCUUUCGAGUCGCAAGUGUCUUAACUGAGCAAGCUAAGCAUUGGGGAUCAAGGCUGACUUAGCAAGAUCAAGCGUCUUGACUUGCCUAAGUGCCGCACGAGCUUAGUGAACGACUAAGUCCGUGACAUUAAGCAUUCAUUAUUCUACAAAUCUACGAAUCUGUUGCCUCAUUAUUAUCAAGGUUACCAGAAUUGCAUGUCCGAUGUGUUAAAACAAACUUGAAGUCCUGAAAAUAGCCUUCACCAGAUAAUCAUCAGAAAGAAAUCUCUUUGCCGAAACCUUUUCAUAUGCUUCCAAGCCAUUUGUAUCACCGAUCAAGCGCCACAUGAGAAGUCAUGCAGAAGUUUUUAUUCCUCCUUGAAGACAAUGAAAAUAGGCUGGAAAAUUUUCAAUUCUUACAAGCAGGGAAUAGAUGCCAAUUGAGCCAAAUCUUGAUCAGUCAUUGUCAAAAAUCAUUGAAUAAUCUAACCCCCCUCUCCCUUGGCUCGGCCAAAGUCCUUCGGUGUACAUCUUUUGUUAUGCUAUUCACUUGUAUCUCCCUGGCGUACAUCUUCAUUUUUCUAUCCACAAAAUUCUACUUUUUUCCCAGCAACAAAUCUAGCAGUGGGGUUAAAUCUCCUAAAUUCCAAUAUAAGCAUUAUGCAGGUAGUAUCAAUCUUCCCGUAGGCCUAUGAACUACUAACACCCAUCAAGAGAUCAUUCAGUAUGGGGCUUGGUCCCAAGAUCUACCCUUGGUUUAGCAGAAAGCCCUUUUGCUAACAUCUCUUCCUCAUACUUCCGAGCCAAAUCUACCAUACCCUUCUGCACUAAAGCAUCAAUAAGAGCAUUAUAUGCACACGCAUCCGGACUACACCCUUGUUCUUCCAUCUUCUUCCAAACGAUAAAAACAGGUCGAAGAAAUCCCCACCUCCCAAACUUCUUCAUAAGCAUCACGUAAGUGUCCAUCCUAGGCCUAACCCCACUAUUGAUCAUCCUAUCAAAUGUCCUAAGAAUCUGUUUAGGCUUCUCAAUACACCCGAAAAAGCAGUGAUAAGUAAUCACGUUUGGUGCAUAACCCUUCUCACGCAUUUGAUCGAACACCCCAUAGGCUUCUCUAAUUCUCCCAUUUUCACACAACAGCUUGAUAAUUGUAUUGUAAGUCACAACAUUGGGCUCACAACCCACCUCUUUCAUCUCGCGAAAUACCCGAAUUGAAAAAUCGACACCCUCGGAAAGACCAAUGGCACGAAUGACCGUGUUAUACGCCACAACAUCCAGCCUAAUUCCCUUCUUCUUCAUCUCCUUAUACAAUUUCACGGCCCUCCAUGGCUUCCCACUCUUGCACUGUAUAUCCAUAUAUAUCGAAUAAGAAUAUAGACUUUUACAAACACCUCUCCUAUCCAUCUCUUCCCAAAACUCCCUACACUUCUUCCACCACCCCAUUUUGAACCACCCACGAAGAAUAAUGUUAUAAAUUUUCACAUCAUCGUUAAAAACCAAGUCUUUGCUCUCUUUUAGGAACAAUUCUUCAGCUUCUAUUACAUGCUUAUACUCACAAAGCGCGUCAAUCAAAUUCGAAUACGAAGUUUCAUCCCUCAGAUUAAACUCCUCAGUUCUAUAAUAAGCAUUCAUCGCUUCUUCAACUAGAUGCGCCGCUGCAUAGCGCUUGAACACGAAACGAAAAGUGACAUGGUUGGGGUACGCAACUGGGUCUGCUUUCAUGCGUUGGAUCAAAACCCAUAUGAGAUCGAAUUCGAAAAACUUGCCCAGAAUGUCAAUCAUGCCAUUGUAGGUAUCAGUGGUGUGAUUGAAGCCGCAUUGGGUUUGAACCCAAUCGAAGAACUCGAGUGCGCGUUUCCAGUCAUUGGCGUAGCAGGAGAGAGUUUGGCGCACAGUGGAGUGGUCAAAACUGGUUGAAUUUGGGGAGAUUAUAGGGUUUGAUAGAGGCUCUGGUUCAAUGGGUUUGAAGGGUUUUGUGGAAAAGGAUUGAGUGAAUGGAUAAAGAAGAGUUUGAAUGCAUCGAAACGAAUUGCGGUGCCGAGGAGAGAUCAAAGAAAGCAUUGCCAAUGUAAUGACUUUGCACUCUGAUUCUCUUUCAUGUGUAGUUUCUUCGAAGCGACUGAGCAGUGGCAAAGAGAUUCGGAUUUUUUAAUAAAUAAAUGUACAGUAAUUUCUAUUUUUUUAUCAAUAUCAAAAUUUUCAUUAGUUGUCUCAAAUAAAUAUGAUAAAGCUAAAUAUUUUUUUGCUGGAGUUUCAGACUUUUUUUCUUUCUCAGAAUUUUUUUUGGGUGGACUGAAAUAUUGCCCCAUUUUGUUUAUACAUAAAAUUAAAUAAAAAUAAUUUAAUUUCAAUUAUUUUCCUUUCAUUUAAAAUGAAAUAUUAGUUUAUUUCUCAUAAAAAGAAAAUAAAAAAUUAUAAAAAAUAUGUACUUAUAAAUCUUAUUUGUUUUAGUAUGGGUAAAAUUCUAAAUUAAAAAACAAAAGAAAAUUAAACAAGGCAAAGUGGAGUAAAUGUGGGGAAUUUCCCCUUGACUCCCCUUGCAUCUCUUCAAUUAAUUUAACUUUAGAAUGGGGAUGAAAGUUUAUUUAAAUAAUGAAAAAACUUGCCUUGAACUUUUUUUUUUUUUUACUUCUCUAUGUAGUCUAUAAACCAUUAAUAAAUAUAGCAUCUUGUGUUAAUUAAGGGUAAGGGUUUAUGAUUUAGAGUUUAAGGUUUAAAACUUAUGAUUUAGGGCUUAGGGUUUAUUGUUCAAAAUUCAAGGUUUAGUUAUAGGUUUAGGAUUAAGGGUUCAAGUUUUGAUUUUAAGGCGACAAGAGCACCACAAAAAAAGGACAGAGAUAUCACUGACGGUAGAGGUAGCAGCAUCUAAGCUAGUAUCUGGGCCAGUUGGCUUCGUCAACUCAACAAUUGAAGUAGUUGAUCUUGAACCAAUUUGUUCAUCAAUUGCCCCAUUACCCGGUAAACUCUCCUGGAUCAAUAGCAUUGGAUCGGGAAUGUGGCCAUUUCAUUAUAGCCCAUUGAUCCAUGAAAAAUAGAGACUCUUCGACUAAGACAUUGCCUUUCUAUUUGUAGAUUGUUCACAUUUCACUGGCCAGGUUUGAAACUCUCUUCACUUCGCCCCAUCAUGCAAGAUAUAGGAGAUUAGGAAAAAUAAAAUUGUCAGUCUAGACUGGGAAAUGAAAUUCAUAGAGCCCCCAAGUGUUUUCGUUGUGGAUUGCCAGCUCCACGCUAACAUGCUACUAAAAUUUAGGUAACACGAGAGAUGGGUAUGAGUUGGUCAUCCAAGCAACUAACCUGGUAGGUUAGUCGGGUUGGUUCUCCCCGUCUAUGAAGUCGCAUUUGACUCACCACCAGCAUAUGAAUCAAAGUAGUAGAAAUUUCAGUUUCAGUGUGGAAAAUUCUAGCAGUAGUUUCCCCUUCUUUCCUUUCCAGGUUUAAGGGUGUCGGCUCUAGAUAGAUUGGUUACCAAACUUCAACCAUGUCUGAUACCAACUGCAACAAAGACCCCAUACUUACUUAUAUUUGAAGUAAUGUGACCUUUCCUAAGCUAGUCUUAACUUAAUUUGUUCCUAGGGGUCAUAUACAAUGCACAUCAAGACUGGGAUGAUCUCCAUCGACAUUCAAUAUUUCUUCAGAUUCAGGUAAAACAGGUCGAAUGCUCACUCUUGGUUUACUCACCGACAACACAGAGUUGUGCUUCACCUCUAAGAAUCCUUGCAGCUUCCUUCACUUAUCUAACUUGGUUCACUACAAAUGUGACCUUGUUAAAUGGCAACUGCUUUCCAGGUUCAAAAACUCGUUGAUUUUGCCAACACCACAACCACCAACAUCCCAAAGUAAAUAACACAUUCCACUCAAGAGGAAUGCCCUCAAUUUCCCUCCUCAUCACGUUUUUGGUCAACCAUUCUCUACACUCCCCCGAGAAAAACUCAUUCCAUUUAUUCCCAGGAAGCAAAACCUGCCAAAAUGUCAUUACAUGAGGGCAAUCUCGCAACACAUGCAUUGCGUCUUCAAGACUACCAUUGCAACCUUCACAUCUACUAUCACUAGCCAACCCUCUUUUAACCCUGUUACCAUUGGUCAUUAAUCUAUCCCUAGAUGCUAGCCAAAGGAAAACUCAUACUCGUUAGGGUACUUUGACUUUCCAAACAUGCCGCCACCCUUUGUCUUCCAUUUCCUCAUCUAACCCGGCCAGCAUUCCAUAGGUUGACUUCAUCGUAAAAUUCCCAUCAACCACCAAAGAUCUUAAUGGUAGAAAUAUGCAUCAAUAUCUUAGUCGGGAUUAAGUGCUCGAAUUCGGGCCAUCUCCACUCUCUAUUCUCUCCCUAGUAAUCCGCAACAAGCUUAGUGGAAAUAUAUUGGUCUAUGGGAGCAAUUGCCAACUUUAUAAGAGGUUUAUAAAUAAUCCACCUAUCUGUCUAGAAAUGCACCGACUUCCCAUCACCAAGAAUCCAACUAGCACCCUUUUGCACAUUCCCCAAAAUUUCAUACAAACCUUUCCAAACAUGAGAAGGACCAACUCUCAAUGUUGCUAGGUUCACGCCCAAUUGAUCUAUACCAUAUUUCUCUUUAAGCACUCUAACCCAAAGUAUAUCAUUAAGAUAUGCCUCCAACCAAGCUUUGCAAGAGCGGCCUUAUUGUCUUAGCCUUACGUAAUCCCAAGCCUCCCAUACCCUUCGGUUUACAUAUAUCAUCCCAUGAGACCAUAUGCACUCUUCGUCGUUCCUCAUUGUCACCCCAUAGAAAGGCCUUAGACUUUCUAUCCAACUUCUCACAAACUAAGUUUGGCAUCUUUAAGCUUUGCAUGGUGUAUAAAGGAAUAGCCUGCACUACCAAUUGUGUUAAAGUAAUCCUCCCUACCAUGGAGAGAAGCUUCAAUUUCCACCCCACUAGUUUGGGCUACGCCCCUUAUCAAUUACCUCUUUACAAGCUUUCUUGUUUACCCUCUCAUGUAAGAUAUUUACCCUAAGGUUUUUUCCCAAGAUUUUUUGUGAGAGGUAUCCCUGCCUUUCUACUGAUUGAGUUUGAUAGUCUAGUUGACACAUUCGUUGAGCAAAAAAUUUUAAACUUCAACAAGCUCACCUUUUAGCUCGAUGCCAUACAAAACUCUUCCAUACAAUCCCUACUCCCACCUAUUCCGUAGAUGCCUCGGCAAGCAAAAUAAGAUCAUCCAUGAAAAAUAGAUGAAAGAGUCGAAGGCCUUUUUUAGAAAGAUUAAUAGGAUGCCACUUCUUGCUUUGCACCGAAACUUCAAUUCUGCAAGCAAGUCUUUCCAUGGAAAACACAAAUAUAUAAGGAGACAAAAUAACCUUGCCUAUUUUCCCUAUAUGGAAAAAGCUCUCUGUUUUUCCCCAUUCCACAUUACUUGCAUGGAUGAAGAGGUGAUGCAUGACAUAAUUAAAGCAACAAAAUCCUCUGGGAGUUGAACUGCAUGGAGCGUAUCUCUAAGAAAAUUUCAUCUCAACCUAUCAUAUGUUUUUUUAAGAUAAACUUUCACCGCAAGCAUUCAUCUCUUUCCCUUAUUUAUUCACAUAAAAUGAAUCACCUCCUGCAUAAUAACUAUGUUAUCAAUUAUUUGGCGUCCAAGUAUAAAGCUACACUGUGUGGGUAUAAUGAUAGUAGGCAGCAGAGUCUUCAACCGAUCCACGAUCACCUUAGUAAUGGUCUUGUAGGAGACAUUACAUAGGCUUAUGGGCCGCAACUGGGUAAGACUUUUUGGAUGGGGGACCUUUGGAAUCAACUUGAUCAAAGUAUGAUUAAUCCCUUAAGGCAAGCUUUUAUCACGGAAAGCCUUCAACACCAUACAACACAAAGAGGAACCAACUACAUCCCAAAAUUUUUGGUAAAAAUGUGAUUGAAAUCCAUCGUCUCCAAGUGCUUUGUAUGCUCCCAUAGAAAAAAAACACAUCCUUUACAUCCCUAGGAGUCAUUGGCUUCAUCAAAGAAGUAAUUUGCUCAUUAGUAAGACAAAAGAAAUAAUUGACACAGUUAACAGGCAUACCUCGAUUUCCCUCGUCUGUAUAGAGUUUUUGAAAAAAAUUGAACCACCAUAUUCUUAAACAGGUUUACAUCCAUGAUCCAACUUUCAUUAUCCCCCUUUAAGCUUCCAAUCCCUUUUUUUUUUUCUCUCGGAUGAGAGUAAACAUGUGCCAAAAUUUCGAGUUACAAUCACCAAAUUUAAUCAAGCCAUGAUGAAAUUUCAAGUUACAAAUUUCAAAUUUUAACCAAUAAGUGCAAGAAGACAAGUUUUUUUCACCUUUAAGUGGGCAAUCAAGCCAUGUGCAAAGAGAAAAUGUUGGAAUUAUGAUAUCAUGAUGAACUUAUAUGUUUGAAUCACCAACCUGCUUACGCAGAUAUUGAACCAACCAAUGGAGGGCAAUGGGGGAGAGAGGGAGAGGAAUGUGGGAGACUUGUUAAAGCAUGUAGAAUCUAGCCAACUAUUUCAUGCCUCAAGAUGAUUGAGAUCAUCUGCAUUAUGUGCACAAACAAUGAUUGAAUUCUCUACUGUUAUAGUCAUAUCCUCAAGCUCUUCAAAGUCAUUAUCCUGUCCAAAAAAAAUAAAGAAAAACAUAUGUUAUUCUAGCAUCACAAGUCAAAAGACAAUUUCAUUGCUGAAAAUGGUAUUCUAAAGUCCCUCAAACUCAUAUCACUAUCCUUCAAGUAUGGAUCCAUUUCACUACUUUGGGUAGUAGGUGUCUCCAAGGCCCUUGCUAAAUAACUCAAUGCUUGAGUUACAAAUGACAAAACAAAAUUUUCACAAACAAUUUAUGUUAUAAAAAAGUCACAAUGUAGAACUGCUUCCAGAUCAUUUCACAAACAAUUUGCUCAUGUAUCAUCCUGCUUGUUAGCAUCAUAUAAAGACAAUUUCUAUUGGAUAUAGCUAUUUGUGCAAGUAUUUUACAAUUAAGAAGUAACUGCCUCUUAUACAGAUCGUGUAUAAAUCUACUAUAACUAUAAGAUGCCCCAUUCUUGUGAAUUACUACAUUAUCACGAAGUUUGGUAUUUCCUCGCUCUUAAUUUGCUAUGCUACACUUAGCUUACUAUACUAAGUAAUGCUACACAAUUCGACAGAUAGGAUAUGCAACAAAGGUAAACUUAAGAAAAGAAGUUUUAUAUUGCACGAGGAAGCUUUACAAUGAUAGAAAACUCUUAACUUGCUUAGUGUCUUGUCCAAAUGAGACACCUCUUAUUUAUAGGCAACUAAGGAACUCUCUAAACCCACAAAGGUUUCUUACAACUCCAAAAUUCUUUAGAACAUCCUACACAAGUCUUAUGUGCAAGAUGACUUUGGAACACUCUAAAAUGCCCCACAUUCUUCCCUUGUCUUCCAACCUUAUGUAAAGAUUUGUGGACAUCUUUAGGCUCCUCUUGAAUAUUCCACAAUCUUCCAUUAGUAGAGAAGUGUGGAUUGCUUCAGGAGGUUCUAAAAGCUGCCUACUUUAGGAGGUUCCAACAGUUUCCCACUCUCUUAUCUCAAGGGAAGUCAUUUGAGCAAGUUGUGACAAUGAGCUUUUUGCAUACCUUUUAGUUAAUUUGGUUUUCUAAGGGAUGAUUUCUGUUUUGUUUAAGUAAAUUGAAUAUUUUUUUUGUGGAUUGCAAUUAAUGAUUAUUUUAAUUGGUUUGCUUUUCUAGGGUUUUUUAUUUUAUUUUUUGUUUGUAAGCACUUAAAGAAAAAUUAUUCAAAGAAUUACCCGUAAAAACUUCAAAUUGGGGUAAAAGCAUUGGCGGUUAUGCCCAAUAUUUGAAAAAUCGAAAAAUAUCACCAAAAUAUCAACGAAAAAUCAGUUAUCGAUGAUGGCCAAAAUGAAAUCGACCAUUGAUUAUGGAUCGGGUGAAAAAUCAUCUAAAUAUUGGCAAAAUUGCCGAUAUAUUGAUAGAAAAUCGAAGAAUUGGUGAUAAAAUUGAGCAUGGAGACAACUCACGGGUAAGGAGGAAAAUGUUGGGAUAUAUCGCCGAGAUAUCGUGUAUCGGGAGGGGUCGACAUGAUAUUUUGUGGAGAAAAAUCGGAGGGGAGAAAUUUCUACAAAAAUUGCCAAAAAAAUCGCUGAUAUAUCAGCUUCAGGCGAUAAAUCGCCAAUAUAAUGGAAAAAAAACGGCCAAAAAGGAUGAAAAUCACCGAUAUUUCGACAAUUUUUCGAUCGGUCAAUGCGCUACAGUGCACUCUAAAAAUUUCCUUUUUUUUGUGAUGUUGAAGGGAUUUAAAUGGGGUUCAACACAUCCGACCACCAAGGCAAGUUUGCCCUUUAUUAAGUAAAUUGCACUUAAAAUAUAUAUUCAAAGUUAUCAUGUAAAGAAAAUUUUAGAGAGCAAAUUAAAUAUAAUUAUUUUAUAAUUAAAUACUAAAAUUUCUUUUAAUUGAUUACCAAAAAUAUAAAAAUUAUCAUAAUAAUUUUCUUCAUAGUGUUUUCAAUAUCAUUAAUGAAUUAAUUAAAUAUUAAAAAAUUGUACAUAUAUCAUAAUUUAUUUUAUAUUAUUUAAUAUAAUUGAAUUAAAUGGAUCAUAAUUUUAAUAUUAAUAUAUAUUUUUAAGUUAGACAUAUUAUAAUCAAAUAUCAUAAUAUUAUUAUGAAAUAAUAUUUGAUAUAAUUUAAUAAUAAAUGUACACUUAUAAAAUUCAUAUUUUUAUUGAUGCAUACAAUAUUAUUAUCAAAUAUAAUAAAUCAUAUUAUACAUAUAUCAAAUUCUUUAAUAAAACAACUUUAAAAUAUCUAUUAUACUUCUAAUUACAUUUUUAUGAAACUUUUCUUCUAUUUUUAUAAAUUUUGAUCAAUUUUAGGUUUAUCGAUAUUUUUUUUACAAAAUAUCCCCGAUAUAUCCCAUAUAUCUGUCAUCCUUCCUCACGCGUGGGGUAUGGAAAUAAAAAAUCAUCCAUUUUUUUACUACUUUUCAAAAAACACCAUUUUUUUUAUAAAUAUUUAUCCUAUUUUUUAUUUUUUUUAUUCAUUUUUAAUUUAUCUUUUAUUUAUAUUUAUAUUAUCAUUUUAUUUUAUAUUAUCCUUUUAUUUUUAACUACUUUUCAUAUUUAUCUCAAUAUUCCUAUUUUAAAAAAUUACUAUCACUUCACUCUUAAUUAUUUUAUUUAUCCUUUUAAUUUUAUUUAAAUUUAAAUUUGUUAUUUUAAAAUAUUAAAAAUAUAAUUUUACUGAAAAAUUACUACAAUAUAAAAAAAAUUAAUGAAGUUCUAAUAUUUUAUAAAUUAAAAUUAAUUUGAUAAGAUAAAUUAUUAAUAAUUUUAAUUAUUUAAAUAAAUUAAUGUUAAUAGAAAAAGUUGUUACCACAAAUUUGUAAUAAAAUUUUAGAAAUUAAAUCUCAAAUGAAAUAUUUUUUAUAAAUCAAUAAUUUUUUAUUUAAAAUAUAAUAAAACAUGUUUUGAUAAAAAAUAUUUUUAAAAUUUUUAAAAUAAAUGAAUAUAAGUAAAUUGAAGGAAUUUAAACUAAUUUUUAUAAAAAUUUGAUAAAUAUUAUCUUUAAUCAUACUUAUAUCAAUUACAUUUACAAAAUAACUUUAAUACGUAUAUUCUUAUUUAUUUUAUCAAAUUUUUUAAGUUUUUUUUAAGUAUUUUCAUUAAUUUUGUAUCAUUUAUGUUAUAUCGAUAUUUUUGGUUAAAAUAUUCAUCGAUGUUUCUUCGAUAUUUCUGACAUAUCCAUAAAAUCCAAAUACCGAUAUACCUUGAUUUACCGAAAUUUCAAAUCUUUGGUUGUACCCAACAAAAGUAGGAUUCAUCCCCUUGUGACAAUGCAGGUCCUGCACCGGUAGUAAGUGGGUCUAAGCGUGAUGGUUAUUUUUUACCAUUUUCAUCAACUACAUAUCCUUCACACUAAGUGUCAUAAAAUGAUUGAAGAUUUUGCUGUCUAAAAAUGACCCCAAACAAAUUAAUGAGGUCCAGCAACCAACAGGCUGAUGGCUAAUUUCUUCCUUGGAAAUAUCUUCACAUCUAAGCUCUUCAAAUGCAGGUGACCAGAUGGUUUUCUUAAUCGUGAAUGUGGUUGAGGCAAUCGGAGUGCUCAUGACAUUCAAACCAUUUCUAGUUCAAAGGCGUCGAUAGAGGAAAAUCAGUCUGAUUCAACUCCAGGCCGUGAAGAUUAUCACCUCGAUCAGUAUGACUCUUUGGUAGCAUUGCACCUGUCUCCAUUCAUUAUAGGGACGAUAACUUGCAUCCUGUAGUAACCCUUUUGGGGGGGUAUAUUAGAUCAACAACAAUGUGCCCUGUAUCUACUGCAUUUUGUACACCAGUAAAUUACUGCCUACCUGCAUAUUGUUGGACAUAUUUGGUUACCAAUAGGCAGUUCAUGAGUUAGCAAAACUCUUGUUUGAUGUCUAAUACCUUUUUUGUUUCACUUAAUAUGGGGCAGCUCUUGAUGAAUGUUUGUGAACAUGAUUUUAUCAUCUUCAUUUAAUUAGUUACAUUAUGUAUAGUCUUAAUUGAAAUCUAAAAUCAUGAAACCUAUC
rnacentral:lncRNA from 1 species